rnacentral:lncRNA from 1 species
UGGGAAUUUACGCGGGCUAUGGUCAGUACAAUGCUGCCCCUUACAGCUCGGACCACUCAUCUAUUGGUUACCACGGAGUUCCUUCUGAAGCUCCAUGAGCUGUGGCAAGCCUCUAAAUUCUUUGAAAAUACUGUACCAUAAGAUGGGACCUAACUGCGUUUCUCCUGAAAUAUUGCACAGUGCAUACUCUAUAGUUAUGUAUGUAGACAGUGAGUUUCUUAGACUGUAAAAUGAUAUGUUGUAGUGUCCGUUCCUUAAGGAAUGCCAAGUGCAUAGAGUUUUGCCCAAUAAUAAAAAGAAAAGAAAAGAAGGAGCUGUGGGUACAUUACUUUCAGCAACUCUUUGUCAUGCACAGCGUAUUUUGUGUAUGCCGUGAGGAGCAUCAAAAGUUGCUGGGCCGCCGCCGCUGCUUUGUUGCUGGGCCUCGCUCCUCCGCACUGUGGGUGGUGAGCUCAGCGUGGGUGGUCACUUCAGUCAUUGACACACAAUUCGCACGGCGCGAGCCCGUUGGUUUCGAGGCCGUCGGAUUCCAGUUCCACCACCGCCGGGGACAGAGGACGGCCGCCUCGUCCUUUCGCAGUUCGCCACGGCCUACGCGCGCGCGGCGGGAGCUAGUUCUCGCGAGUCGCGAUCAGUCGACCACCGUCGGCUUCGGCCCUCCAUGGGUCGGACGCCCUUUCCGCCACUCCGGCACCGGGCCAACACGGCACACGGGAGUGAUGGCCAUCAUUGCAGUUGCAGUUGCGGCCAGUGCAAAAGAGCUCUGUACACAAUGCUACCACUCAAUAAUAUAUAGUAUAUAAAAGAUCUAAUAAAUAAUAGUAAAAAUAAUAGUGAAGGUAAUUUAGUAAUUAUUAUUUGAUUAAUUGUGGAUGGAUCAGUUUUUUCGGCCCGCCGCCUACACGUUCACUCGAAUUUUUAUCCAGGACGCCGUUGGUGCCGACGCCUCCCCGUGCCGCCGUUGGAGUCACGGGCGGCGCUGCCGGCCGAGACGCCCCAACAGAGGGCAGCACCUCGGCCCCGUCGCGCCCUGCCCGGUUGCUUGCCGUCCUGCCGACUCCCCUUGCCCGGUUACUUCCCGUCAGAUCUCUAGGUACUUUCUUUUUUCUGGUUCAGUUUCCAUGUGUUUGUCAGAUUCGACAAGUAGUGGUAAUAUGAAAUGAUGGAUUGAUCUGAAUGAGGAAUCAGGUGACAUUCAUUGCUUGUGCCCAGUAUUGCGGUUUUUACCAGUGCCAGAACAUUCUUGCUUCGAAUAUGAUAGAGUUGUAGUGUGAAGAAUGUUCAUUGAUUCAUUAUUCGACACCUAAUAUCUAUCAUCCAUUCAUCCUUAAUACUUUUGUCAGUGAUACUUGAACCAGUUUAGUGUUAGUUUAGAGGUGAAAUGUUUCUACCUUAAGGUGUUUGGAUCUUUAGUCCGAACUAAAAUUCAUGUCACAUCAAAUAUUCGGAGGUUAAUUAGGAGUACUAAACAUAAACUAAUUACACCGAUGGAGGCUAAUUCCCGAGAUGAAUCUAUUAAGCCUAAUUAAUGCAUCAUUAGCACAUGUUUACUAUAGCACCACAUUGUCAAAUCAUGGACUAAUUAGGCUUAAUAGAUUCGUCUCGCAAAUUAGUCUCCAUCUGUGCAAUUGGUUUUGUAAUUAGUCUAUGUUUAAUACUUCUAAUUAGUAUCUAAACAUUCGAUGUGACAGGAAUUUUAGGAGCUCCUAAAGAACCAAACAGGGCCUAAGAUUACUAGGAUUCACCUUAGAUCAUGUUGUCAUUUGGAGCACUAACAGAAUUAUAAGUGCAAGUCUGAAAGAAUUAAAUUAGCCAAAAAAAAUAGCCUGACGCUUGUUAAUAGAAUGUCAGCAGGCAUAGCAGUGUUUCAUCAAAGUAGAUAUUUAACUAUCUUAUGUCAGAGUUUAUCAAACUUUCUGAAUGUAACUUAUGAAACUGAAACUCUGAUGGUCCAACAUGAUGGUUCUAGCAUUUUUAUAUCUGUAGCAUGUGUCAUGAACUGUUAGUGUUGUUUAUAUGCUGCCUGUCAAUAUUGUGUUGCCUAAGAUUUUUUUCCCUCGCAUAAGGUACCUAAUGUAUCAGUGUUACAUGUGGCAUUCUACAAUUUGUUAGUCUAUUCUUAAACUAAAACAAAACAUAUGUAACCAGCAGGACGACUUGCUGUAGGAGGUUGGUGGUCAUGGCACAAUAAUAUUCUGCAGCACCGAAGCAGCCAAGGAGAGAGUACAGAGACACUGAGAUAUGGAAGACGAGGCGGAGUGUAAGUGCUGAAUCCCACGGUGUUGUACUUCCAUCCUUGGGAGGCGAUGCAAGAAGUUACCAGUAUGGUUCGACUCUAGUGAUCAUCAAGAAGUUACCAGUAUGCCCCAAGUUCCUUGGUAGGAGGGCAAGCGUUAAUGUAUUGUGAUGCCUUCUGUUAGCCAAGAACUCAUGACCUUAAUUCUGGUUAAGGGAAGAACACUGAUGCAACUUUUUUUAGAGAUAAGUUGAUCUAGCUGUUGAACCAUUGAUGCGUCAACUGAACAUGUGUAAAUAGUAUAAGUUUAGGUCUCCUCCUAGCUUCAUUGUCUAGAAAUAUAAUUGGUUCUUAUCAACGGAUCAGUGAGCAUUUCUUUCCAAGGCAGUAAGCACAUCACCCAUUCACCCUCAUCGUCAUCGACGUGCAUGUUAGCCCGGCGGCUAGCUGUUCUUCUGGACGGCGAGCUAGUACGGCAGCCUAGCGGAGAGAAAGAAGAGACUCAAUGACGAUAGACACUUUAGAAACCUUCUCAGCCUGUAUAACUUGUGUUCGUGUCAUUGUUUUGCUGUUAGAGCUUACAAACCAAUGGGACUAAGCUUGGCACAGUGGGUCAGUGGCCAACUGGCCAUGAGAACUGCCUGCACAAAUAUGCAUGAUCCAUGCAAAGAGCCGUCCACCGUGAACGCCGGCACGAGGGAUGCAACGGCGGCCACGCACUCAGAGGGUGCUCCCUCGUCAACGACCUGCCGUCGUGGUGGCCAUCCUCGCCGACCACCAAACCGUACAACAACAGCUAGUGGGCGUCCAUGAGGAAGAGGCGACGGACCUCCUCAUGGGAGCGUAGCCCCCGGCGAAAGCAGAUGGCAGGAACAACUUGCCGCCGUGGAGCGCCGCCGGCUCGGUCCGCUAGGUAGCGCUGCCAUGCCGCCGCCGUUUUCGAGCAUCACCGCUCUCCACUAAACGCCACUCGCGCGAACUUGCCCGGAUACGGCCGCGCUCCGACCUGCGCAGCGCCGCUCGACUGCUCGAUCCUGCUCGAGCGGACCCACCCUUCCCGCUGGUGACCGCUGCUCGCACGGGCCCGCACGUCACCGUUGACCCACUUCCCCGUCGCUCCUGUAGAAACGCACGGCGCCGCUCUCCAUCCUCCCCGCCGGUAGCGGCGGCGGCCGCCGCCAGUCACAUGAGAGGACGAGAGAGGUGAACGGGGGAGAAGUGAAAUUCGCAAUGAAACCAUCAAAAAUUUUGCUGAAUUUUUUUUUUGUCAACAAUUCUGUUCCAAUAAUACCCUUAUACUGCCCAUACUACUUCGUAUACUAUUCAUAUCACAAGUAAAAUUUUCAAUAAUAUAUUAUUAAUCUCAACCGUUACUAAUACUUUUCGAACAAUUUAGUAUAACUUAGUAUUAGUAUUAUGAACCGUGAAAUAACGAGCAAAACGGCGAGCGAAGCUAAUCAAGCGAGGUGACACCCACUGCCCAGUGAGGCCAGUGCAAGUGUGCUACUACUCGAGCGUCGCGUCCAGCUAGCGCUACCGGCGCGCCAUUCCUACCACAUGCCCGCGCACAUGCGCGACGCAUCAUUAACACCCCCACCGGUGGCCGCGCCUGCACCAUGGAGCACCUAAUCCCCUUUGCAUGCGUGGCGGUGGCGCCCAGUGCCCUGGUAUGAUAGCCCCGGAAGCGCGGACGACACGCACGCAUCACAUCGCAUCCGGGGCAGAUACCGUGAUAGAGACACGCAAUUAAUCUCCUGCACCUGCCACGUAAAAAGAUAAGGCGCGCCGGUAAGCAGCAGCCACAACAUAAGCCAGCAAUCGCUAACAGCUGCUUCUUCUAACAACUGCUCCCAGCCAGCUAGGCGGACUGCAAGCAGCUGUGCUGCUAUUUUGGCAUGCAGCCGCUCAAAUGAGCUGCAGCGACCAGCAGGCCUAGGGAAUACUGUAUGAUGCAGCAGGAGGGUAUAUCCCUCCUGCAUCAUACAGUAUUCCUUGUGCACUACACGACGGUACAGUACGUGUAUGCGCAACUGUGCGUGCCCGUGAACGCAGGACCACGCCGCGUUUGCGUGAACAGAAACGACGGGAGGCUGUAACCUGUACUGGCAGCAGUAGUUGGAACUGCCACUCAUGGAACUGCUGCAUGAGCAUCAGUGGCCACUAACCCUCCGUGGAGGGGCAAGGAAAGGGCCCGGGUUUAUCACGAGCGUCACAGGCUCACAGCACGGGUAGCGUACCACCUGCACCGAACCCUACCGUACGCGCCGACAGGAUCAGGCAAGAGCCUGCGGGGAGUUAAACGAGCGGGGGCGGCCGGCCGAGGAUUUGGAAGCUAGCUUGCGGUUUGUUUGGCUCGGUUGGCCCUUGCAGCGCGCUGGGACAGGUCCGCCUCACCCUUCACAUGCUGCCGCUGCCGCUUUUGCGUUCGGUUUUGCGCCGAGAUGGACACGGAAGAAGAUGGGCCGGGACAGGGGGUUUGGUCCCCGUCCCGUGGAUGGGAUGCCGCCGCUACCCGGUGAAAAAUCGGGGUAGCCACUUUUCACCCACCUGAUUCUGACACCGAGGUAGAGCAUUGCUUUCGGCAGCGAGAUCUCUUUUCUUUUCCGUAGCUGACUCUGCUGGAUGCAUUUGGAGGAUAGUACAGGUCACACAUGCAGGCUUCGAAAACAGAAACAGGAUCGAUUGGUAGUGUACGUAUCAUAAGUUGGAUGGCUACAAUAUACAAUGCAUUGUUUGAUUGUUUCCAAUGAAAUGUGUAGCUAUUACUUCCGAAAAAAAUAUGUGUAGCUACAAAUCAGAAAAUAUCAGCGUAACAUCUAACCUAUAGGUGCCACAAGGCAGGAUGUGUGCCCGUCAGUGUCAACUGUAAUUCUGUCAACUAGAGAAAAGCGGCUGAUUUGGGCCACGAAUGGGACAUCUAGGCUCUUACCAAAGGUUCUCGACAUGAUGCCACCGCGCCGAGCUAUACAGAACAAGUCAAGAACAGAUCUCCAUCGCUCGACCGCAAGGGAUCAGAAAUGAAUUAUUGUUUACUGAUAAGGACAAACCACCAACCACGCAGGUGCAAGGAAUGGGAGUAAUCACUCCGCUUGGAUUUGUCAGUACGCAGCACGUAUACACAUGCACAGUGAGUCCGGGAACAUCACAAUGUCGACGACGAUACGUGUUACAUUGUUAUACAUGCAUCGGGAAGAGAACAUUCCACGCACAUGGUGGUGAUGCACUGAUGUUGCAGCAUGGAAAUACAACAUGCAAGUCCGUUACACGUCUCCAGGGGCACUCUAUGAUUGUACAUUUCUAUUUUCAGGUAAAACAAGGCAAAAACAUAAUCUAGUACUCAUGCAGUCAUGCUCAUCCAUUGACAGCAGCCCAGGUGUAUGUAUCUUCAGAUGAGUCCCCCUCUGCAUCUCUCUGUGAAAGACUGUACAGGUUCCUGGAUGUGAGUGGAACGCAUGUGUCCAUUCCCCAAAUGCCCAGCUCAAAUUCUGUUGCCAAUUAGUUUGGGGAAGAUGCAGUAGGCAGGGAGUUUCAGCUUCAGAGGAUCAACGGACAGCUGUUGUGACUGUGAUGCAAUGCUGAUUAAGUAGCAAGCUGGCAAACCUACUCACACCCAUUCAUGAUUCAUCUCGCUAUCUCCUCGAGCCUCUUGAGUACAUGCUUCGUGUUGGGUCUCAGCGACGGCGACGGGCUGCAGCAGGCCGUGGCCAGCUCGAAGUAGGCGUUCAGGUUCCUCUCCUUCCCGGACCUCCUGCAGUGCCUGGCGAGAUCGGAGCUGAAGGCCUCGGAGAUCUUCCUCUCGAGGACCAGGUUCUUGAAGGAGGCCGGCAGGAGGAUGUCCCGCGGGUUCGGCCGCCCGUCGUCGGCGUGCUCCUUCUGGGCGAGCAUCUCGAGCAGGACGACCCCCAGGCUGUAGAUGUCGCUCUCCCUCGUGGCGUCCCGCAUCUUGAUCAGCUCGGGCGCCUUGUACCCCUGCGCCGCGGAGGAUUCCAGCAUCUCCUGGGCGGCGGCGGGGUUCAGCAGGAGGUAGAUGCCGUAGUCCGAUAUCCUGCACUCGUAGUUGGCGUCGAGAAGGAUGUUGCUCGUCUUGAGGUUGCCGUGAACCAUCGGCUUCUCCAAACCUGUGUGGAGGUGAUCCAGUCCCUUGGCGAUGCCGAGAGAAAGGUUGCAAACUAUGUUCCAUCUCUGUGACUCGGCAAUUCCCUCUGUAGGUGAUAGCAACAAAGAAAUGAGCUACCAUCUCUACUAGUAAUACCAAAAAGUGUUAACUGUUAAACGACGCGUUCAGAACAAAUAGAACUGAUUAUUUCCUAUUCCCUAAAUAUUAUGAUUUGCUAAGUGUGAACUGAAACUAACAGGAAUCAGGAAUAUGGCACCAGGACCCAUUGGAAGUUUCGAGCUGACAUCCAAGCAGAAAAUGGCUUCACGAAAAGGUUGAUUUGGUGUCGAAUAUAAUGAUGACAACAACAGAUAGCAAGAACACAUGGGGUACCUGCACAAUCGCCCCCACCCCACCUCAAAAAAAAGGGAGUUAAAGUGCUAGUGGCCCUAGUGAUCUGCUUUCAUAUCAGUAUUUAGUACAAUAAUGCCAUGACACUUUUCCCUUCAUGGAGAAAAAAUAUCAACAGAUGUGCUAUUUCCAUGUGUAUACUAUAGCGUCACCAGAUCAUGAAAUUUAAAAAAUCAGAUUAUUUUCAACUCAUUUCAGCUGAUGGUUUUAAUUUACUUCAGUUCAGUCGAACCAAACUUUUAAAAAGGACACGGUUGUUUUACUCUCGAAACAAAUGAUGAUUCCUGUUUGGAUGCAAAACAAUUACAUUUUGAUCAUACUAAAUGUAUACUGAAAAAAAAACUAUGUGCAUAAUGUGCGCCAUGAAGAGAACAAGAAACGCCCUAGCAUUGAAGGCUUCAGCUACGUGCUGGAAGGCUAUAAUGCAAUUCUAUCAUAACCCAGCAUGUGGUGUGUAUGCAUUGUGCAAUACAGGUAUGAGAUCUUGCUUUGCCUGUUGUCUGAGAUCUUGCUAAAAGUACAGGCUCUACAUCAACUCUGUCGAUAAUAAUUGACCUGAUGACCCCCACAUCAAACCAACAAUAGAGCGACAAAAAUCAUCUUUGAAAUUCGAUUAAGCAUAAAUGCUAAAACUUGGUAAAAUUUAUGUCAAAUGUAAACGAGGGUAACAAAAGAAGGCUGCAACCAACCUUGCAAGAAGCGAUGGAGCGAGCCGGCGGCGUAGAAGGGGUGCACGAGCAGCUUCUCGCCCCUGGGCCCGACGUACACCGCGCGGAGCGGCACGAGGUUCGGGUGCGUGACUGCGCCGAUCCGCCCCGCGGCGGCAUAGGCCUCGUCGGCCCCGACGGCGCACGCGGGGCGCACGAACCGGAGCAGCACGGCGGCCUCGCCGGAGCGCAUCGCGGCGCGGUACAGCGUGCUGUGCGCGGACUUGGCCACCACCUCCCCGGGCGCCUCGAGGAUGGCCGCCACCGACAGCGCCUCCCCGCCGGGGAACUUGACGAGCGCCUGGGCGCCGUGGCCGCCGUACCCGCCGCCGCCCUGCGGGCCCACGCCGAGGCGCUCGGCGAAGGGGCCGAGGUACGGCAGCGCGCCGAGGCGGUCGGCGAUGGGCGCGAAGUAGGGCAGCACGGUGCUGCCGCUGGGCGCGCGCCGGCGGAGCCAGGCGGGCGCGCGGACCCACGACGGGACGUAGCGGUCGAGGCGCAGGCCGCGGAGGCGCGGGCGGAGGAAGCGGUAGAGCAGGUAGGCGAAAAGGAUGCCGACGAUGGGGAGCAGGAUGGUGUUGCUCCGGCCCGUGCGCACCGGCUCCUGCGACGGCGUGUCCGCCUCGGCCGCCCCCGCCAUCUCCAUCGUGGGCGCGCCCGGGCCCUCGGGGUAAAUAGACGCGCGCGCGCGAGGGGAACGAAGCUAACCCGCCGGUGGUGGCCGCGCUCUCAGGCCAGGUCCUUCGUGGCGAAGCUAGCUAGCUAGGGAGGGAAGUUUCCGGCAAGCUCUUCGUUGCUUUGCCGUGCUCCGCACAGUUGCUUGCCACUGGCCGUUCUCCUCGCGCAGAGGGAAGAGGAAAGGAAGGAGGAGCUAGGCAGGGCAGCUAGCAGGCCUGGUGAGCUACUGGCGGAGGAGGGUGGCUGUGCUGUUGUGCUGGCUGGCUGGCUGGCUUGGGAGAGAUUCUUGUCGUCUCGGGUCGAGGCUUUUUAUCACUGUGGGUCGUGGGAGUGUGCGAGCGAGAGUGCGGGAGAGCUUGGCUUCUUUAUUUACACUCCAGUUGCCUGUUUCCUUCUCGCUUUUCCUUCGAGGGCUUGGCCUUUUCCUUUCGGAGAUUAGCGUGGUACAGUAGGUGUUUAGUGUGGGCACAUCUCGCUGAUCUCGCUUUUGCCGCCUUUUCCCGUUGAAACUUUGGCAGCCGAGGAAGGUCUCCGGGGCAGAGCACGGCGGGCGGUUGGUGGCAUCGGCGGUUGGGGUUGGGGGCACGGGUCCGGUCACCGGCGGACGGAAGGUACCCUAUUUCCAUCGCGGGCCGGCGCGAGUACGUUGGCUCCGCGGGAUGCUGGUGCCGGGAACAGGACGCGUGCGGAUGGACGGCGGGCACGGUCCCGGCGUCGGUUGGCUGCCGGCCGGGCAUCUCGGCGAACGGAGGCGGCAGGCAGAGGGCUCCGCCCGUAGCCUGGCCUCGGCGGGCAGUGCCGCGUCCGGAUUGUGGGAUUGCGGAUCCGAUGGUGGACAGCAACUGUACUCUCUCGGCAGUUGAAGUCUCUGAUGGAGUGAUGGUGCAUUAAAUAUUGACGGGGUGGAUCAUAACGGCUCCUGCUGUACGAGGAGCAGUACUACAAGGCACGGAGAUCUUCGUUCAAUUAUUUUUCUCAAGGACAAGUUCGGUCUCAACCUAUUUUCGUGACAAGAGUCUCGAUCCUAUUUCGACGAUUGCCAUGGUUGGCGACGAGUGAUGGCGCACACGUAACGUACCCUCGUUGAACAGGCAGCUCCAUUUCUGCUUUCGCAACCACCGCUUCCAUGACUUCAUCACUAGGAAGUAGGAACAAACAUGUGUGACGCUGCUCGGUGAAGACGUACCGGACGAAAUUAAAUCAAAGUGGAGUUCCAGCUGUUUUUCGUUAAGCGUUCGGUGUUUUGGUGGCACACCAGUGGGCACAAACACAGAUGUGCCUUUCGCGCUGCUGCUGUUGGGAGGUCGUCUUCUUCUCAAGCAGGACGGCUGCAAGCCUACAAGCGAUGCAUGGCCACCGUUUCUUUGGUGCGCCCAACAGACGAGCUCCCGUGAUAUCUUACUUCCAGGCUUCCAGCCAUGGCACUUGGUACGGAAAUCUAGCAUAAGCAAACUAUGCAUGGCCAAACACGUCUCUAGUAUUAGACAAUACAUGUCGGCAUGUAUUGUCUUCAGAGUUAAAGGCAUUAUUAUUCACCCCAAUUUAUGUCCUACACGCAUGCAUGCCUCAAAAAAAUUACUAUAACGAUUUGGAUUCUACAAAUGUUCCUGCGAGAUUUGAAGAUUUCCCUCUGGGACAUUUGUAGCAGUUCUAAGUCCUAACCAUUACUACUUGAGAAGCUUUAUUUCCAGCUGAUACGAAAAAGGGAGUGCUCAAAUGGCGCUGAAAAGAACGCUGUUUAUUUCCAUUCAUAUACACCCGUGUGUCUCCGGCUCCUGUAGUUGCAUCGAAGCACCGCCCAAAAAACAAGUAAAAUGAUACAUGAAACAUGAUGUUCCAGACGAAUAUGAACGGAUGGACAAAAUACAACUACCGCACCCGCCAUUCAUAAUGCCAUGCAUGUAUGUGAUGUAUGCAUGGGUGCUCGGCACUUGGCAGAGCAUGUAUGUAUGGAUCCAACAACCAACUGAACCAAGCAAUGCAUGCCUUGGCCGGCUAAUGUCUCUGCAGCCUGAUCUGCUCCCUGAACUUGGCGAUGAACUCGUCGGCCUUCCUGUCCACCUCCUCCUCCCCGUCCGGCUCCGCCUUCGCCGCCAGCUCGAGAAGCUCUUCGUCCACCGACGUGUCGCCGUCACCGUCGCCUUCGCUGUGGUCAUAGACGCAGGCGGCAGCAGCGAGGUCGCCGCGGACCGACCUCUCUGACGACGUGGUCAUCUCGUCCGACCCUUCGGCGUCCUCCUCCCAGUCGGUGCCCUCGCCGUCGUCGCUCCACGGCUGGUCGUGGGGCACCCUCGACAUGGUGGACAGCGUCGCGGCGUCGAACCCGUGGGACUUGUUGGCACCGUGGACAAAGAAGGGCCGUGACGACUCUGGCUGUGAGCAUGGGGAAAGGCCCAGGUCGGCGUCGAGAACAGAGGGCGGCGAAGGGACGGCGCGCGCGCCAGCCCAGAACCCCGACGACGACGCGCAGCUGUCCGUCUCUUCACCGAAGGCGUCACCGGCGUCGCCGCCGGUUUCGGACUCUUGCGCCGCCGCAGACUUCAGCCUCCGCACCGGCAGGGAAAGCGGCCUCUCCCGCGCGCCGUGCUGGCCGUCCUCGUCGUCGUCGCUCGGCGCCGCCGCGUGAUCUGCGACCACGACGAGGGGGCCGUCGGGGUGGUACCGCGAGUUCCACGCCAGCGAGCGCUCCUUGGCGGCAUUGCCGUCGGCGUCGGCGUUCCUCUGGGCGAAGACGCCGUAGGAGAUGACGAGGCCGAGGAGGAACAGCUGGGGCACCUCCCACACCGCCUGGGCCAGCGACGGCAGCAGCGCGAGGAGCCCGACGGCGGCGGCGAGCAGCACGGCCACGGGGACGAGACCAAGAGGGAUCGCCCGCGAGACAUGGCUGGUUUGUUGCGUGGGAGCUGGGGCAGCUACGCCGGCCAUUGCGCACGGGGAGGGAGAGGUUUGUGCGUGCGUGCACGCGUCCGGUUCGUGGGUUGUGGUUUUGGGAUCGCCGUGAUAGCUUUUGCUGUAACCUACUCCGUAGCUACUAACCUAUCCUGAUGACCGUUGCCUUUGCCCCCGGAUUCCUUGCUUUGUCGCGAGGAGGAGAAUGAGGCGCGCGGCGCCCGAGACGAGGCUUGGCUGCAAAGCAACGGCGGAGAGCAGGGAGGGAAGACGAUGAUGGUGGUGUGGUUUGAAAGGCUGCCUGCUGGAUUGCCGGCCGGGCGCGUGGUCACUUUGGCAUAAUCACAUUCACACGCCACGGUGACAGUCCGGAUCAAAACAAGAUGAUGAACUGCAUGCAGAUCUAGUUAACAAAGUCCCCAAUGAACUGCAAGCGCGGCGGUGUCCGUGGCCAAAGGCAAUGGUGCGUUCUCGAGACCAGCGAGCAAAAAAAGAAGAAAAAAAAAGAAAGAUGCAUGAGCACAAAGCCCUGAAGCACGAACACGACGGCAUGAGCCAGGGGCGAGGGCCCCGUCCAGCCGAUUCGUCUGGCACAAAAGAAACACUUGACCACUAAGGCACCGACACCCGCAGCCUGACCGUCACGCCGGUCGCUUUGUCUUGCUCCGGCCGACAUCCACACAGCGUUGGCAAUGAUUCCCCCCGGUUCUUCUGGGCGCCGGCUGAACUCUCUCGGGGCCAUGAUUCCCGGAAAGGGGUGUUUGGGAGACUAACUGAAACGGCUGAUUCGUUGAGAGAAAAAUACUGUUUGGUAGCUGAUAAGCUGGAAGCGAACAGACUGUUAAACUUUAGCCCUGUUACAUCGGAUAUUCGGAUACUAAUUAGAAGAACUAAAUAUGAGCUAAUUACAAAACUAAUAGCAGAACCUCUAGGCUAAAUCAUGGAUGAAUCUAUUAAGCCUAAUUAAUCCAUCAUUAAUGAAUGGUUACUGUAGCACCACAUUGUCAAAUCAUGGACUAAUUAGGCUUCAUAGAUUCGUCUCGUGAUUUAGCCUAAGGUAUGUACAAUUGGUUUUGUAGUUAACCUAUAUUUAAUACUUCUAAUCGUGAUUUAGCCUAAGGUCUGUACAAUUAGUUUUGUAGUUAACCUAUAUUUAAUACUUCUAAUUAGUGGCCCAACAUAUAACGUGACAGGAGCUAAAAGUCUCCCAAACACCCCCGAACAGGAACAUCUAGAAUGGCUUAUGGCACACGCCCGCACCUGUUGUACAGCAAAAUAACGAUCGCUCUGUGUGGAUAAAUCAGAGUGAUGUUUCUUCUGUUAUCUAAAAGGAGCGUGUUGUUUCUAGCUUAGGUUCAGCAAGUAUGGUAAGAUUUUCCCUUUUCCAGCUUGGUCCUACAUAUCAAUGACUUAGACAAUUCUUUUAGAUAAGUCAAAGUGUGACAAUGUUGGGAAAAAAUGGGCUGUAGUUUCCACACCACAGUAUAUCUAUGGGUAAAGUAUUCUAAUUCUCUAUAAAUACAAAUAAAGAGUGUACAACAUACAAGAGUUAAAUAAAGACACCUCUCUACAUAAAAAUAUGAACUCUUGGCGGAUCUUCCUUCAUGCAACAAGGAACUUACGAGCGGCAUUACUACACUUCUGGGCCAGAAGCAAAGAGGUUGACAAGACCCCGGCAAGCUUGGACUGAGACCUCACACGCCUGAAAAAUCUCUCCAUCCAAGUUCCAGACACUUUCGUCAUGUGAUGAGAUAAAGGUAAAUGCUGGUGUCUGCAGAUGAUGGAAAGCUCUGUUAAAUUCAACCACAAGGGAUUAAACGGGAGAAAAGUAUAUCUACCUUGUGAUGCUCCACAAACUUGAAGCUCAAUGGGUCUAAACCCUUCUUGGUAAACUGUGUUAGAUGCCUGCAGAUAAUACAUCCUUGUUUAUGUAGAGGCGAACCAAAUCUACAUACUGAGUUUCCAACGAAUAUAAAAAAGGAACAACAUCUAGUUUUUCCUAAGAAAGGCACUGGACUUUACUCGGGACACAGCCAAUUAGAUCAUUAUUAAGUAAUGAAUUUGCAAAUAGAGAACUAUAGAAUAAUUCCAAUUUACGUAGUUUCUGAAUAUUUGAAGCUAGCUCAGAAAUGAAUUAAACCAUAUUUUAGCCUGUAUUUGACAUUCUCUGGUGCCUUAAGAUUCACCCAUGCAUACAGACAACAGAUACAAAAAGGUUUCAAGUUCCAAUUCAAAUGCAAUUAAAUAAGUUCUGAUGAAAUAGUUUUUUAUUGUUUUUAUCUUUUGCCGAGAAACAGAUUUACAAAUUCCAAUCAAAAGUACUCUGAAGUCUGGAAGAAGUUGCAUCAUGGGCUCAGCAAGACAGUAACAUUUCACUCACCACAAGUAAAGGGGAAGAGGGCAGUCUCUGAUGAGAAGAAGAUGAAGAAAACCAUCCGAGAGGUGUGCAUCAGCUACCAGGCCAUCAGGUGCUCUUUCAUUACGGCAUGAAAUGACAGCUGCACCAACGCUGAGGAAACGUCCUUCGGACCAGACCCACUUUGGGUUCUUGCAUAUUGUUCUGGAGCUGUCUGCAAUCUCAUCCUCUGAAUUUUGUCCAGAUGUUGAAGCCUCCUUGCAUACAAAGCAAUUUGUUCGGCAGAUUAUUUUGCGAGGUCUCUUUUGACGAAAUCGUAGUGGUUGUGCUCCAGUUACAUCAUCCUCAGCUGAUUCUGUAAGUGAAUCAGUGUUUGGAGACUCAAGAAAAGCAACCUUUGCCUCAUACGACCUGGAAAUGACCAGAGAUUGUUUAGUUGUCAACAACAUGAAGCAACAAUAGUCCUACAAUAGUACAUAACCAUUACUCACCUAUGCUUCAGAAAGACCAUUGUUCCAGAAAAGUCAUAACGUGCAGGACCCAUCCACCGGUAGUUUUCGCUCUCCCUGAUAACUUCUCCAUAAAAGCCAUAUCUACAGGCAAAAUAACAAGUGACCAUCAGCAAUCAUGUGAAAAAGAUGGCCUAACAUGCGGUAGUGAAAUUCACAGAUAUGUCAUUUUGAUUAGAAAGAAAAUAAGGCUAAGUUCACUGUAGCUUCCCACAGAAAGUAAAGGCCCUAUUACUUAUUUGUUUGGGUCAUGGUAAAGACUCCUGCAGGAUGCCUAUGCUAGCUAAUUUAAAAGUAAAACCAAGGACCGGCAUGCAAACUCAUCAAAUUAUCACUCUUUCAAUUAAUAUAAGAACGAGGUAAAUUCUUGUUUUCAUGGAUACAUCACGGAAAAUCCUAAAUUUUAUUAAAAUUAAAGACAAAAUUGCGCAGAGUUAUUCACAUCGUGCAACUGUACUAUCUCCUAGAGGAAGACAGGAAGUGGCCAGCAUACCCUGCAAAUGAAGCGGCAUAGCGUACAGUAGGCAAGACCUCAGCUGUUGGGCUACUUUUCCAUCUGACUACUUGAGCUAUAUCAAGUGACAUCCUUCUGCCGAGAAUAAUAAGCAGAGCAGAGGUCACAGGAUCUCGCUCCCCAGUUGUGCUGCAAAGACCAAUGAGCAUUAACCGUCAGCAAAAAUAAUUGAUGACUCCAUAUUAUGUACAGACAUACAGUGGGAUCAGCACUUUGUGGUUAAAAAAACAAAAAAAAUGGUAACAAUGUGCAUGGGCUGCUGGAAUUAAAUAGGCAUGAGCAACCCAGUGCUACCUUUUGCAAGUUCACCAAUUGCCAUGGGCUGUGUUUGCUCACAGCUACACUACAGAUAUGGUAAUAGUGGAAUUGUCCAGUAUCGAAAACGGCCAUAACUAUCUCACACGGAAUAAUCAUGGGUCCACAAAAAUGACUACUCAAAAUACAAACUCAGUGGGAAGUAAGGAACACAGCAAUAACAAUCAAUCAAAAUAAUGAGGCGAGCUUUACUGAUGAGUAACUUAAACACUACCUGAGAACAAUAGCAUCAGUUGAGCCAGAAGGAAUUAUGCCAAGCCUGAACCAGUCAUUUGGGAAGGAGACUAAAUGAUCCUUAUCUGCAGGACAAACGAGUUAAAUAAUGACAGAAGCCCUCUAGUUUAAUCAGUGAACCUCAGAAGUUCUAAGAAAAGCAGGAUCACCAGGUUAGAAUAAUUCACUAACCUCCAAUGCAUGGUUCUUUACUAGAAUCUGCAACAAGAAACCACCAGAAUACUUACACAAGAACUUUCCAUAAAACAUAUGCACAACAUGUAAACAGGAACAUACUUGAUGAUGGUAUCUCUAGUCCUGUAGGUUGUGAAGUUGAAAGAAGAGGUUCAUGGUCAUCACAUUUACUUGAAUUCCCUGGAAACAUGGUAUUCACAGAAUCUGGUAUGGGCAUACUACAGUUUAGCCCAUUCUUUGCCUGUUCUUUACAGUUUCCAUUGCUCCCAAAAUAUCCAAACCCCUCGGGAGUUGGAGGAUAAGAAGCCUUGUGCCUUGAACUAAGUAUCCCGUUCAGAACUUCAUUAAAUAGACCAUCACCACCCUAAAAUUCCAAGUUUCAAAAAUGUUAUGAGUAACAUGGAAGUUUCUCCUUUUGGAUUAAUGGUAGCUUGUUUUUUCUCUUAACAGAACACAGUGAAAGGCAUUCAAACUUGUAUGCAAAAUUUUGACAACAUGCAGGAAGUGAGAUCCCAACUGUUCGCCUAAACGGUUGUUUAGUCCGUUUAAAUGGCAUUUAAACACUACACACUAGCUAGCCAUUUCUGUUUAAUCAUCCGUUUCAACCGUUUAGCCCGUUUAAACAACCAUUUAGCCUGAUAAUUAGAUAAAGGAUAGGUGACCGACUGUUUACCUCUUAGCGUUUAGGAUAAGACUCCAUUGGAAAAAAAAAAUCCCCAACACACAAGGGAGCUGCGUGUCAUUGCAUUAUAGAAGAAAAGUUUUCUUAAAACACACCUAAGAACAGAAAAAACUUGAUCUCCAAAACUGUGCACCAGGCUAAACAAGAACAACCAAAAGGAAUAGAAACACCAACAAGGCCUGCAGCAGAAGCUGCAAUCCUCGCGCCCAGGCCUUGCACCAGGUGUUCCUGUGUUCCUAGCUAAAAGUGUGUUUAAUUUACAAAAGGAUAUAAUAAAAACAGAAAAAGAUUAGUGCAUAUUUAUGCCCACAUAGAUGUUUCUAGUUUAUUACGUUUACGCUCACAUAGAUGCUAGCUAGCUCUAGUGUCACGUCCGUGCGGAAGUGAACGGAUUGGAAAGCUCUAGGUGGUCUCCGGCCAUUCCUUGGCCGGCUUCCUGCACGUGGUGAGAUAGCUGAUGCCAGGGCGGCAUCGAGUUCAGCAGGGAGAUGAGAACUAGAGCAAUGGGAUGAGGAGUAGAGAAGCUAGAUGGGAUAACGGAUUGAUGUAUUGAUUGCUCGAUUUCCCCGUGAAAGUAAUAUAGCCAGCCAGGGAGAUGAGAACUAGAGCAAUGGGAUGAGGAGUAGAGAAGCUAGAUGGGAUAACGGAUUGAUGUAUUGAUUGCUCGAUUUCCCUGUGAAAGUAAUAUAGCCAGCCAGCUUACAAUACAACUAAAACACAACUCCAAUUGUAAUCUAUAUAGAUUCUAGACUUCCUUUUCGAACUCUGGACUCUAAUUCCGAUUCUAAUUCUUAACUUCUGAACUUUCCUAACUCUGAAUUUUCCUUAUCCAAUACUUCUGACCAGCAAAUUGACUAUAACAUCUAGUUUAUUAAGAAGGUGGUCCAUGCAUUUGACCCUUAAUUUCUUACACGUUUCCUGUCUUGCAGAAUAAAGAUACUCAUGAUGACUAGGCUUCAUCAUUAUAAUACUUGCCCAAUAAAUUAGAGAAAAUAUAGGUUGGUAACCAAGCAAAUAGAAUUGGAAUUUAAUUGUCUUACCACUGCAACAACACCUUCAAGUGCCUUGAGUUCUAUAUCUGAUAAUGAUGCUAGCGUGUCGUAUGCAUGCCCUGCUCUAUCUGUCACUAUAACCUGAAGACCAACAUUAGGGGUGAAAAUAAGUCAAGAGCACUGGAGUUGUUCAUAAAUGGACAAGAAAUUCUGAUGUCAUGAAAUCAUAAGAAAUAAAAGUCUACCUUUGUUUUUAUUUUCGCUCUAUCAAAUAAUGGGGCUACUGUUUCCCAAUUCUUGACCCCUCUACCUUUUCCACAUAAUGGAUGAACAAAUACCUGUAAUGUGUUGACGGUUUAUCAAUCUCAACGGCAGACCAACAAUGAGAAGAAGAAAUAUCCUUAGCAUGUCUUCACAAGUGCUACAGUGUUAAGAGGAGAAGAAAUGCAUCAUAUAUACCAUCAGGUUCUUUGGUCUAUCGCCUUCAUUGUUUAUGCAAGCCAUGAGACGAUCAAACCAAAUUUUGCAGGUCUUCAAGUCUCCGUGACCAAAAAUAUAUUCACAAGGUACCAAUGGAGAAGGACGUUUUCUUGUUCUGGUAAUCCCAUGUACAACAAAUCGAUGCAUCUGCAUGAGCAUAUGAUUUUGUUAAGAAGAUAUAUAUAUACUUCUAGUUUCAGCCAUAGGUAGUUCUUUCUAGUUUCAGCCUCAGAUAUCCCUGUAAGUCAGGCUUCCUCUCUUUGGUUCCUGUUUUGCCUUUACAGGCCUUGUACACUUUCAUUUUUUCAUGUUUUUAUAUACUACUUACUGCAGUUGGGGUUUUCCAUACUGCUUUCCCAUCAAAAAAAAAGGAGCAGUUUUCCUACUCCAGAGAAUAUAUACUCCCUACCUGUAUCUUAGAAAGUGGAAUAUGCGAGAACAUAAGCUGUUGAGCGAAUAUUAAGUUUUGUGCAAUAUAUGAAUUUUUUUGAAUACUUUCAUUUGAUUCGCCAGUAAAGGGUGAUGCAACCGGUAGAUCAGUAUAUAUUGUUAGUAAUAAAGGAGUAUAUAAAGUUUGUUUAAAAUUUAAAUAGCGUAUGGGAGGUGGGAGAAAGCUUGUAGCUACACACAGAAACAGGAUGGAACUAACCUAUCUAAUAUUGGUUGGCAGAAAUGUUUGAUGCACGUUGCAGAAAAUGAAGCUUGUAUUAACCAGAAGGAAUGCCAUAACCUCAAUAUUUUUCUUGCCUUGAAUAGCAGUUCUUGUGUUCCAAGGCCCACAGAUAGGACCCUUAUCAAGCAGCUCUAUGGCGUAAACAUCUGAAAACUUGAUUUUGUUGUCUAAUUUAGGCUGCAUUGUAAUGGAUGACCAACAUGAAGAGAACAGUUCCUGUAAAAAGUGGCAACUUGAGCACAAUAACAUGGCAACAUAGCAAGAGGAAUAUUGGAGCCUCCUGCUGGCAUUUAUCAUUUGCAACUCAAGAGUGUAAAUUGAAGGCAACAGUAAAAACGGGGAUGCAUCGUAAUGCUGUGAUUUUUUUUAAAUGCAUGUAAAAGAAGAGAAUAUUCUACUGUCACAAUCAUAAAUAGAUAUUAGUAUAAACAAUUUCGUCCAGUGUGAGGAUCAUAUGUGGGGCCUGGACGCCUGAUGGCACAUAUCAGUGACACUAUGGAUAUUAUUUCCAGCUCGGUGAUCAUUGCAAUGGUGCUGGCCAACAGUAAGCAAAUGUAGUGCUCUCUUCCUUAAAAGCGUUGAUGAGGUUGAGCUUCACAUACACACAGGAGGAUCGAUGUUUCUAGUUGGGUUAUUCAACAAGCAUUUGUAUGCUUUCACUUGCCAAAGGAUGUCUUUCAGAUCACAAUUCACAAAUACUCCUACCCCAAAAGCCUACAAUAGCUACUGCAAAUCCAAAAAAAAUCACUGUGGUAUCUAAUAUUUGUUGGAUACAUAAACUUCCCAAGAUGGUCAUCCUGUGCAAUGUCGCAGUUUCCAACCACUCGUUCCAUGAGCCCUUUCCCAAUUUUGAACCAAAAUAGUGAAUCAAGUACCCCCUAUGUUCAGAGAGGUUGGGGUUGUAAUUUGCAACCAUAUUCACCUUCUCACCGUCUUCCUAUCCACCCUCCCAACUCUUCGAUCGCCCACUGAAAGCUACACAUCCCCGGCCCUGUCGCACAAUCCGACUCAAGCACGCUCAAAACCCUCUCGAGGAAGCGUCACAAGGAGUUAAACCCGUAAGAUCUGGAGCUAGCCUUCAGCAGUCACAACGGAACAGGCAGAGGGGCGUAGCAUCAGGGGGCCGGAGCGUACCGGAUGGAGGGGCUGUAGCGAGAGGUCGCUGCGGCCGAUGGACACGACGACCUCCCCGGCGCCGUCCAGGAACAGCACCUCGCCGCCGUCCAGGAGCACCUCGCCGCCGUCCUGCAUGGCCUCCUCGACAAGUUGUCCGGCGCGCGCUCGUGUGGGUGUCGCUUUCUUUUCCGUUGCCGGUGUGCUGCUCGAGCUUUCGGUGGGGAGCGGAAGAGGGGAAAAGAGCACGGGGAAAUUUCGUUCACUUUGGGGAUCGGAUAUUUGUGUUUCGAGGGGUUGGGUCCGCCUUGGUUUGAUUGCUUCGUCUCGGACCAAUUUAUUUUUUUCAUUUUCCUUCCAUCACAUAUCAUCUCGAUUAUAUGUAUAUAUAGGGAUAAAGAUAAAAAAAAUUGAAAACCUUUCUCGAGAGGUUGGGUCCGCCUUGGUUUGAUUGCUUCGUCUCCGACCGAUUUAUUUUUUUCAUUUUCCUUCCAUCAUCUCGAUUAUCUAUCUAUCUAUACAUUAUAAAGAUAAAAAAAAAUUGAAAAUCUUUCUCACCCGGAUCAGGAUCAUCUUACCCCUCACGCUAGACCUACAUAUCAGGCCUCAAGAAGGUGGGAAGAGGUACAGACUAGAUCUAGGAAUGGAUAACGACCAUAUCCCAAUAAAAAAAAUCCAAGGAAGAUCCAAAUUUCUGAAGUUCACGCGUCCGAUCCAUCCAAUUCAUUCACUCAAAGUCCAAUAUCCAGAAAUAGUAUCCAAACGAGAGAUGCAUUCAUUCUGUUGACUAUUCAGACAACAUCGUUGUUGCGCCCGCCGCUGACUUGAGCUCCACGAGGUUGCGCCCCGGGAGCACCUUCCCGGGUCCAGAAACGUCGGCGUGCGCUCCUAGGGUCCAGGAAAGCCGCCGCGCCCAUCGUCCCUUGUGCGGCCUCGCACCUCCACUUCUCCACCAGCGGGAUCUUUGCCGCCACCGCCUUCCCGACCGCGGCGUUGCCGUCAGCUGUUGUCACCGUCGCGAGUAGCUGCGCUUCGAGCUCCUCGGCGUGCUCUCGUGCCUCGACCUCGCUGGUCCCGAGGGUCUCGUUCUCCUGGCGCAUGCCUUCUAGUGCAUGCUUUUUCUCGACGGUGGUGUCCCGCAGGCCGACGUUCUUGCCACUGACAAGCUCGAGCGCCUCCAUGGACGAGCAUGACGCCGGUUGCGGACAUGUGGGCAAAGGCGGCGGCGUCAAGCUCAAGCCAUGAGGGUGCCGCCGUGCCGGAGUAGUGGAAUGUCAAUUCCGCCUGCAACUCCGCCUAUUCGAUCGCCAGUCACGGCUGGAGCAACGCAAGCAGCUCUCACGCGGCUACCUCCUUGAGGACCAUCGACGCACAUACGAUAGUUGAUGAACUCGUCGUUGUGCGGUCCAAUACUGCUUGACAUCUAGUUUAUUUUAGCCUGUGGACAUCCACAUCCAAAACUAAUCCAGUCCAACGAAGUCCAAAAGGAAAAAGUUCAUUUGGAUUUGGAUUUUCAAAAUCUAUUCCCACACGUCCAGUGCUGGCCCAUGGAAACCGAGAAAACCAAGAGUUAGAAAAUGUCUUUGCCAUUUUACACCAUUUUUUCUCACCGCAAUUGCGGCUUACCCGUUCGGGUACCCACGCACUCCCCAGCCGCGAAUCAGGCUUGCAGCGCCUGUCAUCCGAUUCCCCUGCCUCCUUCCGUCGCCCCCCUUCCACAUACGCAUCGCGCCGUCCUCCCGUCCUCGCUCCUCCUGUCCGCGCUCGCAUCCUCUUGGAUCCUUAGUAGAGCAUGAGCUCACAGAGCCGCCAACGGGGGCAGAAGUGGAGGCGCGGGAGCUGUAGAAGUGGCAGCCGUGAUGCCUGCUCUCGCUCUCUUGAUUAUCACCUCUGCUUGACGCAAUUACUCGGUUGUGCGGCUAGCCCUGGAACGAGCGCCGAUUGCCGCAGUCGCAAGUUCGAUGUCUUCGACAGCACCUGGCUGCUGGGGCCGCCCUAGAUCGAGGGCGGUGCGUGGACUACCGCGGCCACAAGUUUGAUGGCAUCUGGCUCUCCGUAGUGGAGAUCCUCCGCAAAUACUCCGUGAGCCGUGGUCGAAUACAUCAUCUUCUCAUGCGACAACAUCGGGUGAGGCAUUGGUUUCCUGAGAUUUAAUCCUCCCACGCUCUACCAAGGACUUACGUUGCUCUUACUGAAGAGAAUCAAUUUUGGGAGCUCUGUCAAACGCACCCUUACUGGAGCUGCUUUGACAAAAUGCUAUAUCCCAGCUAUCAAUAUGGCUAUAUUUGAAUUUAAGUAACUAUACUCUAUCCACUCCUUGCAUGUUAAACCAUCUAUUUUAGUAGACACGCUCUAUGUCUAGCUCGAGGCAUAAAAAAGACCUAGCACGUGCAGUCCUGGAGGUUUUCAGCCAUCCAUAGUAAGUGAAGAGCGCACCUGGAGGGUGAUGGCUCGAGGUCGAAGCAACCUUUGUCCAUUGUUACGUGUUGAGAGAAUUUUUAAUAAAAUAUUUCUACCCCUCCAUUUUGAAUUGUAUAUUAUUUUAAUUUUUUUAAUUCAUAAAUCUUACUUAUAUAUCUAGACAGGAAGUAAUAUAUAAAACUAUAUAUAAUCUUAUAAGAGGAGUCUUAUAUUUUAGCUUUGACGGUGAACGAACCUUGCCCAUUACGAUGUGAAAACUGAAACCGAACAUUGAAGUGGUUGCUCAAGUUGUAUCAUCCAGCUCUAACUAAAGGCGUGCAACCUUUAUACAGUAUACUUGUGUGGAUGAAAUAUACGUUGCUACUCCCUCCAUUUCAAAUUAUAAGUCAUUCUUAGAGAGUCAAAAUAUCUCAAAUUUGACCAAAUUUAUAUAAUAAAGUACUAACAUUCAUGAUACCAAAUAGGUACCAUUAGUUUCUUCAUUAAAUAUAUUUUCAUAGUAUAUCUGUCUGGUACCAUAAUUUUUUAUGAUCUUCUCUAUAAUUUGGUCAAACAUAAAAUGGUUUGACUGUCUAAAAAAAGUUAGAAUCUUCAAAAAAGUUAAAAUGACUUAUAAUUUAGAGCGGAGGGAGUAGUUUUCUACUUUGAUUAGAAGUCCUUACAAUGUGAACUGUACAAUUGAUUAAUCGAUGUUUGUGAAUUCGUCCAUGCGUUCCUUAAUUCCAUCUUCCUCUCUAUUGGUAAUGGCUAUUUACAUGUUCUACUGCUGCUUGGUGUUUAUUUCAAAUUUGUGAUUGCGUUUUCUUAGGUUACUGUCAAUAUGAAUUCGUACAACCUACUGUUUUUUAGAAAGUUGCGACUCGCCCAACGAAUGCCUAUAACUCUUUUGCUAGCCUGCUACUGUAUUCCUAAAAUCCAGUCAGUGCCCCAUCGGGGGUCCAACACGACGGGCUGCGUCGUACUACUACGCUUUUUUUCCCUUUUCUCGACGACGCGGGUGUUCUGUAUCAGCAGCAACUUGCGAGAGAAAUCUGGCCCAUAUACAUUUGCAGCCCAACUAAACUAGCUUGUAAAGUCCCCGGUGCGGCGCAGAGGCAAGCAGGAGAGAACCGCAACCCCCAAGCCUCGACUCGUCCCCCCUCCCUUCUCCGGCGACUCCGACUCCAUCGGCGCCAUUUCGAGUCCAGGGUUCAAACAUGCCGACGGUGGAGGAGGUCUUGGCGAUGGAGGUCCGGCUUUUCCCCCUUUCCUCUCCCCUGAGAUCGUCGCUGUUCUACUGAUACCUUAGUUGUGUCGUGAUUGUGAUCGUGUAGCCACCAAUUGCGUAGUGUCCUCUGCCCUAAGAGAGAGCGCCCUUCCAUUCCGCGGCAUAAUAUGGUCGGAGAUUGCACGCAGAUGCAGUGAUCCUGCUUUAAUUGAAUUCUGUUUGACUGUUUUGAUCUUCGAUUGUUUGAACUGGAAGUAAUUAAUACCUAGUGUUUCAAGUACACAACUAGCAACUAGCAACAGCAAGUUAGAGGUGAUGUUGUCAAAUUUUCUGAUUUGCUAAUCCUCUAAAUUGAAAUGUAUCAUCUUAAUUCAUAACUCUUCAAUCUAUUACUUUGGAUCGAUUAGCUUAUAAGUAAUCUCAUCUAUACUAUUUGACUCGUUAUAUGCAUCACUGUGCCAAUCUUUUUUUAUGGGAAAUCAUUUUGCUGUUCAACAUCGGUAUACUACUGAUCACCAACUGCUUCCCGGUGCCCAAACAAACAUAUCUACCAGCUGAUCGAUGGAACGUUUGCGUGAUCAAUUUUUUUACUAGAGAACACAGAGUUUAGGUGUUUAACAGCGGUAGUAUUUCUUCUUGUAAUGUUGACCUUCAUUUUGUAUGGAUCAAUGUUGGGUUAAUGUACUUUCUCCCUACAGAGCUGUUAUUAUCAUUUUCAGUUUGUUUUCCUUAAUGGAUGAAAUGGAAUGAGUAACCCUGUUAUUAAUAGCACGAUAUUUGCUUGAACUCAUUUUUUAUGGAAUACAUACUGUUUUACCUCAUAUUUAGAGCAAGCUUCCAUCGACAUAAUGCUCUGCACGGCAGCAACUACCAUAAGUCCAUAACUAGUAUAAUUUUGUUGUACCUAUCGAGGAAAAUAGUCCUUCAGCUUGUGUGUUUGUAGCAUCCGUGAUUCCACCAAUAUGAUGUGAUUCUUUUGUGCAUGUAGCAUGUACAUAUAUCGUAUGGCAAUCUGAUCUGUUGCAUAUUAAUAUUAUAUGUAAAUUAGAGAUUAAUACCCCCCCCCCCCCCCCAAAAAAAAAGGACACGGGCUGCUUCUUCCUAAAAAGGUUUGAUCCGGAAUGGGUUGGUAUAAAAUCCCACCCAAAGUUUUCGCCAACAAAGGAAGUAUAAAUUAAGCGCAAAGGUUACCUGUGCUGGAAAAAGUUUUUUUAAAAUUUACAAAAAAGCUCUUUACGAAAAAAGUAAACCAAUCUGGGAGCCGAGACUGACCGCCCCUCUCCAAUCGGAAGGGCGCAACAGGACCGGAGUUCCAAUGGCGCUCCUGUGGGCCAUGACAUUUCCACUUUUGGGCACAUUAAUUUUAAAGGUUGUCGGGCAACUCUCAAAGCAACCCUAAAUAUCCCUAAAAAUUUUUAUUUUCGGAGAACAAAGAAAAAAAAANNNNNNNNNNNNNNNNNNNNNNNNNNNNNNNNNNNNNNNNNNNNNNNNNNNNNNNNNNNNNNNNNNNNNNNNNNNNNNNNNNNNNNNNNNNNNNNNNNNNAUGGGUUGCGGCUUCCGUUGCGUAGCACGCUUACCGUUUCACCCACCUCAAUCGCGAUCCCGUCACCCCGCUUAUUUGCGUGUGGUCUCUCCUCCCCCAAUCACCCAUCACACUCCUUUCCCACACCACGUCAUGCGCGUUCAUCUGCUGGUCCUCGAAGAAGGGGCGGCAGUGCGGCACGCCAUCGUCGCCAUGGGCAUGCCGUCGGACAUCCCCUUGACGAUGGAUCCCCAGCCAGAGUGCGUGAUGAACGCACCCACCAACGGGUGCCGCAGCACGGCGGCCUGCGGCACCCACGACAUGAGGAUCCGGCCCGGAGUUACUAGUCGCCUUGGUGCGGUCCAGGAACCCGGUGGGGGCAGCGGCCAUGCAUCCUCCCGCAGCGACCACAGGAAGGGAGCGCCGCUGGCCUCGAGCCCGUAGGCGAGCUCACAAAGCUCGUCAGGUAGCGGCGCGACGACCAUGCCGAAGCUGACGUACGUGAUGGCACCAGCGGGGCGGCGAGCAAGCCAGCUGAGGCAGCCACGGGGUCUUCGGUGGCAGGCGCGAUGGUGCCGGGAGGAGGUGGUAGGGCCUGAUGGCGAUGGGAGGCAUCAGCAAGCGCCGCGGUGAGCGUGUCCUCCAGGAGGUUCCCCAGCAGCAGCGGCUCAGCGAGGCUCGGCCGCGCGCCGCCACCCUUCCGCCUUGGCCGCCUCCGGCGCGGCCUUUGGGGCGGCGCGACGCGGUCGGGCAACGGUGCUGGCAUGAGCAGAGAGCUCGAGCGGCGCAUGAGCGAGGAGUCGUGGGGGACGGCGGGCUUCCGAUGCAUUGGUCCCUAGCAUGGCAGUGUAGCGGCUAGGCAGCGGCGGCGACGAGGCAGCAAGCUAGCAACAACGCUAGGAGAUGGAGGAAGCUACACAGCAGUCGAGAUGCAACAUCCCGUGGCUGGAGAAAGUCAGGAUAAGGAUGACUAGUCAAGGAGGAACAGAUAAAAGAAGAGAGCACUCGUACGCAUUCAUUGCCGACACAGAAGAAAUUGCGAGGGGGAAGCUACCAAUAGGGGGUCAUACGUGCUGACGUGGCUAGUUUUGAAGUAUUGGGAAGUUUAUUAUUGGGAUCUGCUGUGGCAUGACAUGACGAUGUUGGGGAACAAAUUUUUAGUAGAACCCCAAUACAUAAUUUUGAGAAUUUUUUUUUUGAAAAACUUUUGGAAUUGCUCUUACUAAAAGCUAGGGAAACAUACAAAGCUAUCCUUGCUGUUGAUGGUACUCCUAGGCUCCCCCGCGCAGGUACAUGCCAUCUAUCAAGAAGUGAUUAUCAAGCAGUUUUGGAACUCUUUAGUUCAGUUCACUGGUGACAAGUUUGUUUCCUUAAAAAUAGAAGAGAUCAAUCGUAGUAACUAGUGAGUAAACAGUCUAAGUGUAGUAAUUAGCGUGGUAAAUAUGAUGACGAGGAAGCUUCGAGAGCGAAACUGUUGUUGAUGACGGGAAACUGAAAUUGAGCGUUGGGUCUGCCUGUUCUAGUUGCAUCGGUCAACUGAGAGGUGUACGUAACGUGUGAACACUUGCUUGUGGACGGAACAUGUAUCGCCACUCUGACUGAAUGCCAUUGCAAUAUGAGUAAUACGGUCGGUCAAUGGAUGACGUGAAUUCACUCCUGCUUGCUCACUGCCUGGCUCCUGUCAAUGUGUACAUGUCCUUAUGCUGCUUGAUGUUUGUUACGAACUUACAAUUUGUUAGGCUGCGGAUCUCUUAGCACUUUGUUAUUAGCCAGCGUACCUGGGCGCUGUAUGGCAGUCAGUACGUGUUGUUUGUGCUGAGUUUGUCCCUCUCCGAACUGUCCGAGACAAUGCGCACUCUCUAGUGUAUGUUCUCUCACUCUCUGGUGGCAUAUACCUGAUUGUCUGUAUGGUCGAUCAAGGCUGUGUUAUACGGAACGAUUUACAGCACAUUCAUAUACUUGAAUAAAAUAUAUACACGGUCAUCCUUAUAAUUCUACAUUCUAAAAGCAGGACUAUGAUGAAAUACCCUCAUGAAUGUCAGUCUACAUUUUGGACCCGUAAACCGGCGAGCACUUACAAAAGUACCAAUAUCAGUAUGCUUUUAUCAAAAUAUAACGAAUAUUACUAUGCGCAGGAAAACUACUCAUCUUCAUCAUAAUAAGCGAAACCACCUCAUCAUGUUUCCUUCACGGAAAAAAGUUUAUCGCAUACCUUCCUGAGAAAAAGAAGCAGCUUAUCUUAUGCCGAAACAUGUGGGCGUCAUGUUUAUGACUUAACACUAGUUAUAUACAAAAACAGGGCCAACAUGACACUUGACUACUUGAGUCAGAGUCGAAGCCGGUCGAGUCCGUCCGUCCCUAGAUAGAGGGCCAAGCCCAACCACAAAGGGGCCCGAGCCCGAGUCGGAGCCGUGACCCGUCGGGUUAGGUCUACAAAUGAAGGUGAGAGGUCCGUGGAGGGAUCAAAGUCCAAACGCAUCCCACCCCCACCGCCACGUUCAUCUUUGGGGGCUCUUGGACUGGAGUCUUGGAGACGGUGGGCUUCACCGGCGGACCGAUGGAUCGGUUCGACGCCCUGAGCGAUGAGGAGAUCAGGUCCUUCGCGGCGAGGCUGGAGGUUGAUCCGUACAACCUGAGGCACAUCAUCGAGCCCAUGGAGGGCAUCGCCUGCGUCAACCUGCGGGAGGAGCUGGAGCGGUGUGGGUCACCGACCACCACAUGGAGAAGGAGCGCACCAAAGGGAUGACCCUCGAGCAGCUCGUCGCCGACACCCGGGCCACGCUCAUCCCCUCCAUGACCGCAGCCCUGCGCCUGGCCCAAGAACACCUCGCCGCGGGUGUUCGGGAGGCAUGUGCUAAAUUUUAGCACAUGUCACAUCGGAUGUUUAGACACUAAUUAGGAGUAUUAAACAUAGUCUAAUUACAAAACUAAUUGCACAAUCCCUAGGCUCAAUCGCGAGACGAAUCUAUUAAGCCUAAUUAGUCCAUGAUUUGACAAUGUGGUGCUACAGUAACCAUUCGCUAAUGAUGGAUUAAUUAGGCUUAAUAGAUUCGUCUCGCGAUUUAGCCUAGGAGUUGUGCAAUUAGUUUUGUAAUUAGACUAUAUUUAAUACUUCUAAUUAGUGUCCAAACAUCUGAUGUGACAGGUGCUAAAAUUUAGCAACCGCUAUCCAAACACCCCAGGAGGAAGCCCGGAAGCACUCGCCCAAGGGCAAGGCUGCCCUCUAAUCAGCAACGGCGCGCGCAUUCCUGUCGACAGGCGCUUGCUUAAGGCCUCUGCUCAGCUCAGCUCAACUCAAAUAAAAUUAGUAUUUGUAACCUCAGAUUCCAUCUUUACAUUUGUAUGAGACGGCUCUUUUCGUAUCUGAGAGCUUAAAAAGUUCAUGGGAGAUUAGCUACGAAUAAUGUCUGAGAUAAGCUUUCUUUAGUUGCUAUAAUCUGAAGAUUUGCUAACGCCUAACAGAGUUCCAGUCUUCCAGAUUGCCCCACUUUAGACAGGCCUUUGCUGUAUUGCACGUUGCACCCGUCGUCCCAUCCUAUCCAAUUGAAGGAUUAAAAGAUCUCUACCAGAUGUAGUGAUAUACUGAUAUAUAUAUUUCUCUUAAAUGAAGAAAUAUAGUAGUAUCUAUCAUGCUACUUUGCUCAAAAUAAAGAACGCCAUAAAAGGGCACACAACGGGUCCGUUCGCUUCAGCUUAUAAGCCGGCUGAAAAGCUGAAAUGGCUGAUUUGUUGUGAGAGGAAAAUACUGUUUGGUGGCUGAUAAACCGGCUGAAUAAGCUGAAGCGAACAGGUCCAACAUUUUUACUUCAAUCUGCCAAGUCUUUUCUUAGACAUGAAAGGCAGAGGCAAAUGGAAGUCCUAACUGAACGUUCAUAAAUUCCUACGGUGUUUAAAGACACGUAUUUGCAGAUGGUAAAAUAGUAAAAUAAGCGCAAAUCUUCUGCUGAGUGCUGACGCCAUAGAAGAUUUUUCUCUUUUUUCUUUAGAAACGUCCAUGAUGUAGCCGUAUUGCGUAUAACUGCGCGCGAUACUGGGCCUGGUCUUGUCGUUCUUCCUGGUCAGGCCCAACCAAGUUUUCUCUCCAACCCACCACCGCACCCGCACAAACCUCCACUCCAACUGAUCCCCUACCUCCCUCUCCUUCCGCAGUUCCGCCUCUCGCAAAAAAUUCAAAACAAACUUUGCGCCCGUCGAUCCGCUCCAACUCCAAGCAAGACGCCACUACCUCCCCGAACGGAACCAUGGUUUCCGCCAAGGAGACCUACCGCGCCGAGCUCCGCGCCGCCGCCCGCCAGCUCGGCGAGCGCUGCCUCUAUUCCGCCGCCAAAUGGUACGCCCCCAGGUCAACCCCCUCCUCAAACCCUAAACCCCUAACCCUAAUCCCCUCCCUUUCCGCAGGGCCGCCGAGCUGCUCGUCGGCGUGGAGCCGGACGCGGCCCCGGCCCCGUCGGCCGCGAUGGACUCCCCGUCCUCCUCGUCCGCGGCCUCCGCAGGGCGGCUAUUGCACCUGCACCGCAGCGGGGGUUCCAGCUUCCGCCACCGCCCACGCCCCGGCGGCGGGCCCAGCUCGGAGGCCGGGACACCGCUAGGCGGCGUGUCGUACGUCAGCACGCCCAUUCCCGACGACGACGCGUUCGAUUCGGGCGGCGACAAGUACCUGCUCGCCAAGACCUACUUCGACUGCCGGGAGUACCGCCGCGCCGCGCACGUGCUGCAGAACCAGGUUGGGCGCAAGGCUGUCUUCCUGCGAUGCUACGCGCUCUACAUGGUGAGAUGGGAUCCGCUUGUCUAUUACUUCCUGCGUUGAUUUUUUUUGGUGUAUUGCGAAUUUUCAGAUCUGGGAUAGAGCGAAUGGUGUUUGAUGAAAUGCCACUAGAGCUGCUGCAUUUUAGGUGAGAGUUGGGUAGGUAUGGGGCCGCCAAUGGAUUAAUUGAUACAUUUUGCUUUUAGGUGUAAUCGAUACAUACUACUGGCUCAAACGUCUAAUUAGUUUACUUUGAUGUGAGAAUGAAGUAAUCAAUAAAUUCUCAUUUACUGAGAUUUUACUUGAAAAACUGAGCAGAACUGGACUGCAGGAGUAGUUUCAACUUGCAAUUGGCCAAUUGAUGGAUUAUGCUUGAUGUGUGUGCUCAUGUACUGCUUUAAGCGAAAAGAAUAGUUUGACAUUUAGAAAACCUCUAGUCAUGUAUCAUACUUAGCUAUUGUUUCCCUCUUUGUUGACAAGCGCUUAGCUUUCUGAGCAUUAGAAAGAAUGGAUGAUGCGUGAUUAAUGACUCCUUUUACUGGCAAGUUGGUUUUGGUGUGAUGAUAGCAUUGGAUGGAUAUCUUACCUUCAAACAGGCAUUUGUACCAUGUACUCAGCACAGUGUUUCCACUAGUUCUGCACACUGCUGUUAUUUUGACAAAGCUAUAUGCAUAAGGAGUUCAUAAAUAUGAGUGAACAGUCUCUGUUUCUUUUUUGUUGUAAUGUUGAGGGCUUCAAACAAGUCUAUUAGGGCAUGUUUGGAUAACAUCAUUCCAUCCCAGUACAUUUGGAUUGGAGUGAAUUAUCAUGUAUCCACUUAUAUGUAUGGAUCGGAGGGGAUUAUCAUGUAUCCAAACACGGUCUUAAAUGGUUGUCUGUUUCUAUUCGAUAUUCAGUAUCGAGACAUGCGCACAAAAAGUAUAGCCUUCCACUCCAUAAAAUUGUGGCUGCAUCACUGGCGACUGGUGAAAUGGAAAUGAUUAGCAUUAGUUCUUGAACCAUGGCACCUUUCCUUUUUAGGAUAUCCUUUGCCAGUUAUGAAACGCUUCAAGGUGGCUGGUACAGAGGGUUUAUUUCAAUGUAAAGAAUUGCAAUAAUUACAGGCUGAAACUCCAUUACAGGCACUCAUUUUAUAUUUUAAUUGUCAAGUUAGUUUUUUUUACUGAAUGUGCAUGAUUUGGGAUUGUAUAAUGGUGAAUAUGUUCCAGUGUGUCUUAUACUUGUGUGCAUCUGUAAUAAUGAAACUCCAUGGUCUGAUCUGUUAUUCUGUGAAAAAGGAUUUCUGUGUGCAGUUUAAUGUUUUGCCCUUUUCUACACACACUAUGACAGUUUUUUUUUUCACUUUGCCCAUAGUUUAAUUAGCAAUCUAUUUGAUCUGCAAUUUUAGGCUGGAGAGAAACGGAAAGAGGCGGAGAUGAUAGAGCUUGAAGGAUCGUUGGGCAAGAGUAAUGCUGUUAAUCAGGAACUAGUUGCUUUGGAGAGAGAGCUGUCAACACACCGGAGAACUGGUUCUAUUGACUCAUUUGGGCUCUACUUGUAUGGCCUUGUUCUACGUGAUAAAGGAUGUGAAGGUCUUGCUAGAACGACUUUGGUAGAGUCUGUCAACAGCUACCCUUGGAACUGGAGUGCUUGGUCAGAGUUACAAGCUUUAUGCACCAGCAGCGACAUUCUAAAUAACUUAAAUCUGAAGAAUCACUGGAUGAAAGACCUCUUUCUUGCCAGUACAUAUCUGGAACUAAAGAUGCAUGAAGAAGCUCUGAAAAGAUAUGAGCGUUUGAUGGGGAUCUUCCGCUGCAGUGGCUACAUUCAGGCUCAAAUUGCAACAGUGCAGUACAGUAUGAGGGACCUGGAUGAAGCUGAGAUGAUUUUUGAAGAACUGCUCAGGACUGAUCCUUUCCGUGUAGAUUCUAUGGAUAUUUACUCAAAUUUACUAUAUGCAAAAGAAAGCUUGACUGCUUUGAGUUUCCUUGCACACAGAGUAUUUUUGACAGAUAAAUACCGCCCAGAAUCUUGCUGCAUAAUUGCAAAUUACUAUAGUCUGAAGGGCCAGCAUGAGAAAUCAGUUUUGUACUUUCAAAGGGCACUAAAGCUUAAUCGAAAGUAUCUCUCAGCUUGGACCCUUAUGGGACAUGAGUACGUUGAGCUGAAAAAUACUCCUGCUGCCAUUGAUGCCUACAGAAGAGCUGUUGAUAUUAAUCCUAGAGAUUUCCGUGCUUGGUAUGGCCUUGGUCAAAUCUAUGAGAUGAUGGGGAUGCCAUUUUAUGCACUUUAUUACUUCCGGAAAUCAUCAUAUCUGCAACCCAAUGAUGCUCGUCUCUGGAUUGCAAUGGCUCAGUGUUAUGAAAGUGAUCCACUUCAAAUGAUUGAAGAAGCCAUCAAGUGCUAUGAGAGGGCUGCAAAUAGCAAUGACACUGAAGGAAUAGCACUUCACCAACUAGCAAAGUUACACAACUUGCUGGGGCAUUCUGAGGAAGCUGCAUUCUACUACAAGAAGGAUUUAGAGAGAAUGGAGGUUGAGGAAAGGCAAGGCCAGAAUUUUGUUGAAGCUCUGCUUUUCCUUGCUAAGCAUUACAAGAGCAUAGGCAGUUUCGAGGAAGCAGAGCACUAUUGUACAAGGCUCUUGGACUACACUGGUCCUGUAAGUUCUCUGUGCACAUUAUUUCCCUUAGAAAGAGUGAAAGAUGAAAUGAACAUGAAAAGCCAAAUAUUGACUCAAAUGUUUGCUAGUGAGUUAAUGGAUCGUGUAAUAUUCCACAGUCCAAACUAACAUGAGACUAGUUUUUUUGAGCAACACAAAUUUACUCAAAUCACAUGUAGUAAUAUAGGGUUUACAAGUGAAACAAAGGCAUCUCAUGAUUAUGUUGACUGAUCAUUGAUCUCUGCUUGCAUUGAUUCCCAUGAUUCUGAUUUACCGGUUACCACUGCCUUCAUAUGCUGAUACACAUUCAAUAUGUGCAGGAGAAGGAGACUGCUAAAAAUAUGUUACAAGGGAUAAAAAGGUUACAAUCGGGGUUUCCGUCAAUGGAUAUUGAUCAUUUUGCACUGUAAACUGUAAAGUCCACCUGCAGAUUAUUUAUUUUGUUGGGAAAUCUGGACAAGCAGUGUAACUGGACAGGACAAUACAUGCUGGCUUUCAUGCAAACAGCUGCCAGAGAAGACUGCUCAUGAACUAGGGGAGCUGGUCAGUACUCACCCGAUUCAAAGAGUGAAGCAAACACUAGUGAGGGCCGCCCAUCUGAUGAAACUAGUGCCAUUGCAUAACUCGAUCAGGAAUUACUUCCAAUCUCCCUUCACAGAGUGAUGCUUAGUGUUUGUAUCCUUGCUAUGCGACUCCAUACUUCUGGAGAUGAGGAUCUUGUGCGCAUGAUGCUUGCUUCUAUUUGCUGGAGCCUGGCAACAAGGAGAACCAGGCGCCUGCAUGGAGCGAAGAUGAGCGUCAUUGGAAUGAUCCAGAUCCCUAAUGCGAAUAUCAGCAUAUCUCCCGCCUGGUUCCUGUGAGGCUUCUAAAUUUCUCUGGAUUUGGUCUUCUUCACCAGACAGCUCUGGUCUGUGUUCCCCCCAUGGUUGCUUGCAUAUAUAAGCUUCUCUAGAAGACUUGCCUUGCCUUGUCUGCAACCUGCGUGCUAAAUUAUUGCUUAUCAAAUUAUCAUAACAGUAGUCGCUGCUGACAUUUUGCGAAAUUAAGAAUUGUUUUUUAAAGAAAAUGUAGACUGUAGGACAACUGUGUAGUACUCUGCGUUUCUGCUUGGGUGCCCACAUGAUGUAACCAUUGGAAUAAAGUAAAUUCCUUGCGAUGAUGCAUGAUGAGAGUUUAUAUUUUAGUCUAUAACAUAAUCUACUUGUGGAAUCUGCACCGUGCUGUUGGUUUCUUCUCCAUUAUCGAAAAGAGAGGAUAGAUGCUUCCACUGUAGUACUUUGCAAGGUUGUUUCUGAUUACUGUUGAGUUGUUACAUUCCUUAGCCUGCACUCUUGUUUGGUCCAGACCCUGGAAGACGUACCAUGCAACAACCCCAGGCGUUGGAUUUUGGAGGCUUGGGGUUGUGGUCUAUCUGUGGACUGUGGAGUUGCUGCCUGGCCCAGGGCUACACCAAACGGCCCGAGUCUUAAUCAGUAAUCACGGCGAUCCGAGCGGCGCGCAAGUUGUUCCUUUAUCCCUUUUUUCAACCAAACAAUCGAACUGUGCUCGUUUUAAUCACUGCGAGGUGCGAUCCGAUCGGGUCGGUUCGCAUUGUUCCUUUUGCCCUUUUGCGGUUGUUGGUGUAUUAUUGAACUGCCGCAUCUUCUCCUUUCCUGUUCGAAGAUGCUGUAGCGUCCGAUCAGUAGUACUUCCAUUGUCACUUGUCGGGGGCUCGUGGAAAACGAAUCUUCCAUCGUCACUUGCCGAUCGUGCUUUGUGAAAAACUAGUGAGUGGUGCGAGGUUUUGUUGAGUAUGCGGAAGCUGUUGUUAUCGUGCCAACAAAGUUUGUUUAUCGAGACAAUUCCCUAUUUAACACUGAGAAACUACUGGUCUUCCCGGCGAUAAAUUGCCAAGCUGUAGAUGCGGUGCUGCCGAAACUUAGGCGCAGACAAAGAGCGCCACAAUCUGUGGCGAGAAUACAUACAGUUUUCACCUGUGUUCCGUGUGGCUGCUGACACUUACGUGCAAAUCAAGCACCUGCCAACAUCUCAGUGGCGCCGCCCCACCUGAGUAUCAAUAUAAGGAACGAAAGUUGAACUUGUAUCAAAUAGGGAACUAAAAUUUUUGAGGAUCAAUAGUUUUUUUUGUAUCAAAUAGGAAUUGUCUAAAAUUUAUUCGUUAGUUGGCCUGAAAAAUGUAUUUAGUAGUGCUGCUACUGCUAGGAGAUUAAAUGAUUAAACGUUGCAAUGGUGAUGGUUCGCUUAGUUGUAACGACGUCAUACGGUCGUGCAAAAUUUCCAGAUCUUUAUCCAGUUCCAUUUUAGCUGCAUUAUUAUUAUUAUUAUUAUUAUUAUUAUUAUUAUUAUUUUUACUGAUGCCAAUCAAAUGACGGACGAAUGCAAGCGCGUUGGAUAACAUCGUUUUUCAGCAGCGAUGAUGCCAUUGUUGAUCUUCCUACUCGAAUAGCAUCGAAACAGCAUCCUUCUCUUGAUGGUUUCAUCUUCUUCAACGAAUGAGGCUUGAAUCAUCUGCUUCAACUGUUACAUUACACUACACGUUCUUUGCUUCUCUCCUCAGAUCUCUGUUGCUUAAGCCCAGUACUUUACCCAUUACUUAACGCCUGAGUUUACACAUCCGAUCCGACAGGAUCAAUCCCUAAUCUUCGUACUGUAGCGAUGGCAAGAAUCACGCUACACGCCAUUGACUAGUAUGGGCGCGCUAAUGAUUAGGUUUUCGUCUCUUCGGUGCUAGAUGGGUCCAUGAAGCGCAGGAGCCCAUCUUCCCGAUUGAGACUGCAAAUCACACCAUUUUCUUUUUGUUCAUGCUUCAAAUAAAAAGUAGUAUUUAUUUAUUUUUUUGAGCGUCCCACCAAAAUGGAGGGGGACUCUGAUCGCCCACAAGCCCACGCCCAGUCCCAUCGCUGCUUGUCGUCGGAAUGGCACGCCGUGCUCCACACCCACGUGACGUGACGCUGGGCCUACCCACGCUUUCGUCAUUUCGUGUUGCUCGUGCACGAGCACGGCGACGGGAACUUCAGCUCAGAGCGAGGACGGAUGGGCUACCCAAACGGUUUCUUGCCGCGCAGAGCAAUCUUGUUUCUUCCGUCUCUUGCUGUGGGCUGGUGGCUCAUCACUGCAAUGUGUGAAGUACAGUUCGGAACCACGUAUCGUUGGUAGAGAGAAGGAAUGGACCAAACAUAUUCAGAUGAUACAAACCCUUCUAAAAGUAUUUAAAAACAGUGGUCAUUUUGGCGUUUGCUGCUUCAACGACCGAUCUCUUACAAAAUUUGAUUUACAAACGCCAUGGAUUUGUUCACAAGAAGGGUAUGACUAUGAUAUAGGUGGAGUUACGCUCUUACUGACUGUUCAUCAUCCAUCUAAGAACCGAGUAUGAGUUUUGAUUUUAGCAGCUGACUAUAAUCUAUAGAUGAAGGCAAAGGAAAAAGACCUCAAAAUUUGAGUUAUCAACUGUCCAAUGACGAAGUUAAGAACUUAUACUAUGCUCCUCUAUUUAUUUUAAAUCUAUACGGAAGCUGACCACAUUCAACUUUAUUUUUAAAUUUUAAAUAAAUGUGUACAGAAAGAACCAGCAAACAGCAUCCGUACUCAAUAGACAUAUUCUUUCAUUGUGUACAAAUUUGGCAGAAAAGAAAUCAGACGUAUGGUUUAGAACCAAAUGAAACUUGGAACACAGUGACAAGAUAUAUCAGUUGUACUACAGAGUAGAGGCAUGUGCAGUAAAGACUACUAAGCCUCAGCUGUGCUUGUAAUACAAACAUAAAGAUGAACACCUAAGCCUCAGCUGUGCUUGUAAUACAAACAUAAAGAUGAACACCAAUAGCAUUUGUAUUCUUGCCGCUAUUUUGAAGUGUAAUCGUGAUUCUUCUCUUGUUUUUUCAAAUUUGUGAUUUUGCCCUCGACUAUUCACGAGUCAAUACGAUUUUUCCCCUAGUCAACGGUCAAAACAGGGGUAAAUACGUAAAGACUAGGGUAAAAUCAUAAUGACUUGUGAAUAGUCAAGGGAAAAAUCACAAAGUUAGAAAAAUGAGGGUAAAAACACAAUUGAAUUUUAAAGUAGGGGCAAGAUAAAAAAAAACCACUUUAAAAUUUAAGUGAGUGACGAGUCCAACUGGGGUGGGUAUUGCCAGCUCAGUUUGUAACUCAAACGAGCGCCCAAGAGGAGGGGAGGCUUGUAGAAGCGUUGCCACCACGGGCCGGGCUUCUUCUGUAGUCGGUUCUAUCCAACCAAGCCCACGGACCGAUCACCCACCAAUCCAGCCCACGUACGACUCUUCCUUCCUUCCCCAACCCAACUCUUAUAGGCUCCCCGCGCCGAACACGCCUCCUUUCAGAUCCAGGCGACCAGGCGCCCUUCCGCUGUAGCGCCGCCUCUCCUCCUCCCCGCGUCGUCGUCCUCGCCCCGCUCCCCCGGGCCGGCGUGCGGCGGAGAUCCAUCCGCGCUUGGACUGGCUUCUUCCUUUGCUGGUGAGGACUCCCUAGCUCACCUGGAUGCUCCCUUCGGUUUGUUCUGUGGAAUAGUCCUUUGUUUGCUGCGAGUUCCCAAAUCCGUCGUUCUGGUAUGGAUGCGUCGAUCCAUCUAGUGUGUUGCAGAUUCAUGUUUUGCGCGGUGGAGUAGUAAUAGCAGUAUGUAUUCCAAAUUUUCUGGUCUUCAGCAACUGAAUCGAUUCCCCUCGUUAAGUCCGCCCGUGCUUUAGUUUGGAAGAUGUUGUGAUUGCUUUGUUUUCCCGGACUAAUUAGUAGGGUGAAGAAAUAUCUCCUUUCCUGUUCCUUGUUUUUGUUCAGGCGAUGUAUCUGUUGCAAGUUCUGUGAUUUGAUUCGAGUUUCUGUUCAUAGCAAACACCCGAUAUCAGCCAUGUUUGGGCGCAUGCCAAGGAAGACCAGCAACAACACCAAGUAUUACGAGGUUCUUGGUGUGUCCAAGUCCGCUAGCCAGGAUGAGUUGAAGAAAGCAUACCGGAAAGCUGCCAUAAAAAACCAUCCUGACAAGGGUGGUGACCCUGAGAAGGUUUGUUUUUGGACAAAUGUUCUGCAUGUUUAGCUUACUUUUUAGAACUCUAGGUUUUGUUCUCAUCCCGAAGUUUUUCUUGAUGAACUGGACAGUUUAAAGAAUUGUCUCAAGCUUAUGAGGUACUUAGUGACCCGGAAAAGAGGGAGAUCUAUGACCAGUAUGGAGAAGAUGCACUUAAAGAGGGAAUGGGAGGAGGCAGCAGCAGUGAUUUCCAUAGCCCGUUCGACAUAUUUGAGCAACUUUUUCCGGGUUCUGGCACCUUUGGGGGUAAUCAAAAUAUCUUAUGAUGUUGUUUCUGCUUCUUUUUUAAAUUAAAAAGACUGGAAUACUUAUAUAUAGUUUUGUUCUUAUUCUUAACAGGAGGUAGCUCAAGAGGACGCAGACAAAAGCGUGGUGAAGAUGUGGUGCAUACCAUGAAGGUUUCUUUAGAAGAUUUGUAUAAUGGGACAACCAAAAAGCUAUCUUUGUCACGGAGUGUUUUGUGCUCUAAGUGCAAGGGGUAAGUUUUUUGUUGGUCUCAUAGUUAGUUAAAUUGCGCUGAAAACUGUUGUUUUUGUGUUCUAAUGGGUGGCAAAUGCUGUAAUGGUACUUACAAGGAAGCUGUGAUUCUAACUGUUCAAAUGUGUAGCAAAUACUUUAACAAAGUUACAAGAAUGAGUAUGAUAAUUACUUUUGUAGAGUUCACUGGGGUUAAUUUUGUUGGUUUCAUCAUGGAAUUUAUUUGCUUUUCUUAUUUAUAUACCAAUCUUUUCAGUUCAUAUCUAAAAGACCACAUACAUUGCCGGCUUUCACGCAUGUAUGUAUGCAUGUAUGUGCAAGUGUUGCUAUGAACUUAAUCCAAAGUUUAACAUAAACAUUACCACAGGUCAUUGAGUAUUUCCUGGUAGUGUGCUUGGUACUAGGUAGCUUAUUGCAUGUGAGGUCUGCUUUGCCUUGAUAUUACAGGAAGAAACCCACUUUUGCACUUUUCAAUGUAUUCUAUUUUGUAUUGUUAAACUUGCCUCUAUCUGAGUUGUGGUUGCUGAAAGCAGCAGUGCUGUCAGAUCUGACCGUAAGCAUGGUUCUUUUGUUUCUGUUUAAAUUUUUUUUCAAACUUGCAGCCUGCCAACUGCUUUUCUGUUAUAUCAUGUGGUCAUAAACUUCUAUAUUCUAUAUUUACUUUCCAUGACAAUCUUAAUUUUUCUUUGCUUACCACAUAAUAUCAAUUGGCAGUUUGGGAUUAGCCAUGGUGAUCAUUUGAAGUUACAAAAUGAUCCUGACUUGUUCUUUCUUUCCACUUCCCAAUCCAAUUUUUUCACACUAAGGGAUUGUUUGGAUCACUAGUUUUAUGAAAACCAGAUUUGCUAAAAUUUAGUUUUGCUCAACCAAAAAAAAAAAUCUUGUUCAGAAACUCCCAACUAAUCCAGUGAUAACCAAAACUUGGUUUCCGCGAAUCCAAGAUUUUAUGUGUCUUAUAAAAAACAAAUGGACUCAAAACAAAGUAUUCCUAGGACUCAAAACAAAAAAUUUAUAUUUUUGAGAUCCAAACAACCACCAGACUAUGAGUCGUAGCCUAGUUCAUGAAAAGCACAUAACAUCAUCAGCACUUAUAUUUUGACACAUCGAACAAUCAAGGGGCUGAAAGAAAAUAGUUUUGAUGUUUUCAUAUAUUGUAUUUCACUUUGCCUUCUUUUUUAUUUCAUGUUUGUACUACAUUCCAUCUAAGCAUAAGUGUGUUCAGUUGGGCUAUCCUGCAACUCAUACAGAGUUCUUGCUGUGGUUGUUCCCCUCUCAAUUAAUCCAAAUAUUAAUUGCAAUUACCUAUGGUUAGAUGCAUUCAGUUUCUUUAUUUAGGCGCCAAAUUCUGGAGAAGAUUGAUUUUUUCUAUGGAGUAUUAUUUUGCUCUCUAAAACUUUAAGAUUAAACUUAUAAUGUGACCACUUGCUAGAUGAGGUAGAAAAUAUAUGAUUGCCAAUACACUGCAACUUUGACUGGUUCAUUUGCGGUAGGGAUUUCAUUGUUCCUUGUUUGUUGUACUUUCAGGAAAGGAUCCAAGAGUGGGGCAUCAGGAACUUGCCAUGGUUGUCGUGGUGCUGGAAUGAGGACAAUCACAAGACAGAUAGGCAUGGGCAUGAUCCAACAGAUGAACACUAUUUGCCCUGAAUGCAAGGGAUCAGGUAUACUGAUGUUGUAUCUCCCUUCGGAAAUAUUGUUCUGCUGGUUUUGGUCUUAUGGUUGUUCAAUGUUCAGGUGAGAUCAUAAGUGAGAAGGAUAAAUGCCCAGGCUGUAAAGGAAGCAAGGUAUCCCAGGAGAAGAAGGUCUUGGAGGUUCAUGUGGAGAAAGGAAUGCAGCAUGGCCAAAAGAUUGUAUUCCAGGGUCAAGCUGAUGAAGCUGUGAGUCUCCGAUACCAUCGUAAAUGCACAUGUCUACAUGUUUUCAAUAUCUAUCUAACGUUUUAAAUUUUGUUUUUCAGCCUGACACGUUGACAGGAGACAUUGUUUUUGUGUUGCAACUUAAAGACCACCCAAAAUUUAAGAGGAAGUAUGAUGACUUAUUUGUUGAGCACACAAUCUCCCUCACUGAGGCUCUGUGUGGCCUCCAGUUUGUUCUGACUCAUCUUGAUGGCCGGCAGCUUCUGAUAAAAUCUAAUCCUGGGGAGGUUAUAAAGCCUGGUACGAGAGAUCGGCUCCUUUUGUGUGUUAUCAGUUCUACAAUAUUCAGUCAAUUGAUCUCUAUUUGCCUUUCAGUUCUACUAUUCUGUUAAAUCUAUUGAUACCUGUUCUGCGCAUAUUGAUAUUAUGUUUCAUUUCAAUAGGCCAACACAAGGCCAUAAAUGAUGAGGGUAUGCCUCAGCAUGGUCGUCCUUUCAUGAAGGGUCGUCUGUUUGUUGAAUUCAACGUUGAGUUCCCUGAGCCUGGUGCGCUCUCCCCUAGCCAGUGCCAAUCACUUGAGAAGAUCCUUCCACCAAAGCCAGGGAGCCAGCUGUCGGACAUGGAGCUGGAUCAGUGCGAGGAGACCACCCUGCAGGAUGUCAACAUAGAAGAGGAGAUGAGACGCAGGCAGCAGCAGAAGCGUCAGGAAGCCUAUGAUGAAGACGAGGAGGAAUCUGGACCGAGGGUGCAAUGCGCCCAGCAGUAAUCCCGGUUCAUUGGAAUCUCCAAAAGUUUUCCAUCAGAUUUAUACGUAUUGAUUCUUUUUGGCAAAAAAAUUGUAACCAGUGUGUACUUCAAGCAUGUGGGUAGUGAGUAGAGUCGGAAAACAAAAGGAAACGACCUCAUAAUGGCAGUAUUUGUUUGAACAUCAAUCGGUACCCACCAGGAUCUGGAACCUGGUCGUUCAGCGACAGUUUAUUUGAGCACACAUGUGCCAUGCCCGACUGCCGUAGUAUUCCAGUUUUCAUUCCGGUGUUAGCGUUACCCAUCUUGUGUCUGAUUUAUGGUGCUAUUAUUAUGCUACGGGGUACUAUGCAAGGAACAUGGAUGUUAGUGGUUAUGGCUUGUGAUGGUCUGUCGCUGGCCUUGGACUGCAGAGUGGUAAGCUUGAUAUAGUAGAAAUUGUGAUGGUCGUUUUAGUUUCUGCCAGGCUGCCGCCAUCAUUUGGUUGGCUACCGUGACAUCGCGCUACUGUUAAAUUGCACUGUGGACUGUCGUCGCUGCGGGCUCUUGCUUUCGCCUCACCGGGCCGUGUAAAUUCAGCUUCCACCCGUCUGGAUCUCGUGCCAAUUGUGCCCGUUCCUUUGGCAAUCAGCCACGUGCCUGCCGAGAACAGGGACGAUCUCUUUCGUCUGCGUUUGGGAGAAAUCUUGCUGCUCGCCAUGCGCCUUCUCGUGUCACCUGCCGAUCGCGACGGGCGGGCGGACUGUCGAUUCGCCUCCACGAUUCUUGCAAGUUUUGCGUGCCAACCCAUCACAAGCCUGCUCGGGAGAUGCGAUCCAGGCAGGUCUCUCACGUGAGCCUGACCUCGGAACACGUUGCAUACCUGCAUUAGCAAGCGUACAUUGCGACUGAGACGGAGAGUGAACCCAACAGGUCGCGUAAGCCGAGGGCCGUCGAAACUUUUCUCUAAGAAGUUCAGCCGUUCUAUUUCCGUGCCUUCUGUCUCCUGAAUCUUCUAUUCUAUUCCAUGCCAGCACACGUUCACGCUGUGCCCUUACCAUUUGCGUAUCCCUGUCCGCCGCAGCUGCACCACCGGCGCACGAAACAGGGGGCGACCCGCAAGGUUAGACGAGCCUGUCGGACCUUGAGCACGCGCUUAACGGCCAGUGGUUGAGAUGUAGCUUCCCCCUUUGGGCGAUUGGCCCUCAAAUUCCAAACAACUUCGGCCGGGCUAAAGAAACAGGAGAAAAUCGUCUGGACAGAGGCUCUCAUACGAUUUGGGACACAGGAUCUGUAUGACUCGCCAGCACCGUCUGCCCAAGUGGUCUAUAAUGCUGCAAAUUAAUUAUACUCCGACCUGACCAACGCAACGCAUGCCAUCAGGCUGCCGGACAGGACAAACCAACUUGCAAAUAUCGUAACAGUUUCAGGGAUGGGAUUUUCAUCGCAAUUCUUUUUUUUUUUAAGAUCAGGAAGUCCUAACUAACUCUUGAGCCGAUUGCCGUGACAGACUCACUAACUUUGGCGCCACCCGGUGGCUGGCUGGUAGACUGUAGUGGUGGCGGCGUCUAGCGGGGCUAAAAAGACAAGCUCGAACUAUUUAUACCCAGCAGCCGGAAGCGCCCUCCUCCGCGGCGCACCACCCCCUUCCACGGCCCAGUAAGCAGAGCUCUCGGGGCCAUGGAAGGUGACGCGAUCCAUGCGCCCACCACGUCGUCCUCCUCCUCCUCCUCCUCGGACUCCGGCGCCGGCUCGUGCGUCAUCAACGGCGCGCAAGAGCUGCCGUCCAAGAACGGCAAGCCCCGGAAGCACAUGAUGAAGCGGAAGAGAGCCGCGUCGCCGGCUGCUCCUGACGGCCGCGGGGCGCCGGAGGCCGCCGCCGUGGACGAGCGCGGCGACGGCGGCCGGCGCAAGAGGGGGAGCGCCGGCACCAGGCACCCGACGUUCCGCGGCGUGCGCAUGCGGGUCUGGGGCAAGUGGGUGUCCGAGAUCCGCGAGCCGCGCAAGAAGUCGCGCAUCUGGCUCGGCACGUUCCCCACCGCGGAGAUGGCGGCGCGCGCCCACGACGUGGCCGCGCUCGCCAUCAAGGGCCGCGCCGCUCACCUCAACUUCCCGCACCUCGCGCACGAGCUCCCCCGCCCGGCGUCCGCCUCCCCCGCCGACAUCCAGGCCGCGGCCGCAGAGGCAGCCCGCCCGCCGCCGCCGUGGAUGUAGAGCAAUGCGUUUCUUCCCAUGCCGCCGCCGAGACGUCGUCGUCAUCAUCAGCUGCCAGUUUGGAGAAGGUGGCCGUGGCCGCCAAGGCGACGGCAGCCACCGAUGUGGAGCAAUGCGUGUCCUCCCCUGCCGCCGUGACGUCGUCGUCGCCGUCAUCGGCUGCCAGUUCGGUGGAGGCCUUUGCCGGCCACAGCGAGGAGAACGUGCUGUUCGACUUGCCUGACCUUCUGCUGGACCUGAGCAACGGCCUCUGCUGGUCACCAAUCUGGGCGGCGGCUCCCGCGGCGGCGGAAGAGUACGACGGCGGCGACAGCCUGCACGAGCCGCUUCUGUGGGCCGACGACGAUCAGUGCUGGAUAAUGGAUGCCGCAGCGCCGGUGCAGCCGGACUAGCCAUCCAUUCGGAGGCGCUGGCCGGCCGUCACCGGCCGGUGGUUGGCUGGCUGGCUGGCUGCAACAGACGACUGAUACCACGUGCUUUUGCUUCGCGUGCACUGUGCAGACUGCGGAGAGAAACGAGCGCAUGGCCGCGGCCGUGGGCGCUUCUGGGGUCGCUGUCUGUGAUCUCCGGAUGGCAAGUCAUUGUAGGGUGCGGUGAAACAGUGGUUAGGCAUCGAAAUGAUUGGCGAAAGAAUAAUUUCGGGAGUGUCGAUAUGUAAAGAAUCAAUUCGUGAGUGUCAAUAUGUCACUGCAACAGAAGCACUUCAUUUACUCGAGUACCUGCUUUCUUUUGAUACUACGUACUCCGUAUUGUAAUGUCGAAAAUGUGUUAUAUGCAAUGAUCUUCGUUCUUGCGGUGUCUGCAGCUUCGACAUUAUUCGUAUCAGUGUAAUAGAUUGUAUCAGAGCAUAGGUCCUUAUUGUAUUGGCAGUUUGUGGUCAUUGGCACCUUUAUAAUUGGGGUAUACUAAUUGUUCAAUUCAUUUUUACCGAACACUGUCACACAUUGAUCACCACGACGCCUCCGACAUUGUCGUCUUAAUUUCUAUCACACACACCGCUUAGAGCAACUUUAAGAACUUUCAAAAAAUUCUUCCCCAAAACUAUAUAUUGGAGCUCUUCUAAAAAGUUUUUCCCUUAAAAACAUAUCAACCGAUAGCAGAUCGCUAAUAAAUAGUUCCCAAUAUUUCAAAAUAGGCCACAUCAUCGUAAUUGCUUCCUGCUUUCUUCCCGUCUCAUUCUUUCUUCUUCUUCCUCUAGCCGAAAAAGAACCAAAACAGAGCGAGCUCCUCCUCGCUGCCGGCCAAAAUCCUCCGGUUGUGUGCCGCCUCAACCCAAUAGCUGCCGUCCUCAGCUUCACAACCCCUUGCACGACGUCCUCGAGCCGUUCCCCUUGAACUUCGGCCACCCCACACCUGGAAAUCGCCGCUCCCCGAGCCGCCAUUGUCGCUCGACCCCGACAUUUACCUCCCCGACGACAGCACCCUCCGGCCAUCUCCCACCAAUCACCUGCGCAUACUUUCCCACCUCUUCAGCUCCCUCCUCCGCCAUCUCUUGGCCGCAGCCUUGGCUCCUGGCACCGGGAACUCGAGUUCCCGUGGCCGCCCGAGCCGUUAGCUACCAUGGCCGCCCUCCCGUAGAGCGCGGUCGUACAGGCCAUCCCCGACGGAAAAAACCGCAAAAAUGGGCCGCUCGCCCCGCCACCGCCGCAGAGCUUCCUGCCACGCGCACGCGCCAAAUCUCGUGGGAAGCCUCUCUCGCGCGCGGGAAGGGGGCGAUUGGGGAAGGAAGGACGUCGCGCAAAUAUGCGUGGCAACAUGCUCUAUUCUUAGGAAGUUUUGAAGGAGCUGUUGAAGUUCUUUUUUCUCCCUAAACAAGAUAUUAGGGGUAGGAUACAUAUUCUUUUGGAGUUGCUCUUACCCCCACAAAAUCUCCCUCUCUAAACCUGUAGACCCUGAAAUCCUCCCACAAAUAACCCAAGGACGGUAGCCUCGUCCGCUCAACCAAUUUAAGAAGAAACAUCUAUCUUUGAAUCGAAUACUCCAAGAAUUCAAUCAAUCAAAAUCUAAUAGGUGUGUUAGAAAUUAGGAUUGUUUCAACCCGGCCGAUCAUAAUCAAAGUUGUCACUUUGUAGCCCUAAAAAAAGUUGUUACUUUGUAACUAGUUAUCCCCUCUAGUAAGAAUAAGUAUAGCAUUAACAACAUGCGUAUAGCAUUCACGUGUGUUAAUUAGUAAGUGGAAGUAUCUUUCCGAUUAAUUUUUUAUGGUUGCUCUAAAUAUUCGUAGAUCUAGUCAACAUCAAAAUGUAAAUCUAGUCAGAAUUGGCGCAUUUCAGCUAGCAUGACAAUCACGAUCUAUACUAGCUAGCUACUAGUAGCUUGUCCAUUAGCUCUUAGGCUUGGCUAUGAUUCCACUACCAGAGACGUUAGUUACUUGGAGGUAACUAUAAUCUUGGACUAAGCAACAUUCCUAGUCAAAAUCUAAUGCUGCGAUGCAUAAAAAUUCCUUGACCUUUCUUUGAACAUGACACCUUUCACGACCACCUGUACUCGUACUUUCCUCGGUCAUAAAUACUUGAUAUUUUCGACAAGAUUUGACUCAGCACAUGAAAGUUUAUAUAUCAUCUUUAAAACAUUUGGUUUUUUAAAAUACAUAUGGCCAUCAUAUAUAUGUUUCUUUGCCUUAUUUUUUUAUAAUAUCAUAAGCUUAUUAUAUUCUACAAAUAUAUUAAAAUAAACAAGCAGAGGACAAGAGACAUAAUUUGUUAAGCAUAUUCAUUCAAGAAAGAGGACCCGAUCUGUAGCAUCAACAUCAAUUCAUAAACCAUACUACUAGCACGUAGCGCUCGGAAUUAAGCUCAACCGUGCGCGCGCGUAUGUAGGCAAAGCAUGUGAAAUGCGAAUGAUGUCACGGCGAAAGGGCACAAACCAACAACUCUCAAUUCAGCAGGUACUCGGAGAAAACUGAACUCUCGUUCAACCCUCCUUAAUCCCGGAUAAAAUCGAAUCCGUGACUAAAGAGGCUUUAGUCCUGGGUCAAAUACCAAUCGGGACUAAAGCCUCCCUUUAGUCCCUAAUCCCCCUUUAGUCCCGGGUCAAUAAUCAGCCACCCGUAGGAGAUCCUUUAGUCUCAGAUGAAAAAAAAUCAGCCACCCGUGGGGGAUCCUUUAGUCUUGAGUGGUAACACCAACCGGGACGAAAAGCCCUUUAGUCUCGGUUGGUCUUACUACCCGGGACUAAAGGAUCCCCACGGGUGGCUGAAAAUGAACUAAAGCUCUCAGACCCUUUAGUUUCGGUUUGUGUUACCAACCGGGACUAAAGGGGAUCUUUAGUCCAGGUUGGUAAUACAAACCGAGACUAAAGGGUUCCCUACGAGUUAAUACAAAAGGAUUGCAUCCUCUAUAUAGUCAAAUAUGCUGUGUAGGUGGGAUGGUAAAAAAGCUACACGCGAGGCUGGAGGUCAUGGGUUCGAAUCCCAUGCACCGAGCACGCGCAUAUUUUGUGUUACUUGCGACUUGCGACGUGUGUGUGGGAGUGGGGCCUGUGCCUAGCGUGGCGACCCCUUUAGUCCCGGUUGGUAAAUUUUUUAGCAAAACCAUUUAGUCUCGGCUGGUUUUACCAACCGGGACUAAAUGGUGUCUUUAGCCCUGGUUGAGCGACCAGGGGCUAAAGACCCCACUUUCAUCUCAAUUACUUUAUUCUGAAUGGAUUUUUUUUGGCAAAACCAUUUAGUCCCAAUUGGUAUUACCAACCGGGACUAAAGAGGUGGAGGCUGUGCCUAGCGUGGCGACCCCUUUAGUCCCGAUUGAACGACCCAGGACUAAAGACCUCCCUUUCAUCUCAAUUACUUUAUCCUAGAUGUAUUUUCAGGAGAUUUGCCCCCUACCAACAAGGACUAAAGGUGAGUUUUGUACCAGUGACGCCAACACGCACGCCAACAUUUUAAUCGUGAUGAAAAUGCGCUGCCAAUUCCUUGAGAUUCAAGAAGAGCCGCGGCCCGCGGCUGCUGUAGGAAACUAGGAAUAUCCAUCGCCCGUGGAGUUUUGCGCCACACGUCCCGUCCAGCCGGCCGGCGAGAUCGUCGCCGGGGCCCGCCGCCCGUCCCUAUCUGAUUCCGGCGAUCGACGAAUCAUCUCAUCUUGCCCGGCCCCCUGUGGCAUUCACGGUAGGUGAGACGUACCGUGCCGUUCGCCGGCGAUCAAUUGCGCAGUGGCGCGUCAUUAAGCUAGCCAGUAGACGCAAAUUAUUUCGGCUUGGACCAGCCCCGCCACACCUAAUUGGCCGCUGAAACGUCCGUGUGCAGUGAUCUGGCUGAGUGACUGUGGCUCUACAGGAGAAGUUUGUGCACUCUAGCUUGCACCUUGCCGAACAUCUCCCUGAUCUAAUGGGCUCAUGACCCGCGCCUGCCUGAUCGAGAUCCUUGGUACAUAGUAGUGUGCUUGAUGCUUUGGUUUAUCAUCACCUUUUUUCGACCUAAUAAUGAUGCUUUGAGCUUGAUCGUUUAUGAUGCCUGCAUGCAUGUAAUGGGCGCCCCUGCUGGUGAUUUAAAAGAUUAUCUUUGCCCAUGCAAGAAAAUCGCCGUCUCAUCUAUCCUCUUUCGCUUUAGCUCGGCCAAUAAUCCGUGUAGAAAAAAGCACUAGCUAGCCACACAGGAUGUAAAGCGAGCACAUUUACCUUUUUUUUUCUAAAAAAAAUUAUACGGUCUGCUGACGAGAACAAAGUGAUGUGCACGUUAAAAUAAAGAAGGGACGCCACGUAAUUAUCCGGGCUGCUUUUGUUGCGCGGCGCGACCUACAUUUAUGGCCCGAAAGAGGAGACGGCCGGGCCCGAUCGAUCCAUCGAAAUCACGCAACAACCACGGUGUGCAUGGGAAACGUGGACUAGGACACGCCGGUAACAGUGGCACUGUGUACGUACACGUACUCGAGAGUCGAGAGACCCAGCACGUACACUGUACACUGUGCAGCACUCGCAGACGUGUCCGUAGACUGUAGUCUGUACACGUAGCACUGUGCAGAGAUGAGGUGUGGCUUUGCGUUGGAGCCCCCGGCCUCUGUGCCGUGGUCGUUCCACUGUUGCUGAGCGCCAGAACCGUCGCGUCCGAAUCGGAUCGAUCGGCCACUGGCGCUCGUGCAGUCGUGCUGUUACGUUGCCCAUCAAGCCGGGCGAUCCCUGACGCGUAGCUUUCGGCACGAGCAGCGGCAGCAACAGGGCAGCAUGGGGUGCGGCCGGCCAUGGGCGACAUGCUAACCACCGUGCUCACAGCUCAGUCUCAGUGCAAAGGUAAAUGCUUCCUGGCAAGGCGAGCUUUCAGUUCAGCCUGUUACGGCUUGGACGCUUUCUCGGAAUAUGCUGUGUCCUACGCUCGCACGAUCGAUCGGGUUACUUAAACUCGUGCUGGUCUUAGUUUAAUCCCGGCGAGGACACUAGUUUAUUGAGGCGAGGCACAUGAGGCCAUGAGGUGGGUUUUUGUUUAGGGUUUAUUCAAGUGUUCAUGUGAGGCUAGGGCUUUAGCUCGCGGCAGCUUUGGCAAAGGCGCUUGAGCACUGAUGGUACGUAUACGCUAGCUAGCUUUUGAUGGGAUUAAACAAAGGGUGAUGGUGGGGUUUUGUUUAAUUAUGUGCGAUCGCGAGGCGCGAGCCCCACGAGGGGCCUUCUUUUUUUGGUUUUUCCUCCUCCAGCGGCAGGUCGCCGAUCGGUGAGCUGGGAUACAUGUAUUCAUGUCGAGAGCGCCCUGGUUUUCCCUUUCUUCUAUAGAAAAUGGUGAUACGGGUGUCUCAAAAUACGGGAUCUGGUCAGGGAAUCCCGGCCUGCAUCAGCUACAGUGUUCUUCGUUCUUGGCUCCUGAUUCGUAAUCAACGCUGGAGAAUGGGACGCUUCUACACGUGCUGAAAGCUAACGAGAUCGAGCAAUAAGGGUCGGUUGUUCAUAAUCGAAUUGCCUUUACUCCCUCCGUCAUAAAUUACUAAUUUUUCUAGAUACAUAACUUUUGACGUGCACUUAAAUAUAUAUUAUGUUUAAAUACAUAGUAAAAGUUACGUAUCUAAAAAAAUCAAAACGAAUUGUAAUUUGGGACGAAGAGAGUACUGCUAAAUGCUAAUCACAUGCAUCGAGCUUCUACAUACGCCGGAGCAUCAUGUACUUAGGCUCUUAUCAGUGCUUUCCAUGAUUCCAUCGGUAUAUGCAGUCUGCAUUAUUGCAAGCCUGCUUGUACUAGCGAUCAAGAUCCAAAUCUUCGUGGCAUUUUUAAUCGCUGCACGAGCCUAAUUAAGUGCCUCUAGUAGGUCGUGGACUCGUGGUACGAGCUGUCCGCUGUCCACAGAAAGUCCUGGUAGUACUUCAGCUUUGCUAGCUGCAGCAAGUUGUAGCCAAUGCUGCCUGCACCCUGCAGCCUUAAGAGAUCAUGCGCGCGAGCUAGUUGUGGUGGUGUAAGCUUCCCGCUUGCUACAGUUCAACCGAUGGGGCUGGGACUCAAACCUGAACAAGUUUCAGGGAUCCAAACUAGGGUGUUUAGGGCAUGUCUAGUUUAGUUUAGAAGAUUGUUUGGAUACUAGGUGCUAAACUUUAGUAGCGUCACAUCGGAUGUUCGGAUGCUAAUUAGGAUGAUUAAAUAUGAGUUAAUUAUAAAACUAAUUGCAGAACCCCUAUACUAAUUCGCGAGAUGAAUCUAUUAAGCCUAAUUAAUCCAUCAUUAGCAAAUGGUUACUGUAGCACCACAUUAUGAAAUCAUGAACUAAUUAGGCUUAAUAGAUUCGUCUCGCGAAUUAGACUCCAUCUGUGCAAUUAGUUUUAUAAUUAGUAUAUGUUUAAUACUCCUAAUUAGCAUCCAAACAUCCAAUGUGACAAGUGCUAAACUUUAGCAGGGUUAUGGAGCCUUAUAUAGGACGAAUGUGAAUCAAAAUUCCGAAGUUUUACUCCAAACGAAAACGGCAGAGCCAACCCCCUUUUGGCUUCACCCAGUCCCCUCCUCUGGCGAUCGGAAUAUUUGAGCCUCACGGCUCACGUAAAGUGGCUGCAUGCCUCGUGACAAAGGUGAUCCACGUUGGAUUGUCUUUCCGGUGGAAAUGGCAAAGAAGCAUCUUACUGAUUGGUAGUUAGGGACUGUCGUUGACAUUUUGACCCCAGGUUUGACCAUUUCUAUCGUAGUGAACUACUCCUAUAAACUAUGCAAUUUGUUGUGUAAAUGCUAAACUGUUCUGCUUCAAUUCAGUCCUUUUUGUGGUGCUAUGCCUCCGCUCUUUUAUCCGCAUGUGCUCAAGGAUAGAAUUGCUCUCUCGUGCUCGCAAUUAUCAAAUCAGCAUAACUCUCAAGAUUUCUGACAAAUCGCAAUCCUCAUAAAGACGGGUUGGGAGAGCUCUAGCAUACUUGGCUUUACAAUUCUCUCAAACCCAUCCCUAAAAUACUAUCUAUUUCAUUCUGAUUCAAUCAAGAGCGGAUUUCCCUGUUUUAAAAACUUGGCCAUCCGGUUUUUUCAAACUAGCCCUUACACUUGACAGAAUACCUAAAGUUUGGAGCCUCCGAUAACUUAUCAGACUGUGAAAAAUUCACACAACCCAAACCUCCCUUUGUCGGAGCACCUUCCGGAUCCUCCGUAAAACCGAUCUUAUGGUUUUCCCAAUCUGUUAGGACUCGGUAUUCGUGAUGUUUUAGUGUCUCUCAACACCUGCUCGGAUUUUGCGGAGCACUGGUACUUAUCAAAUUAUUGCAUGAUGCAUCUCUUGAUAUUGCGGAAUACCUAUUUCACUUUAAUUAAAUCUCUUAGGCUUGAAUAUCUUAAACUUGCCUGUUCAUCUUUCACUUUGCGAGGAUUCACUUCACAUCAUGUCUUUUUCUUCUUGUGCGCUCUCCUUGCACACUAGUAACUUAGGAUUGCUCAACAAGUAUGAUGUAUUAAAAAUGGUUGAUGCUUUCCAAUACGACACUCAUAGCUUGAUCGAUCCAUUGUCAUUAGGUCAAUACUUGCUUCUUCUCAUGUUCUCCAUGCCAUAGGUCCUUCAGCGCUUUUUGCAUGUCCUUCUCUACUGCAUGGUCCUUCAUAGACGAGCCAUUGCUAAUUCUUCACCAUCUUUGCCAUUUUGUGUCACACAUUAUUUUGCAUCAUCGAUAAAUUAUCAUUUGAAUUCCAUUUCUCCAACUUUGAUCUUUGUUUCUAUCUUGAUUGACAUUGAUGCAUCUCAAUUUUAGUUUGUUCAACACAAGCAAUUUCAAUGUCAGACCAAGCUACAGUCAUUUCACCAUAUUUAUUUUACCCCUUUCAUUUUGUGCUUAUCAAUUCUUCGUUCAUGACAUUCUCAUAGGACCAUUUAUUUGUUUACACAACAUUUGAGCCCUUACUUAUGAUCAAUGUUUAUCCCCAAAUAUUUUCAUGGACUAAUCACCCGCUCGUACACCUAUUAAAUACAUUAGUUUCUUAAUCUUUUAUUUUAAGAAACACAAUACAUAAGUAGAUGCUCACAUAAAUGCACAUACAUUCAUCCUUAUAAAUGCAUGCAUGCAAUCCUACCUUUAUAAGCAACUUCGGAGACUGGGGUGGCAGUUCUUGAGAUUAUCGUCUAUCUGUCGACGGUCACAUCGCAUACCAGUGAAAGAAUAGUGCAUGUUAAUUCUUAGAUAGAUUUCCCUAGUUCUUGGUAGCAAUUCAGCUAGCUGGAAAUAGCCAUCUUCCAAGCUAGUCACGUUUAUCAUUGGUCCAGUGCUUGCCACCCGAUACCCAGCACAGUGCAGGUUCAUCAGGGUUGACUAAGGACUUUCCAGUAAGGGUUGUUGCAGCUCACUGCCGCAGUAAUGCAUGACCUUGGAGCAAAGCGCGUCUUAACACUCCGCCUAGCCCUUUCCUAAUCAUACUUGCAUAACAAUCACAUUUUCUUUCGGGAAAGCAAAACAACUAUACCCACGGUACUCCCCACCUUGACGAGGCGAAUUUGUUAAUCCCUCCCUGCAAGUAUAUAGCUCGCUCACUCCCACUCGGAGCUCGUAACAAAGUCAUCACUCAUCACAUGAGCUUGCGUGAGACCGCGAGCCGCGCACGGUGUUCACCGGUCAUGGAAGAAGAGCGAGCGCUGUCCCCGGCGUCCGACGCCUCCACCACCUGCAGCAGCGGCAGCUCCGGCGGCGGCUCGGGCCCCGGCUCCCCCGCCGCGUCGUCGGCGUCUGUUGACGACUCCGGCGUCGCCGCCAGCGCGGCGAGCGGCCGGAAGCGCCCGCGCCGGGAGCUGAAGCACCCGGCGUACCGCGGCGUGCGGAUGCGGGCGUGGGGCAAGUGGGUGUCCGAGAUCCGGGAGCCCCGCAAGAAGUCGCGCAUCUGGCUCGGCACCUUCGACACCCCCGAGAUGGCUGCGCGCGCGCACGACGUCGCCGCGCUCGCCAUCAAGGGCCGCGCCGCGCACCUCAACUUCCCGGAGAUAUCCCACGAGCUGCCCCGCGCGGCGUCGGCCGCGCCCGAGGACGUCCGCGCCGCCGCGGCGCUCGCGGCCGCGAUGGAGGGCGCCGCACCGCCGGCCGCCGCGUCUAGCGACUCUAGCCGCGCCGCCGCCGGCAGUGACGAGGACGAAGAGCCUGCGGCAUCCGUCUCGUCCGGCCACGACGAUGGCAAUGCCGGAGACGAAGAGCCGGCCGCGCCGACGUCUGAGCACGCGGUGCUGGCGGACGGUCACGUCCUAGAUCUCGCGCUCCUCGAGCUGCCCGACGUCCUGCUCGAGUUCGGCUUCGAGUUCACGUUGCCGCCAACGACGCCUGCUUGUUGCUAUGAUUUGUCCUGGGACGAGCCGUUGCUGCUGUGGGAGCACUGACGGCAAGAGGGCGGAACUCGGAACGCAUUCAAUGUGAAGUUAGAUAGAGGUGCUAGCUGAUGACGAUCCACACUAAUUCGAUCUGUUCCUGCGUCAAUUGUGAUGCUAAUUACACAUGUCCAAGCAACCAAGUGCAACAUGAUAGAAAACACACGGUUAUUGAUUCACACAUUUGUACACAACGCAAUAAAUUUCAGUAGUUAACUUUCCAGCUCGUGAACAAGAUGGAAAAGAUAUGAAGGGCUUCUCUUUAGAAAGUUACUUAUGUCUGUUCAAUAUCCGGCUGGUACUACUUGGCCCAUGCCUACUGUAAAUAAGUGAGUGUACAUUUGCUAAAAUCUGGAAGUUCCGAAGAAAUAGGACGCCCCUAAACCCUGGAAAUUUUGCAAAGUUCCUGAGAAGCUUAAGUGAAGUUUUUUUUUUAAAAAAAGAACAAGUGCGAACAUACCAUUCAGCACUGACAGCGUAUGCACAGCGGUGAUGCCACGGGACAGGAGCAUGUUGGUAAGCAAUGUCCAUGAUCAAAGGGUGGGCGGCAACCAAGCAAGUUGGCUUAGGUUCUGGGAAUAUUGGGGCCAACAAGUGAGCCAAGCAAUGGCUGCAGUAUCUGCCAAUUCUUGUGGAAGGCGAUGAUGUAAGCAUGAUGAGAGAAUUUUAACGCUUCUACAACAAUUGGUGGGUAUCAUGGGCGUGGCAACUAGGUAGGGAGAUGGCAUGGACGCAUCCGACAGUUUUUGAUUGACAGCAAGAGAAAAGAAAAUGCAAUCGGUGGGGACAUUUCUGCUACUUCUAGUAAGGGAAAAUGCUUUCAGAAAAAGCUUCAAAACUCUUCCCUUCAGAAAGGAUAACACUGUUGCUUCUUAGAUGCAUAGAACGACACACCCAUUUCGUACUGUUAUUCUAUUGGUACAACAAGCUUGGGGGACUAUGGGGACAAGACGCAUGCUAGGAUUCCAAGGCUGCUUGUAGGUUGGUAUCAUGUCUACAAAAGAUAGGGUAGGGUCUAUUACAAGGGCAUGGGUCACACCACUCACCAAGCUCCAAGCGUGGCGUGGUGUGCGGACUAUGAAGCAGGGUUGGUCCUGAGGGUCUAGGUGCGAUGCCGCUGGAAAUUACCUUGUGCAGUCUAAUCUUCACAACACAUGUGUGAAUGUGGGCAUUUCGUUAGUUGCUGGCUUCCAAUUCCACCUUUACAGUUAUUCACUUUCUUUGCCGCCGUUCUGUCACAUCUGAGCCGUCUGAAUUCUGAAGCCCGUGUAACUAUGAAAGAACUUUCAAUUCAGGAUCGGAAUCAGGAGACCAGCCUCUUUUUUUUUUUCCGAACAACUUCGGGGGAAAGAUCCCCACCUACUUUUUCUCAUUGAUCGAAAGCAUUGCAGUUCAGUUACAAAAUCAAGUCCUUGGAGCAAGGACUUGAGCAAAUACAUGAGAGUUACACUGAAGAACUACAAUCUAGAGGAGAGGUAAUCACGCCAGCAGCGUAAAUGUGUCCUGAGUUCCUUGUAUCGGCAGCUCCAUGCAUCCAUGUCUGUAAUGCACCGUCGUAUUAUAUCUUGCGCCGAGGAGGCUUGUUUAUCAAAGAUCAGUCCGUUCCUUGCUUUCCAGAUAUGCCAGAAGAAGCGUCAUGACGUGCACAUGUACUUGAGAAGGUAGAUUAAGUUCCUUACCAAAAAUCCAUGGGCGUUUAUGUUCGCCCGGUUGUAUCUCAAGCCCAGCACAAUUCCAGACCUCACGCGCGCUAGGACACGCCACAAAGAUGUGGUCAUCAGUCUCGAGUAUACCAGGGCAUCGUUCGCAGCUAGAGUCCUCCGGGGACCGUAGGUGCCGAUGAUGUAGGUCCGUAUCCUACUGGCCACUGUUGCAAUCAUGCCAUUGCCAUGCGCCACGCAAGAGAGCAUAAACUACAUUCCAGAAGCGAGUCACGCACGGCCCUGUUCUCGAUAGAAAAAAAAGCUUGGAACGAGCUAACCACCACCCUACAUUGUUUUGUCUGUCUUUAGUCGCUCCCUUUCUAGGGCAAUAGCUAGCUCCUGGCCAAAUAUCAAACAUCACUACUAUUCCCCCCGGAAACCAUUUCCUAAUGGCCACUGCGAAAAGGGCAAGAUUGUGUGCUCGAUCCUAACUGCCCAUGCAAGGGCAUGGAGAGAUCAGGUUAAUAGUAACAAAUAGUCGAGAUUUUAGUUAUUUGUUUAUCGGCGAGAUAAGGUGUGGUGGAGUUCGGUGGCGAGUCCAUGUGGAGUGCCAGCUCCGGCGAGCGGCGAAGGCCUUGCACAGGCCAGGCAACGGCGGUUGUGGCCUCGCUCGCGGUUCACGAAAGUGUUCGGAUUUGCAGCGAGUUUACCAGCAACUUUCAAUUGCAGCCACUCCUUUUCUGAGUAAUCCUGUUCAAAAAUAGAAUGCGCGAUCGAGUCUACAAAUGUCUAUUCCAGCACGAUCGGGUAAGGUUGCGCAAAAUUCAGCCAGGUAGAUCUACGGACGCCAGGUAGAUCUACGGACGCCAGGCGAUUAACAAUCAUUGGGAUAGCCCAUUAAACUGGAGAGGGAGAAUGGCAUUCCGUUCUUGUGCGCUAUUAGAUAUAGCUGGCAGGGGGGCCACUGCACCGAGCCAGUCUAGGACGAUCGUAUCGCGGCCCUGAUUAACAAAUCUUUAUCUCUGCAUGUGCAGGAUAACUAUGGCAUUAUCUUUCUUAGAAUUAAGUACUGUUUGGAGUCUAACAACUUUUGUUUAGUGAUAUGAUAUGCUGUCCUGUACCCAGUUGGUAGUAGACUAGAGACUAGCAUAUGCAUCUCAAUUUUUCGGAGAUCAUAUACGCAUAUGCGCUCGACCAUGUCAUGUCAUGCGACUCUCUUUUGGACGUUGUAACAAUACUUUAUUAGUUUAGUAUAGCUUAGCUCCUCCUUCCAUUUGCAUUGGCUUUAAUCAUGCGUUCAUGGGAACAAACAGUGAGCUGUUUUUUAGUGCCCGGGAGUCGUCAGCCAGCGAGUGCCGGGUAGCUUUCGUUAUUGGGCUUAAACAAGUGAAUAAUAAUUGGUGCCAAAAGCAAAUCCAAUUCUUAAACGGGACGGAACGGGGAGCCUAAAAUAGGUGAUCAGAGAUCCAAUCCGAUAUCGAUAGUGCAGGAUCUCAGGUACAUACCACCAGAGGUGUGGCGCUUUGCCUAUCUAAAUUAUAUAUGUGUGCAUCUCUGAUCAUGAACUGCGUGCAGGAUUAAAGGCUGAUUGAAUACAGGCUAGUGGUCUAAUCAUGCAGAACACAUAAACCAAUAUCAGACUGUAUGGCGUUGCAAAAAAACAUAGAAACAAAAGAAAUAAUGAAGAGACAGAGAAAUAUGAAGAAAAAUACAGGUAAGACUUGCGCAACAACACAGUAGUUUAGCGUAGGGCCUAAACUUCUUAACGAGCUCCUCGUGGAUAUUUGUUAAUUCCUUUGCUCGACGACAGAAUCCGCGCGCAUUUUGUAAAGAAAGAUCGCUUGCGUCUAAACAAAACCUGCGUCCGAGCUUAUUCAAUCGCAAUUUGCCCUACCACCAGUUUGCCGGAACCAGCCAAGAACAAUAAGACAAACCAAAGCCGGCCUUCAAAGUUGCAGUAGCACAUUGAUAAUCAGCAUAUGUCACCAGUAAUUAAUCUCUACUCCCCUAAUCCAUCAAAUCCCCUUUCCGGGUCGCCCGAAUUAAUGGGGCGAUCCAUGAUUAAGCCCUCAUCAGUCAUUAUACCCUAAUUCCUCUUUACCUAACAGAUCUUUUCCUCCCGAAUCAUCUUGUCCGAAGCCAACAACAGCCAUAGCUCCUUCUGGGUCUCCAGACAGAAUAGGAUUCUUGCAAGAAAGAGGAAGCAGGGCUUGACUUCCUGGCCCAUUUAUAAACUCGCACUCACAGCUCAGGGUAUCAGAUCAAGGCUUUAGGAAAUGUUGUCGAGACAGAUUCGUGCCUGCUCGCUGAAUCAUGAGCUACCAGUAAAGGCACGGCACGGCGAGAUGUUCUCUGUUUGGUGGUAAUGAUCAUGCCUUGUUAUUCGUUACGGGAAAUCCAAAGAACACUCCAGUGUUACAAACGUCACCAACACUCGAUUUUUCUGCCGUCUGAUUUGCACACCAAUCAACUCCGAUUCGUCCGAUUCGAGUGUUCACAAAGUCUUCUUCCUAGGCUCCAGCGAAAUUAGCACUCGGGGGUUCGCAGUUUGGUUUUUGGGGUGUGGUUUUCUUGCCUUCCGGGCAUAGAGGGAAGGUCACCGGCGGUAGGCCGGACUGUAAAUCAGAUGCCCAUAGGGAAAGCGUAUCUUACCCCGUUAGGGGCUGCCCUGCAUGUUUAUAUGGGUGUUGUAAAGGCACAAGAUUUAGGUCCUGUUUGGAUAUAAAUUCCUAAAGUUUAGUAGUGUACUAAAGUUUAGGACUCUCAAAUUGUUAGUUCUAAAGUUGAAGUGCUGUUUGGAUGGACUACUAAUCUUUAGGGAAAAUGUCAUUUUUUACCCCCCAAUUACUCCUCUAAACUACUCUUACACUUUUCACGUCAUUAAUGCAUGCAAGGGCAAUAGGGGUAAAGGGGAUUUGGGGACCACUUUUAGGAGAAAUAGGAUCCAUUAGUACCCCUUGGCCCUCCUAAUGAAAAUGGCCCUCUUAAAGUUUAGAAGUGCACUUUUAGCACUCAUAUUUGGAUGCACAAGUCCUAAAAGUGUCCUAAAAGUGGACUCCUAAUCUUUAGGAGGGUGUAUCCAAACAGGACCUUACAUGGCGCAAUAACAUGUAGGGCCAGCCAAAGAGUCAUGAUACAACAACCAAAACUAUCUAUAAGAGGACUCUUUGGCCAAUACUUAUUAGGUUGUUACUUGAUUAUUACAAAGCAAUUUCGUCAAGUUGAGAUUGAUUUUGAAAUUCUCCAUCAACCGCACGGGAAAUGCCUUGGUGAAUCCGUCUGCUACUUGAUCUUUGGAUGAAACGAAAUCAAUCUCCAAUAACCUCUAUUUUACUCGAUCUCUCAGAAAGUGAUAAUCAACUUCAAUAUGUUUUGUUCUGGCAUGAAACACUAGGUUACUGGACAGAUAUUUUGCUCCUAAAUUAUCACACCGUAAUUUCGCAGCCCGUGGACUAUCAACUCCAAUUUCUUUCAACAAAGUUUGUAUCCAUAUAAUUUCAGCCGUAGCAUUUGCAAUGACCUUGUACUCAAAUUCUGUACUUGAUCGAGACACAGUGGACUGUUUGCAUGCACUCCCUGAAACCAAAUUAGAUCCCAAGAACACUGCAAAACCCCCCCUAGACUUUCUGUCAUCCAAGCUACCGGUCCAGUUAGCAUCCGAGAAGGCGCUAACCAAUGUAGAUGACGACCUGUGUAUCUUCAAUCCAAGUUUCGUACACUGCUUGAUAUCUUCAAUCCAAGUUUCGUACACUUCUUGAUAUAUCUCAAGAUUCUUUUUGCCUCCCAAUGGACCGUUGUAGGAGCAUGAAGGAACUGACGCACCUUAUUAACAGAGAAAGCAAUGUCCGGCCUUGUGAGAGUUAAAUAUUGCAGAGCUCCAACAAUACUUCUAUAUCUUGUAGCAUCAUUUGCUCCCAACAAUGUUCCCUCGUGUAAGGAUAAUUUUUCACUAGUUGACAGGCGUGUACUCACUGGUUUGCAAUCAGCCAUCCCAACCUUUUUUAACAAAUCAGAUGCAUACUUAUCUUGAGUAAGUAUAAUACCAUCACGUACCUUAUUUACUUCAAUACCGAGGAAAUAAUGAAGGUUGCCAAGAUCCUUAUGAGCAAACUCUUCCUUCAGAUUAUUAAGCAAGACCGUUGUUGCAUUUUCUGUUGAGCUUGCAACAAUUAUAUCAUCUACAUAAACCAGCACAAACAUAGUGAUGCCUCCCUUUCUAAAAUAAAACAAUGAUAGUUAGACUUCGAAGCAUUAAAACCAAGUUUAAUCAACUUAUCACUCAGACGAUGAAUACCAAGCUCUUGGGGCUUGUUUAAGUCCAUAUAACGCCUUAUCAAGCUUACACACAUAAUUUGGUCGAUUUGGAUCUUCAAAACAAGGAGGUUGAUGCAUAUAAACCUCUUCUUCUAGUAUCCCAUGUAAGAAUGCAUUCUGUACAUCAAGUUGUCGAAGGGUCCAACCACAAGAGACAGCAAGAGCCAGAACAAUUCGUAUAGUUGCAGCUUUAAUAACUGGACUGAAAGUAUCUUCCUAAUCAAUGACAUACCUUUGCUUAAACUCCUUUGCUACAAGCCGAGCUUUAUAUCUGUCCAAGCUGCAAUCUAACUUUCUUUUUAUUUUAUAAACCCAUUUACAUCCUUUGAUAUUGCUCCCUUUUUUAGGUGGAACCAAAUGCCAUGUAUUGUUCUUCAUUAAAGCCUCAUAUUCAAAAAACAUAGCAUCCUUCCAGUAUUUAUUAUGUAGAGCUUCAUCAAGAUCUUCAGGUUCACCAGUAGAUGUCAACAAACCAUACCUUAUACUCCCAUCUGUAUAGGUUUUAGUUUUCCUGAUCCCUCGCUGCAGUCUGGUCAUCGGUCGUGUGCUCUUAGGAACCAGUGCAGACAAUCCAGGUGACCCAAGCACAGGCGCUGGUGGCGUAGAAGAUCCAGGCGAUGAAAUCCGCUCUAGGACUGGCGCGCUCGUGUCCGCUGCGGUCUCCCGCGCAGGCGAAGGUAGCGUGGUGCCUUCGAACUCGCCCCCAUCGGUGCAGGAAUGCGAGGCGGAUUCGCUCGCACGCAUGGCGCCCCCUGGUUGGCGCGCUGGAGACACUGACGGGCUGGUCAGGCGCAGCCCUGAUUCCGAGCGUGAUUCGCUCCCUGGAAGCGCCGCCGCAUCCACCUCGUGCUUGGUGCCGCCCCCAAUCUGAUUAUUUGUUGUGUCUGGAACCGGUUCUACUAGACUGCUGCAAUCAAAAAAAUUCAGAACUAGUACAAGGCAAAUCAGUUAGUUGAUCACCUAAACGAUUGUCCCCACUAUUAGCCAUAGAAUCAGGUGAAAGCAACAGAAUUUCAGAGCAUAAUUGAGAUCCUGCAUUAGGAUGUAAUGUGGAGAAUGGAAAGACUUUUUCAUCAAAGGUGACAUCUCUAGAGAUGUAAACUCGUCCUGAAGGAACAUCUAAACACUUGAACUCUUUAUGGAGGACACUAUACCCAAGAAACACACACUGUUUGGAACGGAAUUGAAGCUUGUGUGUGUUAUAUGGUCGAAGGUUAGGCCAACACACACAUCCAAAGGUGCGUAAGGUAGAGUAAUCCGAUUUUGAUGGAGCAGACGCUCUAAAGGCGUGGAAUGAUUAAUGACCUUGCUAGGAAUACGAUUAAUAAGAUAUGUGGCUGCUAGGAACGCCUCAUCCCAAAAUUUUAAGGGCAUGGAGGCGCGAGAAAGAAGAGCAAGACCAACUUCAACGAUGUGUCUAUGUUUGCACUCGGUAGCACCAUUCCGUUGGUGUGCAUGGGGGCAAGAGACAAGAUGUGAGACACCAAUCUUUGUGAAGAAAGAAUUAAGCUUCUGAUAUUCUGCUUCCCAAUCUGUUUGCACAGCUUUAUCUUGCGUCAAACAUCCUCUCAACUAGAUUUUGGAAAUCAUGAAAUUUUUGGAAGACUUCUGACUUAAACUUUAUAAGAUAGAUCCAAGUGAAUUUGCUAUAAUCAUCAAUGAAACUAACAUAAUAUUAUUGUCUACCAACAGAUUGAAUGGCAGGACCCCAAACAUCUGAAAACACAAUAUCUAAGGGAGCACUAGACUCACUAAUGGACUUCGGAUAUAGAAGCUGAUGUGUUUUGGCUUGUUGACAAGCAUUGCACACAUACUCAUUAUUAGACUCAAAAGUACAUGGGGGAUUAUUGUUGCUAAUGACACAAUGGACUAUGGGAGACGAUGGAUGCCCCAGGCACUCAUGCCACUGGGACAUGGACGGCUUGCUGCUGGUGCAGAACGCAUGAUUUAUUGGUGAAGUGGACGGAAGAGGAUACAACCCUCGUUGACAGCGGCCAUUAAGAAGAGUUUUCUUGGUUUCCUAAUCCUGAAACAAAAAGAAGUUGGGGCGAAACUCCAUGAAAGCAGAAUUAUCAGAUGUAAAAUGAUGAACGGAUAUAAGAUUUUUCUUAGCUUUUGGGACAUGCAGUAUGCUGUUUAGAUGAAGAUUACGGCUAGGGGUAACAAUAGUAGAAUGACCAGCAUGACUAAUUGUCGUACCUGCACUACUGGCAGUGUGGAUCUGAUCGCCGCCAUUGUACUUCUCACGAGUUGAGAGCUUUUCUAGGUCACUGGUGAUGUGAUCAGUAGCGCCGGUGUCCGUAUACCAGUUGGUGUCGACUCCAUAUGAGCUGGUGGCUGUCACCACAUGUUUCUCUCUGGGACGUAGUAUUCAUCAAAUCUAUGCCAACAUUCAGUCGUAGUGUGUCCUUUUUUAAGGCACACCUAGCAAGACGGACGGUUGUCGUGCUUGAUGUAGCCAUAGCCACCUCCUUAUGCUCCUUGGCGUGCAUUGUUGCUACCAUUACUACGACCGCGACCACCAUUGGUGGUCUCGCGACCACGGCCGCGCAUUGCGCCACGACCACGGCUAUUGCCAUGGCCUCCUCCAUGCCUAGCCAUGUUGACCGAGCUUUGAUCUCCUCCAUGGACCAGAUCCAAUCUAGUCUCAAAGGUGAGAAGCUGUGAGUAUAGCUCAUCCAGCAUGACAAGCUCCACCCUCGUGACAAGGGCAGAAACCAAUGACUCGAACUCAGGGCUCAAGCCGGUGAGGAUGUAUUCGACGAGCUCAUCAUCGCUGAUAGGGCGGCCUGCUGCCGCCAUGUCGUUGUUGUAGCCUUUCAUCUUGGAAAAGUAAUCAACAACAUAUGAAUUCCCCUUCUUGAUAUUUGAUAGUGCAAUGUGCAGAUUGACUGCACGAGCAUGAGUUUGUGAGGCAAACAUCGCCUCAAUGGAUCGCCAUGCUUCUGCCGCCAUCUUGGACUAAGCAACAGAUGUCAUAAUCUCCCUGGAUAGAGAGGCGAAGAGGAAGCUGAGGAUCUGUUGAUCUCGGGCCUCCCACUCUUCAAACGUCGGGUUUGCGACCUUGUUUCCUUCCUUGUCGACGAUCUCCGCCGCAGGAUGCUUCGUUGCUCCCGUGAGAUGGCCUUCCAAUCUUUCGCCACGCAUGGUAGAGCGGACUUGAGCUUUCCAGAUGGCAUGAAUCGCCUUGGUUAGCUUUUCAGUGACGACGUGCACCACUAAUGGAUUGGAGGGAAAAGAAGCUGACGAGCUAGACAUGGUGGACGAAGAACUAGGAAGGUUUGGCUCUGAUUACCAUGUAAAAUCAGAGGGCAAUAGGGAAAGCGUAUCUUACCUCGUCAGGGGAUGCCCUGCGUGUUUAUAUGGGUGCUCUAAAGGCACAAGAUUUACAUGGAGCAACAACCUGUGGGGCUGGCCAGAGAGUUCUGAUACAACAACCAAAUCUAUCUACCAGAGGACUCUUUGGCCAAUACUUAUCAGGUUGUUACUUGAUGAUUACGAAAGCAAGAUAGGAACAAGUUCUAUCUCUCACUCUAUCUCUAACACAUACCGGUGGUGGUGACGGGCGCCGGGGCGAUGAGGCGAGGCGGCGGGGCCGCCACUGGCUAGGGCAGUGGAGGAAGGCAGUUGGGCAAUAAUAGGGCGGGGGCGUCACAGUUAUAGCGUGGCGGUAGGGGGGGAGCCGCCGGAAGGCAGGUGGGGCAGGGCGAGCGCAAGGCAAAGAGCAGCAACCAGUAGCUCUGUCGGUCAUGGAAGUUGGGAGCUGAACAGAUGCUGUCUGAGGUUGAAGAAGGAAGUAGAGCUGUCCGAUCUUGAUCGGAUGGAAAAAAAAUCGUGUGCUCAGCUGCUCCCAAACACUCGAGUCUAGAAUAGAUAAGCGCUAUCCGUUAACCACCUACACAUCCUGCACUGACGAGAGGGCACCAACUGUAACGGCACAAUGCUGCCUUGUGUUAGUACAGAAAUAGGUAAUCAUUCAGGGUCUAAUGGAACUUUGGAGGCAUGCAUGAUUGCUAAUGGGGUAUUAGAGUGGCGGUUACGGCAGCCACAUCGCAUCUGUCUUGAGGUGAGGAGGAGAUAACGUACCGGGUGCCCUGAGCUUUCGAAAGAAUGAAAGUUGCAUCGGGCUAUGAUAUAGGCAGGCAUUGAUUGCGACGACCAGAGUGAGUCUAAGGGGGUGUUUGGAUCUUCAGGAUCUCCUAAAAUUUAUGUCACAUCGAAUAUUCGGAGGCUAAUUAGGAGGAUUAAAUAUGAGCUAAUUAUAAAACUAAUUACACAGAUGGAGGCUAAUUCACGAGAUGAAUCUAUUAAGCCUAAUUAAUCCAUCAUUAGCACAUGUUUACUGUAGCAUCAUAUUGUCAAAUCAUGAACUAAUUAGGCUUAAUAGAUUCAUCUCGCAAAUUAGCCUCCAUCUGUGCAAUUGGUUUCGUAAUUAAUCUAUAUUUAAUACUCCUAAUUAGUAUCUAAACAUUCGAUGUGAUAGAAAUUUUAGGAGGGACUAAAGAAACAAACACCCCCUAAUGCGACGUCCUUGGUGGCUCUCGUGCCUACCGAGUUGUCACUGCUGGACUGAAUAUCUGUAUGGCCGCUGAAUUCCUGACUGUCCACCUCAUCAAAUUUAAAACAGGGAACCUUUUGUUGUUUAACUGAUACUGUCGAGGUCUGUAAUAUCCAGUGAUGGGCGUGCUUAAACCGCCAAAGAUCUACCGGUGCCUACAGUCAGAGCUGUGGACAGUGAGUAUCCGCCAAAGAUCGCCCAAAUCCAUUUCAUGCCUGUAAAAUGUUCAGGUUUAUGUAGCCUUCAGUGAGUUACCCUACCCCAGCGAGGUCAUGGAAUCCUUGUCUUCACAAGGCUACAAGAGAAUGUCUCGGGCCGGGCUGCGGCUCACGCAGCACGAAGGAUUAGCAGACUGGCCAAGUGGCCAUGGCCAUGGAGCACGAGGCGCUCAGGUGGGGAAAAAUGCCCCCGCGAUCAGAGAUCGAGCCGCUACGGAACAAAAGGACGGUACGGUGGCGCUGAAAGCGAGGCCAGGGGCCAAGGCAAACACUGCGCGACCAUAUGAUGCCGCCGGUGGAAACAACAUGGACGGGGUACGACGCCAUGGCCAUCUCGGCAUCUCGGACGACGCGGUCGCAGCGCCCACGCGUCGGCGCGCCACCCGUCUGGAUCCGAGGCGGAGACACCCCGGCCAGCGGUUACAGCGUCUCACGGGGCGCACACGAUGAGGCGAAGGCGAUCGAUCCAUGCCGAAAAUAUGGGAGGAAAUGUGUUUUCCCCUACGUGGACGGUGGACUCCUAGGCUCGCGGAAUAAUGAAAGUGAAAUCGCGUGAGGUCACACAUGCAAUUUUACUAUCAGAGUAUCUCGGUCCAUAUCGGGGCGGAGUUAGACCCGGGUGCGUACGUGUAACACGCUGGGGAAUUGCAGCCAGUGGUCUUUGGUCCGUCAUUAAUACGCACCGGCAACCAACUCGCACUCACAAAAGGUUCAGCUUGCAGUCAUGUGACAAAGUUCAUGCACGUUCUCCUCUUGCUUUUCAACUCAUCUACUGGAAUCAAUAUCAAUUCACAUUCACGAGAGGCAUUCAUUUGGGGGAAAACACAAUUUCUUUCGGUCCAUAUGAAUUUGAAUGGAAAAUGGACUAAUAUUUUUGCACCACAAAUACCUCCUAAUACGUGUGAUUGCAAGGAGUUCCUAUGUUUCUAAACAAGAUCCGAGGAUUUCAAAUUAAAAAAGGGUUUUACUAAAAGAAGAAGUUCAAGAAGUUCCGGAAGUUCUAUUUUGAGGGGCUAUUUGAGAUUCGGAUCGCGGGGUCUUAAUAAAGAGACAUUUUAGCAUGUGUGCGCCCUGGAGUUGUGACGCGCCCAUCACUGGAUACCUCUGUCUCCAUGCAUUGGUUCCAAGCAGAAGUUCCCCAAUGCAUGAACUUCCAGCUCCACGCACGAGGCGGGGCUAUAUAUCUGUCUGACCUGCAUGGCGGACAUGUAGCAGCUGCAGCAUGCUACGUACCACGCACACAUGUCACCGUGACAAAGCUCGUUAUUAACUCCCCCAACGCCAACCAGCAACGAACACAAAGGCAUGCAGAACAGCAGAAACACUUGGUUUGAAACCACACUCCACUUCAAAAUCUGCCGUUCAGUCCGAGUACUUGGCACCAGUAGUAGUAGUUCUACGAUACCCGGCAACAUACGUACAGACGUUCCAUCCUAGGCUAUACCGGAUUUGCUACACGCACAAACAGAAGGUGGUUUUCCGAGGCUAUCAUUGCAAAACGCUCUGUGAUUUGACACCGCAAAUUGGCAGGACCUGGCAGCAAAAGGGCGGGCACCCACAACGCUGAAAUGGAAAAAAAAAAGUUAAAUGACUGCUUUUUUUUUUGAAACUUAGUUAAAUGACUGCUUUGUGGUACCUUACCUUGUACCACUAUGUGGCAUGUAGUGUCACACUGCAGUUAGCCGGAGAUUACGGUUUUUCCUAAAAUAAGCGCGUGGAGACAAAGGCCCAGGCCCCAAAAACCUGUGGUACUCUGUCGCGGUGCCCCACGGUCAAUCGGCAUUCUCCCGGACCGGUACACUAUUCCCUUGCCCGCAAGGGUCGUGGCCGCGGCGGCAUCGUUUUCCUCUUUCCACGUCGCCCCCAGACACCUCAUCUCCUCCUCAUAAAACCCCCCUCGCUCCCGCACCCUCAGCUCCAACCUCACCACUCCACUCGCCUCCUCCCUCCGCGCACAGUCACAGUCCUCCCGGGCAGCAGCGGCAGCAGCUCUCUGCUGUCAACCAACUCCACCAACACACAUACACACACACACGAACCACCGCAGCAGAGGGAGGGAGGAGACGAGGAGGCAUGGCCAUGGAGGACUCGUCCUCGGGCUCGGAGCCCACCACCUCGUCCUCGGCGGAGGCGCCCGCGUCGCCGACCGCGACCACGGCGUCGUCGUCGUCGGACUCCUCCCCCGGCAAGAAGCGGCGGCGCACCAAGGACGGGCACCACCCGACGUACCGCGGCGUGCGCAUGCGGGCCUGGGGCAAGUGGGUGUCGGAGAUCCGGGAGCCGCGCAAGAAGUCGCGCAUCUGGCUGGGCACCUUCGCCACCGCCGAGAUGGCGGCGCGCGCCCACGACGUGGCCGCGCUCGCCAUCAAGGGCCGCGCCGCGCACCUCAACUUCCCGGAGCUCGCGAGCGAGCUCCCCCGCCCGGCCACCGCCGCGCCCAAGGACGUCCAGGCCGCCGCCGCCCUCGCCGCGGCCGCCGACUUCCCGGCGCCCUCCGCCAAUGCAGCUGGCGGCACCAAGGACUCCGACGACGACGGCCCGGACGCCAGCCCCGCGUCCGCCUCCGCCGCGGCCUCGCCGCCGCAGGCGCAGGACGUGGACAGCAACCCCGACGACGCGCUGUUCGACCUCCCUGACCUCCUCCUCGACCUCACCAGACACGGACCCUCGUCGUGCCAGCUCUCGUGCGCCGCAUCGUGGGACGACGACGUGUGCUUCCCCGGCGCCGGCGCCGGCGUGUUCCGUCUCGAGGAGCCGCUGCUGUGGGAGUACUAGAGCCAAGCUGCUUAAUUACUUCCAGCUGCAGGCAGCGUCGUGUAUGGCUUGUAAUCGCAGCGGUGGACCACAAGGAAAACAAAACCAUCCGUGUAAAGUGUAAACCAUCCAUCCAUCCAUCCAGAGCUGGACCAGAAAAUGGCCUAAUUUAGAGGCAUUUCUCCCCGCGUCUACUCUCCCAAAUUUAGAAACCAAACCAUGUAUAAAAAAAAUUCAAGAAAAAUUCAUUCAUCAUCCCCCCGUACGCUCCUUUCACUCUCCUCCAACCUGUCGCCUGUGUUUGCUUGGAUUGUGGGGCAAGAAUAUGUGCACGACUAACCGCGCAUCUCUAGCCCCCUUUCAUUCCCUUGCGUUGGGUUUUUAUAUUAAUAAAUUCUCUAGUAGUAGCAGCAACUAGCAAGCACUAGUGGUAGCUAAAGGUGAUCUAGCCCGAUUUGGACUAAUGCUACACGAAACGCUUUGCCCAAAGACGCACCUUUUAAAUUACGGCCAGAUUCGAGCACCGAUCACCUCCAACUCAUCAGCAACACGAAGCAGAAAAGCGCGCGCAGCGCACCGAUCGGUCGUCAAAGAAGCGAAGAAAGAAAUUCACCCGACCACGAACCCUGUGUGGCCUUGCCUUUUCACGCAACAACGACGGCCGCAUGCAACCGGACUCUAACAGCGCGCCAAAAGCCGCGGGACGGCGACCGGAGGCGGGGGCGAGAGCGACGGCGCCCGACUCUGUGCGGAAAGCGGCGUGCGUGCGUGCGUGCGUGCAUGGAUCCCGGGCUGACACCGGGCGUGCCGUGAAACGGCGAGGAGGGAGGUGACGGAGCGGUCGCCGUCCCGGCCUCCCGGGCCGUAUGUGUAACGUCGCCACCGCCUCCGUCGUCUCGUUCCCAUCUAUCUCGGCGCCGCGCGCCUGCGAGGGCUCGCGUUGGCCGUAUGUGCCGCACGUACUUGCGCGCGCGGCGCGGUGGCGCCUUGGACGUUUCGUCGGAGCUGGAGCUGGGUGACGCGGACGGCCGGCCACGGCGCCACCGGGAGGGGAGGACAACGGAGUGGUUGCGCCCGCAUAAAUGGCAGGGUUUCCUGGCGUCGCAGAUCGUACCGCGACGAUAAGGCGAGAUCCCGAGGGCGUGCCUCCCCUCCGUCCAAUCCGUCCGCUCUCGUCGUCGUCGUCGCCGCUUUAUCCACCUUGCGCGACGAGUUAAAUGCGCUGCCGCUGGACGGUGCUGCUGCUGCUGCGCUGACCAUACUGCUCCUCUUGGACCUUCGUGGAGGACAGCCAGUUACAUGCUGGCACGCACGGCGAGUUGCUGGGAUCGUGGCGUGGCUCGGUGGCUGUACAAGCACGAGCGGCUCGCCACGGAGGGUGAACGAACGGUCGGUGGCGUGAGGGCCGGGGGUGCGUGGCGGUACGGCGCGGGGGGCGGUACCCCUACUGCUGCUGGUGCUGGUGGUGAGGAGUCGUGUGGUUUUUUUUUUUGUUGAAAAUUGAACUCGUGUGGUUUUUCCGUGCACGAGACCUUUGACAUGGCGCAGACUUGUGGGGAAGGCCCAUGAUUUUUGCUGGUCAUGUCACCUCGUAUAAAAGAAGAGCGUGUUGUUGGCUCAGCAUUACCCGUGUUCGCGGGAUACGGGAUCCUUGUUUUACGGGUUAGCCCCCUCGUGCAUGCAUUUCAUGCAAGAAUUUGGGUUCUAGGUCGUGUGUAUCCAUCGGGCACAUGCGACAGGGGACGGAUCAGAGACCAGUUCAGUUCGUGCGAUGGGUUGAUGUACACUUAUAGCAACUCGAACCAGCAGCGGCGCUGGGAGGAUCAGUGGACCAUCCAUCGGGCUGGACAGGCACGUCAUGGGGUGGACCUUAAUUAUAUGUGUGUCCCUCCUGUGUUUCUUCUUGAUGUAAAAUAUGGAGAUGUUUUAUGUGUCCUACUCCUAUGUAAACCUUUACUGCCAGCCAGCUACGAGAAAGACCGGAGUGAAAUCCUAAUUCGUAAGUUACUUAUAGUAUCAUUGCCAAGUACUUCUUCAGUUGUCAACCUUCUAUAAUUUUAAAUAAAUUUAUAUAAAAUGUAUUGACAUUUCCGAUACCAAAUAAAUAUAACAAUGCAUUGCAGUAUGAAUUUAUUGCUAAAAUUAAUUUUUAUGUUAUAGAUGGUAGUGUAUUUUUUAUAAAUUUAAUUUAAGUUAACUAAAACUUAAUUUUGACCAAAUUAAAUUUAAAACAGUCUAUUUUUUAAACUGUGGGAAUACACGAAGGUGUGGAGCUUAGCUGAGGUUAAAGGGGAGCCCCACCUCCUAUAUACUCUUCAAGAGAAUCUUAAUUUCAGCACUUAGGUCUUGUUUGAAUCCACCAGUAAAAUUAGCAAGAUUGGAUACAAACGAGCCAACUAAAGUAGCAGCUAAACCUCUCCCAGCUAAUUGGAAGGUAACUGUCCUUUAACUUGUUGAACCCAGCUAAAACCAGCUAAACAGGCUAAAAGACUGAAAUACCCUCACUUGUCCUUCAAAAUUUCCACUGCCAUAAUAAAUGAAGGAUAAUAUGGACACAAAGUAGCAAUUUGCUAGUAAAUUUAAACGUCCCAGCUAAAAAAAAUUCUUACUUUUUAGCUAGCUAAAUUUUAGUUGGGUGUAUCCAAACGGGACCUUAACUAAUCACCAAAUCACAAACUAUCUCUACCUUAGCUCUCCUGCAUUUAAUUUGCUGACAAGCUCUCUGCCACCAAGCACAUGCAUUUUGGCGACUCUCCUUUGUAUUAGCGAGUAAGUACCGGCUAAUAAAGCCGAAAAUAUGUGCUUGCACAUGCUCAUGUUUCAAAAUAGUACUACUGGUAGUACUAUAAUUAAGGUAUGAGUGGUACUGGCACCUGUAUCAUAAAAAUUUGAUACGAAUCUAAGUACUUCUUAAAACCUCUUCGCCCGUUUUAAAUUCCUUGUACGUGGGCUAUUAAGAAUUUAGGAUAUUGCUAAUCGAGUAGGUUUGGUUUGUACACGACAAUCAAUCGCAGUUAGUAGUACACAAUUAUAUAUGAUACAAUAUCAUUUUAUUUUGUCGGGAACCUACGUAAUAAUGCCAGGUUUUCUAUUAUUCUAGGCUUAAUGCCCAGGAAUAAAGGGAGACAUCAGCAUCUUAGGAGCACCGAUUUUUUUAUCAAGAAGAAACGAGAACAAAUCUUUUCUUUGUCCAUAUCGUGGCUGGUUCUUGUCCCAUGUCAAAAAGAUCUACUACUACCAGAACGCUAGUAUAAGCAACCCGGCCAGCAAAGAUUUCUCAAGGGAAAAAAACAACAACGCAGCGACACGCAGACGUGAGAUUUCAGCAGUCUCCGGUGUGUCCAAGAAGCAUGACGCAUGCUCUACGUCCCGCCACCACCUACCGUGCGGGCCUCAUGGUCAUGGGGCCGUCGGGGCGGUCCUACGGCGGCCCAUGAAGCUAGCUACGGCGCGCGCACCACACGCAUGCAAAGCCUGCACAGCCUCCAUUUUUAGCGGCAGCCUAGCGUCCCGUUUCAAAAGGCGGGGGGCCAUGCUGUGGUGUCGCUUCGCUGCUGGCCAUCUCUCUCAUGCCCGGAACUGGAGUGGAGCCGGAGUUCGUGUGGACUCCGACUGCCAAGUCGCUUCCAUUUCCUUUCAUCCACGAGAUUAAACGGACUAAUGCGGUAGGACACACCAAUAAUGCCGGUAGGACAGGCAACCAUGGCUGCCGCUAGCUGCCAAGUCGUGGCCCACAGCCUUCCACGUUUGGAUACCGGGAGCUAAACUUUAGCCCAAUCACAUCGGAUGUUCGGAUACUAAUUAGGAGGAUUAAAUAUAAGCUAAUUACAAAACUAAUUGCAGAACCCCUAGGCUAAAUCACGAGACGAAUCUAUUAAGCCUAAUUAAUCCAUCAUUAGUAAAUAGUUACUGUAGCACCACAUUGUCAAAUCAUGGACUAAUUAGGCUUAAUAGAUUCGUCUCACGAUUUAGCCUAGAGGUUGUGUAAUUAGUCUAGGUUUAAUACUCCUAAUUAGUGUCAAACAUUCGAUGUGACGGGGCUAAAAUUUAACCCCCUCCUCCCAAACACCCCAAAGGGGCGCUUGGGCACACCCGGAAAUGACCAAAAGCCCCGCCAGGCUCACAUCCGUAGCGGCGUCCGCUAUUUAUGAUGACGCCGGAGUAGGUGGCCUCUUCAGGUUUCGUUUGGUUGUCAGGACUAAAGUUUAGUCUCUAUCACAUCGAAUGUUUAGAUACUAAUUAGGAGUAUUAAAUAUAGACUAAUUGCAAAAAUAAUUGCACAAAUGGAGGCUAAUUCGCGAGAUGAAUCUAUUAAGUCUAACUAGUUCAUGAUUUGAUAAUGUGAUGUUACAGUAAAUAUGUGCUAAUUAUGAAUUAAUUAGAUUUAAUAGAUUCGUCUCGUGAACUAGCCUCCAUCUAUGUAACUAGUUUUAUAAUUAACUCAUAUUUAGUCCUUCUUAGUCUUUAAAAAUUUGAUGUGAUAUGGAUUAAACUUUAGCUGGAUUCAAACGCGCCCGCGGCAGCACCACGCGCCGGCCGGCAUGUGCCGUGCCUGAUUUGCCUGUGCUGCUGCCUCCGACCCUCCGGACCCCUGGUACGGUGGCGCUUUGCGUGUAAUUGCACAUUUGCACGCGCCCGCGCGGUCAAAACCGGCCCUGCGCGCCUGUUUGGUAUGUCGAUGCCGCGGCCACUGGGCAGACCAGGUGUGCGGUCAGCAAGGGGCGGCAGGCACGGGGGAAACGAGGAGGAGUGAGGGAAAAAUGGGUCGCUGCCACUGCACGGUCCUAUCGGGGGGAUCGACAGGGCCGGCCCCCGGGAAGGGAAGAAGCGGGCGGGCGGUGGUUGGUUGUCCCUGCCGGCCGGGCGAAUCAGGACGACGACGGAGUUCCAAGUCCCAUGCAACAGUAGCACUCGUGCCGAUGCAUGGCCACGUCGAACACGAGAAGAUACUUAGCGCAUAGUACCUCCGGUACCCCAAGUAUAGUAAACGGAGGGAGCCCGGCCGGAUGCCUCGACUGUGGCCGGUAGCGCACGGUGGGUGUCACGUCCGCGUCGCGCUCGCUAUCACCUGAGUGACUCCUUUGUCUCCCACGUACCCCGGCGGGCGUGGUACGUACGCCGUGAUGCCCAUCUGCAAACCACCACCCCCACAGAAAGGAAAAACGAUACGCUGGUACGAUACGGCCCGACCGGUCGCCGUCGUCGUCGUAGGGUGCGGCACGCCGCCCCCACCGGGCCGUCCGUCCAUCCCUGUGGGCCGUGGCCGCGAAAUUAAGCCCCCAUUGGCAGGGUUCACCCAGUGACUUCUUGAGCGGCUUAUGGUGAAACCCUACCAAACGGUAGAACUUAAAAUGACUCGUAAGAAAAAGUUAGGACAAGUCCCGCCUUUUACGCUCUUUGUGUUCUUCCAUUCCUCCACCCAAAACACUAAAGUAUGCAUGUGUCCUUGCUAUUUCACAAAAAUUACAACAUUUACGAGCAGGCACGUGGAGGCGGCGGCGGAUGUGGCGGCACCAUGGCGGCCGGUGGUGCGCGCGGAGCUCCGUGGCGCGCGCGGCGGAGCCCACGGCCGUGUUGAAGCUCAACAACCGAGAUGGAGCACGCGCGGCAUGCCGAGGCCGCGGUCAUGGUGGGGCUUGGUUGCGCGAGCGGAGGCGGCGUCCAUGGCGGAGCUCGGCAGCGCGUGUGGAGCCCGCGGUCAGGCUGAAGCUCGAUGGCACGCAGAGCUAGGGAUGCAGGUGGCGUUGGGGCAAGAAGAGGAUAAGGCUGUGUGGCUGUGUGGUCCAUGGAGAAGAGAGAGAAGGAAGAAAAAGAAUGGGAAGGGAAAAGAAAGAAAAAAUAGUACUCCCUUCGUUUCCAAAUUAUAAGUUGUUCCGACUUCUUUGGAGAGUCAAAUCAUUUUAUGUUUGAUCAAAAUUAUAGAGAGGAUCACAAAAGUUUAUAACACCGAAUAGAUAUACUAUUAAAUAUAUUUAAUGAAAAACUAAUGGUACUUAUUUUGUAUAUGAAUGUUAGUAAUUUAUUGUAUAAAUUUGGUCAAAUUUGAGAUGUUUUGACUCUCUUAAAAAAAUUGGAAUGAAUUUGGAACGGAGGGAGUAAGAAUAUAGGGAAAAAAUAAGAAAAGGAAGGAAGAAGGAAAACUAGAAAGGGCAUAUGGACCUUUUAUCUUCUCUAUCAAUUGUAAAAAGUCAGGUGAAGUCAUUCUGCCAAACGUUUUUCCAACAAGACAAGUCAGAGCUAAAAAAUCACUUCAUCAGAAAAGCUAGAGCUAAAUCUAUUUUUCCAAGCAUAACAGCCCUGCCAAACGGGUCCUGCGUCACGCGCGGGGCACACAGGGUACAGCAGCCACGCAACAUCAGCUUGCGAUGCGCGCGAGCUGCCAACGAGUGACGGGAGAUGGAUGCAUGCAUGCAUGGUCAUGGCGUCUCGAUCUUUUGCUUCCCCAGCCUGCAGGUCCCAAUCUUUCUCCGACGUCGAUCGGGUGCGGUCCAGAUCACGUAACACUUCGCCAAGUGUUUGACAGACCCCGUAGCUGGGCAUUCAUUCCCGUCGCGGGCGCCGAUAUCUCCGGGCAGCAUGACAGCAUCCCCUCUGAUGCAACGGCCGGCGCGCGUGCAGAAUGUGCCCUCCCACACCCUUUCCACCAGACCAUGCAGAGCCUACUUGUAAAUCUAAUGGACAUGACAUGACUGGCUCGGAGCAAACACUUUGUUUGGGGGGAGAUAACAAGCUAAGCUAGAAGCUACUCAUCUGCGUGCACGUUCUUGAACUGGCGUUUACAGGGGCCGCCGGGGGUGACGUACCGUAGGAAAAGCACGCCCUACCCACCAGCAUUAAAGCUCGGUUUUGAUGGGAGACACUGCUAUGCACACGUAGAGACAAGGUGAAUAAAGUAUCGUGCAUAAUGACGUGGAUCAAAGGCGUUCAAAGAGAUCAGAUUCCCCAUGAUUGUGCGGGCGAUCGAUCGCAUGGCAGCUGGGGCUCGAGGAACAGCCGGCGCCCGGUGCCAAAGAACAAAAGGAGGCUGAAGCUUCCUCGGGCGAUAAAAGGCAGGGAGCGAGGGACGGACGACGCCGAUGGCUCGACGAGCGUUUAGUCGAGUGGAUUGAAGCGAUACCGAUCACGUACUGGCUGGAAUGCUGGAUCACUUGGACGCUGCCUUCAUCGUGCUCCUCUAGUCACUGGCGCCAUGCAUGCACUUACAGUUACAGGUGGGUGGUAAUAAGAGCUGGGCAGGAAAAUCUAGCCAGGAUGAUAUGGUGUCCAUGUCGAUCUUAUUACAUACACUAUCCUCGGUCAUGAUGGAGCGAGACAAAAUCUGUAGGCGUAAAGGGAAGGUGCUAUGCUAAAGCUACAUCGAUAGUACGCUACGCACACUGCUGAUGGAUUCGUUUCAUUGAUUAGGAGCAGUGGUAAGGUAUGUGUAGCUGUCGCCCUUGUGCUGAUAAUAACCAGCGAAAAAAAGCACGAAAGGAAAUAUAUACGCACAAAAAGAGUACGCAGGCCCCCUACUACAGUCCAAAGAAAUGGUCCUUGGUUCUAGACUAAAGCGGACCGUGUAGUGCUGUAGUAGAUGGAGCCUGCACGAUGCUGAGAGAAGCACGAAAAUGAAGACGAUGAAAGAGGCCGGAACAAAGCAAUGGCGAUUCAGCUACGUCGAACUAGCUAGGAUCCACCUUGAGAAAGAGAAAAAAAGGGGGAAAAAAUCCUCGCGUGCUCAAUUACAUCGCCGUCGCCGGCGAUGUAUGGACACUGCAACUCGUGCCCCCUACAGAGUAAAGAUUUGUGCUGCUGACUAAAAGAACUCUGUGCUGAUGGGUUGAGCACCCGCCAACAAUUUUGAGCCAGCACAAAUAGCGGUCUGUGCUGCCGGGCGAUGUUAGGAACCUACCAGCACAGAGGCUUUCUAUGCUGGCGGGUGGCAUAACCACCUACCAGCACGUUCUUUUAGUCAGCAGCGUGGUUAUGCCACCCGUCAGAAAUAUUUAUUUUCCUAUUUCCCAUAAUUUAUUUAUAAUUUAUAUUUAUCGCCAGUUUUUAGCCGCCAAAUUUAAAUAUGUAUCUCCAACCACGUAAUAACGAACUUAAAUAAUAAAUAAUUCACAUUAUUAAAAACUGCAUCGUACAUAAUAGAUAAUUCACGUUAUUCAACAAACUUGAAUAAUAAAUAAUUCACAUAAUUCAACAAUUAGAGUAGAGCUAUUCUUCCAUCUACGAAGACGUGUGCAUUCGUCCACUGCCAACACGUCAUUUGGAUCAAAGAAUUUUCCGUCCUCAUGACAAAUCUCCUGUUGGAUGAACCUCACCAUAUCCAUACAAAUGUUGAUGAUGCCUCUGUCUUCGAGCGCCGCAUCCCGAGUGUCGAUCCUAGACAUAUGCAAGUAUACAGUAAAUGAAAAUAAGGAUGUAUUACCAUUAGGAAGUUAGCACAUGGUAGCGUAUAAGAGACUUGCGUCUUCGGGGUUCGUCCGUUACCUCCCAUUAUUUCUGAGGAACUCGCACACAUAAUAUCUGCAUAUUUCAGAGUUGGGAGGUUACUUGUGGCACUGCAAUCAAAUAGAAAAAUGAUGAGUUGUUAUAAAUGACAAGUCUACAUUAUAUAAAAAGAAACCCAUCUAUAUGUUAUUAUUUUCAUCGCUUUCUUCCUGUUUUCAGGGCAUUCCCCGCCUUUCAGUACGUAAAGCAUGUGCACACUUUGAGGAUAUAAAUACAAGAGGAUAUAAAGACAAGAGUUAGUAAUACAACUUAGGUGCAUAGAAUCUCAACAUGCAUUUAAGUACUGCCAAGAGAUGUCGUACUUUUGUACAAUGCUUAGGAAUUCCUUGUAACUAUCUUUGGUAAAUCAGGCUGAGUCGAGAAUAGUUGCAGAUCCAAGCUUAGAGUAAAUACAGAUGCAAAUCCAGUGGUCUCUGCAUUAUAUUAGAAUAAUUUAUAUUAUAGAUGGUAUUAAUUAGCACCAAGUAUAUAAAUAGUAAUUUAAACUAGCUAGCUUACUGAAAAUUGUAAGCCCCCAUGAUGCACUGCUUCUGAGCCUUUUUCCUUAUAACUCUUGCAAUAUACACGGACACUUUGUGCAUUUCUUCUUUGUGGGCUUUUCCCUUUAUAGCAUUUUUCUCCGCUUGUGUCUGUGCUGCUUCCAUUUCUGCUUUGACCCUUUCAUUCAUUUUGAACUUGUGCUUUGGAUCGCUAAUUCAUGCUGGGUCAAGGUACGCUACCAAGUACCUGCUGUUCGUCAAUUCUUCCUCUUUCCAUUGCAUCCUGCAGAAUAGGUAGUCACUCAGGUACUAGACAUAUAAAAUAUAUACGUAUGUACGUAAAACUCGUGUAUGCGGUACAUGUGAACUUACAAGCACCAUGUUUGAAUGAGUUGGGUGUCAAGGUGUUGAUGACGGUAAAGUCUGAACAAAUCCUCCAAAUCGAUCACAAUCUUCGUAAUCCCAAGCGCCAAGGAAAACCUUUUUUGGGAUACGCGCAGUGAUUGCUCAAAUGCCUUGCUUCAUUACGGCUAUGAUCCAUCCAUGCAGCUUAUUGAGUUCCCAUGGGCCCUCCAGCAGAUUCUACCGAUACAAGAAUAGUUUGCCAUGCUCAUAUUUAUCUGGGACUUCAUCUGGCGCAAAGAAAUUGAGACCUUCAUCUAUUUCCUUUCACCGAGAGGGGUCGCAAGCAACAGAUUUCUCACCGGAAGAUGAAGCCUUGAUCUUCAGUACAUUUAAGAACUUGUCGACUUGUGUUGAUGGAUCCUUAUUCUCAUAUGUCCUGACCAUACGAGGUACCGCUGGCAGCUGGGGAGGUGGAGAUGGUGUCCUCUGGGGAGGUGGAGAUGGUGGCCUCGGCGAUUUUGGAUCAUCACCUUGGAGAAACGAAGUCCAUUCCUCCUCAGUGAGACCUUCUAGAAUAGGUAAUAGCGGCACUAGCUACUCGCCCUCAUUGGUAGCUCCUUGCACAUGUGACUGAGUCGGCUGCUCGCCCUCAGUGGUAGCUACCUGCACAUGUGACUGCGUCGGCUGCGCCGUGUCAACAUUUGACUAUAGCAUGGGUUCAUCUUGGGUCGGCCAUGAGGUUUCUGGCAAUGCAUCAACAUUUAGAAUGAUAUCUCGGCGAUGCCACAGUAUGUACUGGUUCAUCGCAUCAUCGAGAACCUCAAUCCCCUCAUCAAUAGUGAAGAGUAUCUUCACCCCGUAAGUGGGUUUUGGUGAUUUAAUAACAAAAGCUUAGGUAACUAACAAAGUUUCAAGUGUAUGAGCAGGUUUAAAUAGAUUAUUAGUCAUGGAGCACUUGUGACGGACCCCUCGAAAGGAAAUGAGAUAUUAAGCGGCAUCCUAUCUAGUUUAAUUUUAUUCUCGGUUUGAAUUUGAGUAUAGGAUAGUCGCACUAUUAAGAGGAAUGCGUAAUCUCUGGUCUUGAUGAUGAAAAAGGUGUUCAAGAUGACCUAACAAAAUCUAUAAGAGACACCAUUUGCACUUGCACAUCAUUUGGGGAUAAUUAGAAGUGCUAACCAGAGAAAUUCGGAAUUUUUCGGAAGUUUUUCCAGAAUAUUCUGGAAGUGGAGAGUUUCCGGAGAGUCUCCGGAGGUCCGAAUUUUUUCGGAAAAUUCCGGAGAUCUGGAUCUUUUAGGAAGUUUUUCCCGAAAUCUCCGGAUAAAGUUCCGAAAAAUUCUGGAACCUUUGUUAUAACGACUAGUUCAGGUGUAAAGGGGUAUAAAUACCCCCUCACCCUCUUACCUGCGCCCUCUUCUUGCCUCUCUACUGUUCUAAGCUGCAGAAACACUCUAGAGCUCCUGUCUUUACUCCCUUUGACUUUCUUGUGAGAUUUAUUGGGGAUUUGAGGAGAGAUUGGUGAGUGGGCAAGGGAUUGUGCUAGUGAGUUGCAACUCCAUUUCUUGAGCACCUUCGUUCUUCGUCAAGCCGGCGAUUCGUGUUUGUUACUCUUGGAGCUUCAAGCUCCUAGCCGGCUAGGCGUCUCCCGGACGAGCAUCCAAGCUUGUGGCUGCCCCAGGAAGUUUGUAUUACCCCUACGAUCGAGUAAGUAAGUCUAGCUUGAUCUUUGUGGUCGCCAGAGGGAGGAAUGUGGCUUGGUGAUAUAAGCCCACCCUUUGUGGGUCCUCAACGGAGACGUAGGCUUCGCUGUGUGAAGCCGAACUCCGGUAACAAAUCCUUGUGUCACUCUCGCAUAGUGUUCUUGAUUUCAUUCAUAUUCUUGCAUAGAACACCUUUUUAGGGUUUGUUCUCGAUCUACUUUUCUAGCUUAAUUGGAGCUGUUCCAUCUUGCUGAAUAGUCUUAGAACAACUUGUUGAACAACUUAUAUUCAUCGAUCUAAUUUCUAAUAGGUUAUUCUUAGAGCUGUAGCUGUUUUCGGAGGAAUUCAGAAUAAUCCGGAGAUUUCUCCGGAAAUUUUUGGAACAAUCUCCAGAAAUCUCCGGAAUUGUGUGAUCAACUUGUUUUUAAGUGCAAAUUUUUCAGAUUCGACUAUUCACCCCCCUCUAGUCGACACUUUAGAUCCUUUCAAGUAGGGAUGUCAAGUCGCACGACUCAUCCAAUACAGUAACAACUUGCACCAGGAGUAUUCUGGCGGUUGUUUUGGAAUGCUUUGCCCCAAGGCAGUGUUGAUGACAUCACUCGAACACGCCCAAAGUGCUCCACGGUUCCGAUUGCAGCAGUUAGCUGACCUCCCUCCCUUUCCGGCUUGAAAACACCAUUCUUUUGCAACUCGGCGAGCUGUUCCAACCUCUCGUAAAUUUUUGUUGUUGUUGAGUGUUUGAAUGUAAGCCCUCAAGUGUGAAUACCGAAAUUCGAGCUAGCAUCCAAUUCCUGCUGCACUCAUCCAACCCUUCAAACAAAUCCGCUAAACCAUCUAUCCUCCGUUCUUCUUCCUCUCUCCUCCAUUUAGCGAUCUUGGCCAUGUACUCUCCCGCACCCAAGCGACGGGGGUUCUCGACGGCUUUCAUAGCCUUCCUGGUAUUUUCUUCGGUUAGGGCUUUUGCUUCCGGCGUGUUCUUCUGUUGUACGAACUCCUUCCACAUUUGUGGAGGAAUCCUACUGAAGUCAUCCCAAGCAUUCUUAUCUUUCUUUACAUAUUCUGUAUUAAGAAUUGACCUCCAAUUCCUGAAACAUCUCCCAUGGAGGUCCUCAGCAAAUUUUCUUGCGGAAUCCUCUUGACCUUCAAGAAAAGUGAACUUUUCUUUCAAUGUGGCCCACAAAACAUCCUUCGUAGUGGUAGGCACAUUCUUCCCAUUACUAGCCGUGGUCCAGGUCUGCAAUUUGUCCCUGACAAUAGCAUCACAUAUGUUCCGAAACCUAGCAGCUAUCCCCUCAGGUAAUAUGGGCUUACCUUUGGAGCCAAGCAUUUCUAUGAUGAGAGUACCUUUCUCAGGGAUCUGGUUUCGGGCUCUUUUCCCACAUUGCUUUUUCGGAGCACUACUGGAAGGAGUUGUAGCUGAAGGUUGUGGUGCAGAGGCAGCUACAUCGCCUUCCUACAUAGUUAAUGUUCUAUGAUGUCGUGGCAAUGAAUGAUCUGAGGAUUGGUCAUCGUUCUAUAGAAAAAAUAAUAGUUAGAGUUUAUCAUUUUCAUGUGAACAACAAACGCAUCACCAGCUAGUAUAUGAAUGUGCAUGCAGGUACCUGAUGAUCCGCGGUUGGAUCGUAUUCAGGGUCCAAGUCAUCUAGACGGCUGCAAGUCCUAGGUGGGCUUGGUUCGUACUCAGGUGGAGUAGAAUACGAUCCAAAUGAGCUGUCGGAAUCAGAAUCCUCCUUGACAGAUUCAGUCGCUCUUAAUAUGCAAAAUUGUAGUACUUGCAAUUAAAAAUUAUUCAUGAAUUUAUGAAUAUCAACACAAAUUUGUACACCUAAUUGGUUCAAAAUAUCAUUUGGUUCAAAAUAUUUCAAUUGGUUCAAAAUAUUUCAAUUGGUCACUCAAAAUAUUUCAAUUGGUUCAACAUAUUGCACUUAAAAUAUUUCUUAUGCAUUUCUUAUGCAGGCCUUGUUUCAUUUCUACUCUACUUAACAUUUUUAUUUUCUAUUUUCAUUUUUUGCACCAUUGUGAAGUAAGACAUAAAAAUAAUUAUCUUAUAUACACCGGUACAUUUUUUAUAUAAGUUGUUUGGUAGAAUUUUCAAUAGUUUUCUACAUGGUUAUCAAAAUUAAUUCGAAAUUGAACUAUGUGUGCAUCUAAUAAGAUACAAAAAAUGCACAAAAAUUAUAUUUAGGAUCUUAUGUUCCAUUCUAGCUCAUUUACUGGAGAUAGAUGAAAAGUUCAAUUGUCUUGUUGGGACAGUUCAAACUUAUAUCUUCAAAUUACCAAAUAAUAAUUACAAUAAUAUCUAAAUUUGGUCAUAAAAUUCUACAAAUUGAAGUGGCAACAUAUAUAUUGUUCCCAAAAUGAUACAUCUCUCACAUAGUUUCUUAUACUUCAAGUCAAACUUUGAGAUUUGAAUACCCCAUAACAAGUUUGAACUCGUACACUACUCAAAUUUGGACACAACCUUAUGUUGAUUAUAACAUUGGAAAAUAUCAAGUUACAUUAGCAAUUAUUACGCAAAAACAUGUUUCUAUCCUUUGUUUAGUUGGACCGAGGCUCACCGUGGCUCAGUGCCGGCAAGCUACGCGGCGGGCUCGGCGCGGAGGGCUGGCGACGACACGACGAGCUCGAGGAGGGCUGGUGGCGGCGCAGAGGCGUUAGGGAGGGCCAGCGUGCCGGCGGUCGGGGAGGAGGCGCAGCUUGGGGAGGAGCGGCGGCGUGGCAUGACAUCAUGGCGGAAAGGAGGAAGGUGCAGCGAGGGAGUGGCGGCCGUGGGUGGUCCAGCAAGUGUCGAGGCACUGUCGGGGAGGCACCGGCAUCGAUGCGUGGGGAGGGCGCGACAGAGGAGUGAGGCGACAAGGAGGGCGCGGCGGAGGAGGGGAGGCGGCGAGAAGGGCACUGAGUCCUCCACGUAUAAAUACCGCUCCGGGGAUCAUAUUUAUCGAGCUCCUGGUGGUACUUUCUUCUUGCAACUGACGCCGGCAGGCUGCCAUAUCCCACCGCGCCCCCAAUCCCUCGCGUUGCCAUCAACAUCCCCGAGCGCCGCCGCUCCCCGUUCGUCGCUGCUCCCUGUCCGUCGCCCCUACAUUGUACUGUUGUCAUUCCCACGCGCCGGGCCGCCGCUCCCCGUCCGCCGUCGAGGCUCCGACACCGUUCUCUCCUCCUCGCUGAUUGAAAGCACUUUCAAUUUGUUUCCAUUUUGUUCAAUAAUAUUAGAAAUGGUUAUUUACUCCAUUUUGUUCAAUAGAUCAAAAAUGUUUCAUUCUGUUCAAUAGAUCACAAAUGUUUCAUUUUGUUUCCAUUUUGUUCAAUAGAUCACAAAUGAUUAUUUCAUUGAAAUUAUAUCCACAUAUAUAUGGUUUAUUUGAUUAUUUGUAUCCUUGAUGAAAUUAUGCACAUUUAUAUGAUUUUAUAUGAUUUUUACUCCAUGCAAUUACUCCACAUUUAUACUAUUUGUCUCCUAUAUGAAAUUACUCCACAUUUAUAUGAUUUUUACUCCAUGUAAUAGCAAAACGAUAAUAAACAUGUUACAAUUAGUUAUAACAAUGUUCAUGAGAUCUAAACCGACAAUUGCAAAUUUCUUCCAUUAUUUUAAAUAAUCUUUUAUUCUGAGCAUUUUUGUAAAUUUUAUGUGGAUAGUUUGGGCUAAGUACGGCAAGUGGUGGCAGCCGUGGAGGUGGCCGCCGUGGUGGUAGCCGCCAUUGUGGUGGCGGCCGUGGAGGUUGCUAUGGACAUUUUGGGCACGAUGACACUCCACCUAGUGUUGCAGAACUGCAAUUCCAUGGGCCCAUUAACAUUCCAUUCGGCAAUCAAACUAGAAGAACAAUUUCCACCAUAGUAAUAUUCUUUCAUUCUUUUAAUUGAUUUUGUUACUACAUAUAAAUAAAUUCUAAAUUUACUUCAAUGCAGCUUAUCAAUAAUAUUAGAUGGCUCAGAGAUGUUGUCCAAGAUUUAGGUGGUACUUUUCCGGUGGUCCAAACAGAGGACGUAGGACCAAAUAUGCAAAGAAAGCGUCCCUCUUUUCAAGUACCCGAUCGACAUGCAGUUCUCACCUCGUUGUCACCAGGACAGACCAUCCCGAUGGUCUCAAUUGCCGCAUGGGGUAGCGCAGCGGCAUUUAUGGUGACUGUUGACAUGACCAUCAUGGAGGCCUGCCUAGAGCAGCUUAACCAUCAUGGAUACUUUGUGCUAGACUUUUCAUGGUUUCAAAUGAGAUGCCUUGAGGAGGGAGACAACAAGGUGAUUAUGACUACUGAGAGGCUUUCUCGACUUCAUGACAUGGUAUGGAACAUUCUUUUAUCAUUCUUUUAACUUUAGUAGUGUUACAUCUUUUAACUUUCAUCAUGUUCUUAUCAUCUUUUAUAGGACAUAAUUCAUGGUAGUACCAUUGCCGAAGCGAGCCUUCACGCGAUUCUUGAUCAAGUUCUGAAUACGCUUCAUUUGACUUACAUGGGUGGACACCCGGUGUUCAACCUAGAGUUGGGAUUCCAGGUGAAACUCUCUUUCUAUAGGCCACAUCAGUUAACGUCUCCAAUGUUCUCCAUUUAUAGUUAUGUAUAUGGUCGUCCAUGUGAAGCGAAGGAGAGUGCACUCAUCCGUGCUCUCACUUAUUUUGAUGAAGUUCUGGUAGUAAGUUACAAGUUAAUAAAUAAAGUCUAAUAUGCAUUAACAAAGUCUUACAAGAUAACAAGAAUAUUAAUUAGUCAAACAACAUAAGAGAAAAUAAAUUAAUUUAUCCUUUAACAAUUCUUCCUUCACAGUGAGUAUGUAACCAUGGCUUCAUGGAUUUAUCAAUGCUUGCUUCAACAUGCUUGAUUAUUCGUUCAUGGUCUUUGAAAAGGUCUCAUUCCUCAUACUGAUUGUAAUCCUCAAUGUCCACUACACCUUCAACUUCAAGGAUCCUUUGUUUUCUAGAGACGGCAAUGUGCUUCUUUGCAUUAAUAGGGUUGGUUAUGUAGAAUACAUGUGCGACACGCUCAGCAAGUACCCAUGGGUCAUCUUUGUAACCUACUGUUGACACCGCACCAAGUUUUGUGUCAGCACCUACAUUGGCUAGGUCUACAAGUGUCAACCCAUAAUUGUCAUCUGUAAUGCCACUUGGGUGUUUGACCUAUUGGCAUCGAAAGACGGGGAUCCGGAUAUUCUCUCCAUAGUCAAGUUCCCAUAUUUCCUCUAUGAAACCGUAGUAAGUUAUGUUCUUUCCGGAUGUAUCAAUCGCCUCUAUGCGAACACCACUGCUUUGGUAAGCCACAACUUUGUUGUCCUUUGCGGUGGUAUAAUGUGUAUCCAUUAAUUUCAUAUGCUUUCUAUGAGGUGACAUUGCUUGAUGGCCCAGAUGUCAACUUGGUUAAUGUUACAUCUUCUAUGGAACUUCCUUGAAAUAGAUGCUCAUGGUCCUUCAACCAUGAUGGGAAUCAAUGUUUUUGCUCUUUGAUGAUCCAAUCCUCCGAGCGACCAUUACUUUAUCCACGGACCUCAUUUAGGUGUUGCUCGAUGAAGGGCUCCACUAUAGCAAGCUGUUGUAGAACGCUUGAAUGCACUUUUUCCAAUUGCUGAUUGUCCUUGUCUAUGAAUCUUUUCAUUCCAAUGGUACCUCUCCCGGACAAUCUGCCCUUGUGCCAAGAUUCCAGUAAACCAAUAGCUCUCUUAUCUUUUAUGUAAUCUAUGCAACAAUCAACACUCUCUUCUAUAUGGUAGUUCUUGAUCAUGUUGCCCUCUGGAAAGGCCUGGUUUCUCAUGUAUCCAUUGAGAGUCAACAUGAACUGUUCGUAUGUCAAAAUCCGAUAGAAGUAUAUAGGCCCUAGUUCAGUUAUUUGCUGAACCAUGUGGACUAUGAGAUGUUCCAUGAUAUCAAAAAAGGAUGGAGGGAAGCACAUCUUGAGCUAGACGUGAGUUUCCAACACAAACAGUUGAAGCCUAGCCAACUCGACAUAAUCAAUCACUUUCUACGAAAUCACGUUGAAGAAGUAACACAUCCAUGUAUAACCAUCUUCACGAAUACUGGUUUUAUAGUCCGGAUCGCAAUAGCGAGAAAAACUGUGAUCAUCACAUAGUAAUCAUGAGAGUUAUAACCGGCAAGCGUCAUGUCCUUCAAUGAGACUAGUGACCGGAUGUUUACUGAGGAUCUGGUCAGCACUUUCAACCCACGCAAGCACUUGCACAUGACCAAUCUCUCUGCUAGUGUUAAGUUGUAGCUAGUGAAGGGAAGGUAAUGCUUACCAUUACGUAGUUCUUGCUGUGGAGCUCUGGCCUGAUUUGAAGGUCAACAAGAUCCUCCACAAACUUCGCUACCUCUGACAUGAAAAUAGGCGAAUGUCUUCGUAUGCUAUACAUCCAUGCUUUUUGAUCCAUCUUUAACAACCUAUGACAAGAUUUAUAUGUUAUAUUAACUAAUUUAAUGAGCUAUUCCAUAAACUAAAUUGAACUAUGAAUGUAUUAAAAACAGUUCUAUAUUACGCUAAAUGAAACUCAAUUAAACAAUUCUAUAUAAUAAUUCAUAAGAAAAAUGAAAAAAAAUCAAACUCAAUUAUAUAUUAAUUCAAUCAAAUUCAUUAAUUGAAACUAUGGAUGUAAUAAUUAAUAAGUAGGAAAAAUAUAAUAAAAACCAAUUCUAUAUUACCCUAAAUGAGAAUAAUCAACUUGGUUAAUUAAAAUUAUGGAUGUAAUAAUUAAUAAGAAGGAAAAAUACAAUCAAACUUAAUUCUAUAUUACAUUAAACUGACAAACAUAGUAUUGUAAUGGUUAUAAUGACUAUAGAAUUUUAUUGACAAAAAUAAUCCAUUUCUAGUUUUUUUCUCUCUUCCCUCUUCCCUCUCUCUUAGUUCUAGAUGUAGAUCCAGAUGACAAGCUAAUGAAGCUAGACAUGAUGGAUAGAAGUUCAGGUUGGAAUGGCACAAACUCACCUUAUAUAGCAAUCUCCUCUAAGGAAAUUAAGAGCAAAACCUUCCCCUUAGAUUUGGUGUUUUUGGAGGUUUUCCUGAGCUCCUCUCGAGCAAGCUCCAAAUGAAAGGUUGCCUAGGGAAGAAGAUGAACAGGAGCAUUUAUGGUGAGCUCUAUACUGGCAGGCGAUAUAAGCCAACCGCUAGUACACAUCACCCCAUGUGUGCUGGCGGGCGUCUAGGCUGGCGGACGACAUAAGCCCACCGCCAGGGAUGAUCUAUGCUGGUGGGUGCUUGCGUCGCCGCUAGCACACUUGCUACUGUGCUGGUAGGUGCUCCCCCACCAGAUAAGGAAACUUCGUACUGUUGGGUGUCAAUUACAUCCGCCACCACGCUAAUUUAUUUAUGCCAGUCCAAAUAAUUUCUGGCAUAGUGCAUGUCGCGGUUGUGCCAGUUGGUCUCGUGAUUUUACACGGCGAGUGCGUGUCAGUGUCACAGUGCGCCACCCCGGCCAGGCGCCCACCACCUGAGCAACCUGCGGCGUCGCGUGUCAGGGCGUGAGGCGUCACCCACCGGCCCAACCGAAGCGGCAAACGCACAGCUGCCUCCGACUCGCUUCCCUUUGGCUGAGAUCGCACGAUAAUGAAGCAGCUCCAAACCCCGAUCGGGGAACCAAAGAGCCAGAGGGUUAUCGAGGGAAUCCUACGCGCGUGCGAAGGGGGCAGUGGAACGGGAAUCCGAUCCUCUCGUGAUGGCGUUCUACAGGCAGGUACGAGGCCGGCAGGCCCCAGCUCCGGCAAAGCUAGCCAUCCACGAGUGCGCGCGCAGUGCAGCACGGUCGCUCGUUCCCGGCUUUUAACACGAGAGGAUCCACAGUACGAUUAUGCAGGGGUCAACUUGGGAUGGUUGUAUUCUUGAGUUAAAGUCUAGUCCAUAUCACAUCGAAUUUUUGAGACUAAUUAGCAGAACUAAACAUGAAUUAAUUAUAAAACUAAUUACACAGAUGGAGGCUAAUUUGCGAGAUGAAUUUAUUAAACCUAUUAAUUCAUGAUUAACACAUGUUUACUGUAGCAUCAUAUUGUCAAAUCAUGAACUAAUUAAUCUUAAUGGAUUCGUAUGACUAAUUAAUCUUAAUAGAUUCAUAUGGCGUGCAAUUAAUUUUAUAAUUAAUCUAUGUUUAAUACUUCUAAUUAAUAUCUAAAUAUUCGAUGUGAAGUACUGAACUUUACUCCGUGGAACGAGUGGCCUAAGACGAGGAAAACGAUGGCGCCUGGCAACGCAUUCGUCGGGACGGCAGCAGUGCGAGCAGGAGCUCUGCCACAUGGUGGGCGGGCGGGCGGCUGGCUAGCUCUCGCGGUCACGGCCGGAGAGUCCAGUGCUUCCCGUUCGUCCAAUUCUCAGCCGGCGUGGCGCCCACGUGGUUUCUCCAUCGACAGGGCGCUCUCGAGGUCUCCACCCAUCCAUCCCCGUCCCCUAUUCCAUGAAAAGAAAGAAAAGCGAGGGGCGAAACGAGCGUCACGACAUUCACAGUGCAACUACCGCAGCACGAAGCCCCGUGAGGCCGUGACCGUGGGUGCUCGCUCCAUCCACAUGUGCGAGCGAGGCAAUAGCUAGGUAGACAAAGGCAUCGCACGAUAGGGACAGAAACGCGCGGCGCCUUCUGAUUUCAGACGGCCGACGCGCGGCUGGAACGCUUGCAUGCAUGCCGCCGCGGCCCGGCCUGGCAGCCGUGGCGCCGCCGAUGCAGCCGAUCGGGACGGGCGCGUGGCUAGCGCCGGCGCGCAGUGCUGCCCCCCUGCCGGGCUUGGCGUAUCGAUCGGAUUCUCGGCAGACCCACGCGAUCUGUAGGAGCAGGCAGCACAGCAGCGCGCGCGCCGGGGCACAUCGAUCGGUCGGCUGGCCGGCCGGCCGGGCCAGCGAUGCGGCCGGUGACUGCUGGGCUCGCGCGGCUCCUGUUCCGGGACGGGUUCGAUGGAUGAAUGGGAAAGGGAGAGUGGGGGACGGGGCGGCCUUUAAUGCCUGUACGUGGAGCACGGCGGGACGACGCCUGGGCAGCUGGACCUGGACGGCCGCCGUGCUGGUCCGGACACCGGAGCAGGGGGGCGAUGCUGCAGUGUUCGCCGCAAUCAAUACUGCACUGUACCUGGAGGAGGAGGACCACGUCACGAGUCACGACUACCGGCCAGUCAACCACGCUGUGCGACAAGGGGGAUUCUGAGGGUUUAUUCCCUUGGAAAAAGUGGUUUCUUGGAUGAUUCUGGAGGUGCUCUCUGCUCAGCCUACGCAGCUUAGCUAACUGAGGUUAUUACCGCAAAACGUGAGAACACGAGCAGGUGAGCUCUACUGCGAUGCGCGAUGCAUGCACAUGGAGGGCUACACGCAAAACAGGAUCUGAAUUCCGAAAUUCUCGUAGAAAAACAGUGGCGCGCAGCAUAAACACGAGCCUGAAGGAAUGGCCAGACAGCCGCACACUUUGUGGCAGCAAAGCACUGUUAGGCAGUCAAAACACGAAUGGUACUUCCACGCAAGACGCCCAUUCUUUCAUUCAUUCAAAGUGCAUUGCAAUGUUGCCUGCCUGCUUGCCUUUGAUGACAUGACCCCUCCGGGCCGCCGUGGCCAACCACCCCGCACGAUGUUGGAAGCACCAGACGAAGCUCACAAUGAAUGGGUUCAGGGGCGGAGGAUAUAUCAUCCGGGCUUCAAUCCACAAUGAAUACGGGGGCAUCGCUGAUUGACAUGACGCUCCGGCGUAGCAGUAUGGCCGGAAAAAAAGCGAAGGGAACUGCAGUCUUUACCAACCUGUCUCCACAAAGGAACAAGGGAAACCAUCAAUGUGCUGCCACUGGAGCUGCAAGCAAAUGAAUGGAGGCUUGUAAAACGUUCAGAGAUUACAAACGGGCCCGUCCAAAACACACUGCCAGGAAACUAAUGAUUACUCGAUGCACAUUGUAGCGUGCGCCGACAGCCCCAAAUACACUGUAAAAGGAUUUCAACGGAUAUAACUUUUGCAUAAUCUAGUUGAAUGUUUCUUUUCCUUUUUUUUUUUGGGAGGGGGGGAAGGGGUUGUACUCUGCCACGAACACACUGUAUCUGACUGUGAUCCCAGUAUCUGCGAAAGAACUGAAAAAAUAAAGGUAUAAAGUUCAAGGAUAAACGCAGAUAAACCCUUCAAAUAACCCAGUUAUUACAACAAAAGGAAGCUACAAAAACUGCUAAUUUAUAUGGUACAUUCUGUUGUAAGUAACCCUACUCCUUUAGAUCUAGUGACUGUUUCUUUUUGAGCAAUAUUGACUGUUUUAACAGGAGACGAUCCACCAGCCCAGCAUCUCAAAAAAAAAAUCCCAAAAAUGGAUUACCCGGCCGAUCCACACAGCCCAACAAAAUGAAGUCUACGAUGAUGAAAUUGGGCCCUCGCCAUAGUUGUGUCCAUAAAUGGGACAAAUGGGCUGACCAGCCUCUAACCCAUCAAAAAGAAGGUAUUGGGUUUAUUUUCUCAAGGGGCCGGCCUAAGCUGUCUUUCUCACAUUCUUAAGGAAACUGACUUGGGCUCAAAGACAGUUCAAUUCAAACUACGACCCAUGCAACCCCGGCCUGAGACAGCAGCCACGCCCGUCAGGAAACCCUAAUCUUUGUUUUCUUGCAAGGGCAACCUGAUUUUUUGUUCUGUUUGCUUUUUUCAUUAGUUUUUCUUUUGUUCUGUUGAGUCAAUUUCAGAAUACUCCAUCGGAUGUCGUGUCAAAGGGACAGAGAAACUCCAUCAGAAAUUUCAUACGGACCAAGACCUCUCCUGAUGGGAAUGGCGCUUUUCAGAUUUCUGACCCAAAUUUCUCAAUCAAAUGUGCUGCUCCUACCGAAUCAUAUAGUCAAAGCUAGAGCACGAAACUAGAAACACACAAAAAGCAAGCAAGUCGAUCCCAAAACGAAAACACGUGCUGGGGUCAACCGCCGGCGGCUUCACCAGCUCCGGUGUCGCCACUCGCCACCUACUCCGCCGCCGUCCCCAUCUACAAUUACCCACUUCCGCUUCGCCGCAGCGGCACAUCCAGCGCCGAGCACCACAGCCCGCUCCCGCUCGACACACAGACCAAACGCAAAUCGUCCACCGGGCGAGGCAUUUCGCCGAGCACCGAAGCCCCGCCGCCGCAGCCAUGCUCCUCACGAAGCCCCACUCAUCCUCCCUCGCCGCCCCCUCCGCGGCGCUCCCGAAGCAUGGCCCGACCGCUAACCGCGUCGUUACGCCCCUAGCCUCGUCGAGCUCCCGCCGCGGCCUCCGCGUCUCCGCCGCGUCCGUGGCGGCGGCGGCGGCACUGAGCCGCGUGGACGUGCUGUCGGAGGCGCUCCCGUUCAUCCAGCGGUUCAAGGGCAAGACGGUGGUGGUCAAGUACGGCGGCGCGGCGAUGAAGUCGCCGGAGCUGCAGGCGUCGGUGAUCCGCGACCUGGUCCUCCUGUCCUGCGUCGGCCUCCGUCCCGUGCUCGUCCACGGCGGCGGGCCCGAGAUCAACUCCUGGCUGGCGCGCGUCGGCGUGGAGCCGCAGUUCCGCAACGGGCUCCGCGUCACGGACGCGAUCACCAUGGAGGUCGUGGAGAUGGUGCUGGUCGGCAAGGUCAACAAGCAGCUCGUCUCCCUCAUCAGCCUCGCGGGGGCCACCGCCGUCGGCCUCUGCGGCAAGGACGCGCGCCUCCUCACCGCGCGGCCCUCCCGCGACGCGGCCUCCCUCGGCUUCGUCGGCGAGGUGACGCGCGUCGACCCCUCCGUGCUCCACCCAAUCAUUGCGGCGGGCCACAUCCCGGUCAUCGCUACCGUGGCCGCGGACGAGGCCGGGCAGGCUUACAACAUCAACGCGGACACGGCGGCCGGGGAGAUCGCGGCGGCGAUCGGCGCCGAGAAGCUGCUGCUGCUCACCGACGUGUCAGGCGUACUUGCGGACCGUGACGACCCCGGGAGCCUGGUCAGGGAGGUGGACGUCGCCUGGGUGCGGCAGAUGGUGGCCGAGGGCAAGGUAGGCGGCGGAAUGAUUCCCAAGGUGGAGUGCUGCGUCCACGCCAUCGCGCAGGGGGUGCGCACCGCCAGCAUCAUCGACGGCCGCGUCCCGCACUCGCUGCUGCUCGAGAUCCUCACGGACGAGGGCACCGGCACCAUGAUCACCGGCUGAAGCUUACAAAGCUCAUCGUGAGCCUUGCCAUUGGUAUGCGUGAGGGGUGAGUGGUGACAGUUGUCGGAAUUGUUUUGCACGCAUGCAUUCCCGUGACUCGAUGGGUCAUGUUAUUCAUGGACUGAAUCAAAUCAAAUUCAGGUUGCAACUUUAUUUAUACAAAUAAUUUCAUCGAUGGAAAUUUAUGCGUUUUUUUACUUCAACGAUCUAAACUUCUGUGGCUCCAAGGGGGUUGAGCACACACAGAUAACUAAAGACCCAGAACAACAACAUUCCCUUGCAUGAUCUGCCAAGGUCAAAUGAUACAGUUAAACAAUACUGUGAUGCAUAAUUUCGUGUGGACCUAAGUUUUGAAGCUUGGUGCGUUCUACAAAACAUGUACAGUCGACUUGCAGAAUGCCAGAAUCUCGCAUCACCACACUUUGAAAUCCCAAUGUUCAGAACUGUUGACAAAACCACCAGGGAAAAGCAUAAGCACGCUGAAUGAAAGGAUAAUAACGUUAAUAUUACUGGGAUAAUGUCGUGGUUCCCCACAAUCACACAGUGGCAACUGCAAAUUCUAGGCCUGUCAAACUAAGGCUGCCAUCACCAAUCUUGAUUUAACUGACUACUAGAGUUGCUCCCGUGUGCAGUCAAGAGACAACAAAACAGAGAAAUGUAAAGUCGACGGAUUGUUGUGCUCACUUGAUACGAGCAAUGGCCACCACGAUGAAGACAAACACCGUGAGCAUGAACGACACCUUCACUGCAUCAAUGUAUGCAUCUGGCUUCUCUUCAUCCUCUUGAGGGUGGAUCAGCAUGUUGAAUAUCUUCAUCACGUUCUCAAGGAAUUCAACAAUUUUUGCCUGGGCACUGUCCAGGAUCCACUUAAGUACUUCAGCAGGGCCACCAGUGUUUCCCUUUCUAUCAUUUUCUUUUCCUGGACGAUGAGGUUAAUCGAAAUAAGUCAAGACAUAAAGAUCAAAAAGAGAAGUGGUAAUCUAACAAAUGCAGUGAAUAUUUCUUGCAAAUGGUACAUAGCUAAAAGUGCAGGUAGCUGUCAGAUUACUGCUUGGAAUUUUAACAAAUGUAACAUUUUAUAUCCGUACAAAGUGCGUGAAAAUUUCGUGCAACAUACCAUGAUGUAAAGAUCUCCUGAAAUCUUGAACUGCCUCAUUAUUCAUGACGGCAUUCCAAACAGCCUUAUCACAUGACAAAGACAUAACCAUUUUCUGCAUGAUGAACAAGGUUAACACAUUAGUGGAGAGAUAAGCUGUUCAGAAACUUCUAGUGGACAGCUCAGAAAUUAUGAAUGGUACAUCAAAAUAUGACACUAGGGCAGUGUAGCAUGAUAUGGUUUAUAAUGACAGUAUCUAACUAAGUGUCGCGAAAUAAAUAAGAAGAAUGGGUUGAGAUUAGACCUGAACGGUGGGAUCCUUUUGCAACAGCCGGAAAGCAUCCAAAACAUUCCUAUGUUCCCUUGAAAGAAGAGCAGUUGAGUUGAGAACAUAGGCAGCAGGUUCAAUCCAGUCAUCUGAUCCUGAUGAAUUGCCAGAUGAAUGUCCUGAGGUGGACAGCAGUGCUGUUUGUCUGUCGGUUGUAUCUGAAUACACACCAGAAGGAUUCUCAAAUACCCUGAAAGAAACGAUAACUCAAUUAUAUGAGAAAAGAACAGUAACACCUAAAAUUCAACUUUCCAGCACAAGUUAAUGAGCAAAAGUCUACUACAGAGUACAGCCUCAUUUUAAGGGGAAAAGAUCCUUUUUCACGAAAAUGAGUUUUUUUUUGUUAUAAGCUAAAUGUAAAAUUGUUAGGCCAACAAAGCUAGUUCUGGGGAUCACCUUGAAGGAAUGAACCAAAUUGUGCAAGUAAUACAACCCAGAGAGUUGGAAAAAGUAGCAAGCAAACAAGUACAAAGCAAUUACCAUAGUUCCAAUUUUAAUUCCUUAUCAUAUAUCGCAGCUACUAUAUGUAACUACUAAUUCUACAACAGUCCAUACAACACAGACUACCAUAAAGUUAUGUCAAAGAGCAAUCCAACUAUUCGAGAACCCAGCAUUCCUAGAACCUCAUUCAUGAUGGUUCAUGAAUUCUGGAUGACAAAAUUGGUACGGCAAGUUGCUGCGGAUGUCUGUCCAUGCAACUUCCCUGGGCUCCAUCCAAAGAUGGCAGGGACCGCAGAUCAAACCACGAAUGACCACAACGCUAACAAACCACUAAUAGAACGCUCUCAAACCAACGAACAGAAAGCAAGAAAGGCUCCAUGUCCCCAUUAGAAACUAUCUAUCUCGCAUCAAACUACAUACAAAGACAGCUCCAAUCUAAUUCAAUCCAUGUAAGCAAAGUUUAACUUACGCCCUGGCAAUCACGCUCAUCACCAAAACAUUGAACAUCAAAACGCAAAGGUAGAUCCAAUCUAAGCAAUUGUGCGUGAAAAAAAAGUCUGCUUUAACGAAGUGGAGCAAGCAAAUCUUACUCCUGGAUGCUUGUGACGGCGCCGGUGACCUCGUCUAUGGUGGGUGGGGACCAGAACACCACCCUGUACUCCUCCUCUUCCUCCAUCUCUCCGGGACCGGGAGCCCCGGCGACGACCUCUUCCCAAUCCCCGUCCUCCCCGUCGCGGCGGAGCGCGCGGGACUCCCAAUACGCGGCGGCGGCGACCGCGGAGGGCGGGGGAGGCGAGCUGGCGCGGAGGGGGCGGCCGCCGGCGACGGGGAGCGGGCGCGGGGAUGCAACGGAGGUUGAGGCGCCGGCGUUGGCGCCGAGCCCCGACGAGGAGGAGGAAGAGCGCACGGCGCGGUUGCUGAGGCGGAGGAGGUGCCUGCCCGGCGGGUUCCUCAUCGCCGGCCGGAAGCAAGAUGUCUUCGGCUUCGAGGUCUCCUCCUCGCCUGCACCGCGCGCGCUAUCCAAUCACUUUCUUGGAUGGGAUGGAUAAAAAUUGGUUUGAGCAGGAAGAAAGAUUUGGGGCCUUUGGAGCCUCGAGGAGUUGCAAAAAAUCUCCAAACUUUUUUGUUAUGUUCUUAUAUAUAUCUCGAGAGAGGUUGAGUAUUGCUAGGAGUCACCCAAAUUACUUGUGCGGUUUCUUGUGGUGUUGAGCAUGCUUAUUGGUUGUUUUACUUUUCUACUCUCCUGAUAAUUGGUUCUACAAAUUUAGAUUAUCCCUUUCCACUAUUCAUGUGGGAGAUUAUUAAAACUUUAUGGUUCUAUACGUAUUUAGUAUUUACUUUGAUGUGAAAUGAAACCCUAUUCCUUUAUAGUUCAUGAGUAGAACGGAGUAUUUUUGGGCCAGGUCAAAAAAAAAAGCUGGUUCAUUCUAGACAAAAAUAAAAUUUAUGUGCACGGCGCAUGGGUAUUGUCGGGCUAAUUUUUUGACCAGACUCGAACUUCUUAAUAUUUUUCAAUUAGAAAAUAAAUAAAAUAAAUUAUCCGGCUAGGUUCGACCCAAUCCAAUUUUUUAACUAGACUUUCGCUGAUCAAACCCGGCCCUAUAGCAAGCUCUGGACGGGCCAAAAUCAUGUGAGCUUAGGUCGAGCCGGAUCGGACCUAAAAUGCCCAGGUCCAUUCGUAAGCAUGAUUUUGUGCUUGCUGCUAUGACUGCACCUACAUCAUCAAUUAAGCUACCAUAACUUUAUUAGCUAGCUGAUGCAGCUGCAGCCGCAAUGUUUUUGUAACAAUAUGUACCAAGGACAUCUCAUAUCUCCUUUUCAUAACUUGCAAAUAUUUUUGUGAUGUGAACAACAUGAUAAAAUAGAUGGGUCGAGUUAUUUCACUUGCCAUGAGUUGUUGUAGGAUAAGAUAAUAUACCAUGUGCAGCCAUUGAUGUUACGAACUCAAUGUCAUAUAAACUGGUUUGCACUAAUUCUAAUAAAGUUUUUUCCUCUUUUCGUAGUAAUGCUUUUCUCCCAUGGGUCUUGCGAAGAAAUGAUGUAUCAAAUUAUUUUUAUGUAUUUCAAAUAGUAGUGUUAAUCCUCAUGCUCCGACUGGAAGUAACACGCAGAAAAGAAGAACAGUUCAAGGCCAUGUAGCUUCAGCUGUGCGCCAACGGUUUUCCAACCCGGCGACCAAUUGCUUUCAGCUUUCUCCGAUUCUCGUUAUGGGGCGGAAUCGAUCGACGUCGCCAUUUGGUCCCGCCCGCAAGAUCCUGAACCGCAAAUAGCCAAAAGACGGCUCCCACCCAAGGAGCAAACCAUAUCCCGGGUAUGUACGGGGGUUCGAUCGCUAACGUAGCUCGUUUCUGGUUCCACACGCAGUUGCUUUCAGAGUCCGCACACGCUACUCUGCGUGGUGAUUAGCAUUCGGCAAAGCUGUCAAAGCUCAAAAAGGCUCGGAUAAUCUUUUCACCCGUUUUCCGAGAACGUGCGUAAAGCCAAGCCAGUUCACGCACGGUAUCACCUCUCUUUGAUCCCGGAAGCGAGUUCGUUCUCUUGACGACGCCUCCGACGGGUUACAGGAUAGUUCCGCAUGCGAAAUUGCGAAUUGAUCCACGAGUGUACUGCCUUCACGUCAUCACGCGCCGCACGUCGAAAUCGUAACGCGACAUGGAACAUAACGUGCCGCGAUGCAUCGAAACCGCAACUAACGCUGGCUGGCACGAAGCGUGCGCCGGGAUCCAGGAGACAGCGACAGGCCGGAGGCCUCGCGACCCCAACCAUCCUACUCGUACGUGACGAACGGGAACGGCAGCUCAAGAACAGGACGGCAAAGCAAGGUGCCGAGGCAGGAAGGAAUUCAAGAUCCGAGAGCGAGACAGAGAUCCAGCUCCAGUGCAGUACGACGACGUGGCGUGGAGCUAGAGCUCCGCCGAUCGAUGACGACGCGCGGAGACGCGGAGUAGACGAAGGGCACGGGACACAGGCCGGCCCAAGUGGGCAAGAGGUCGCACGAUGAUCGGAUGACGCAACUGUCGCCGCCGGUGGCUGGGGCUGUCCUGCAUCUUCUCUGCGAGUCCGCCUCAACGGUGGCCGGCUUGGUACUCCCGUUCCUAUCGCCGUGCACUCUUGCUUGCGAACCCUGAUGCAAAAUCCAAGUAUCAGAAAAACCUGGACUAUCCGUGAUUGUAAUAUUUGAAAUUUUCUGCACUAUGUAAUAAAAAAGGCUGUGUGCAUCAAUUGCAGAGGCCGGGGUAAUCCCCGUUUCAAGAAAAAAAAGUAUCAGAAAAAUCUGUAUUUGCUUAUUCUUCUUCUUUUCAUUUUUUAGAUGGGACAAAUAUUAAUUGUUUUUCCCCAAGAAAGAAAAGGACUUUGCUUGUUGGGCCGGGAGGCCUGGUCCAUCCAACAUGUUGGCCAAUAAAGACUAAAAGUUUGCUAGACAUUUUUAUAAGAACUAAAGGGAACUUUUUUAUAUUUUUAUAUUUAUUUCGAUUUUGCAGAAAUAUAUAGUCGAAUAAAAAAUUUGCAAAAAUGGGCUUAUACCUCGGCUAAAACGGCGGUAUGGGCCUUACCGCCGUUGCAACUGGCGGUAGAGGCCUGACACCCCUACGCCGGUCCCUGCCGCCGUUUUAGCUGGCGGGAGAGCCCUUCCGCCGUUUCAACCGGCGGUAAGGCCCUUACCACCAAACCGCUGCCGCCAAAUUAGUGCUCGCGCGGAUCGAGGAACCCUGCCGGUUGAAACGGCGGUAAGGUCCCUUACCGCCGGAUGAACCGGCGGGGGUUCGCCCUACAUAAUCCAGCGCCGCGCCCCGUCCUCCCACCAGCACACCAGAGCCCAAACUCGCUCGGUUUAUAGAGAGGGGAAGGGGAACCAGAGAGGGAAGGAAGGAGGAAAGAAGGAGAGGAAAGAAGGGAAAGAAGGAAGGAAGGAAAGAAAGAAAGAGAGGAAAGAAGAGGAAGAGCUAUCGUCAUCAGGUAUGUUUUUCAAUCUCGUAGUAUAGUAGAUUUAGAAAUACCUGGUGGUUUUAGAUGUACAAAAAUCUAGAUUAGUUAGUAUAGUAGAUUCAAUAUUUAGUUCAUAGUAAAUCUAGCGCAGUAUAGUUUGAUGCAAUUUUAAUAUUUAUAUUAUACAACCAUAAGAUGCCAAGGCGUGGAGAAGCUAGGAAACCAAGGUAAUCUCAGUACACGUUAUUACGUUAACUGGUAGUCUAUGGUUUAAUGGUAGUUGCUUUCGGUUCUUACAACGAAAAUGAUAAAGGUGGAGUGGUGUUCCGUUGACCGGAAAUGCCUUCGACCUUUUGCCUCUGCCUAGUGGUGUUCCAGUGUCCAUGUGCUUUUACGGCGAUCCUUGCAGGGUAGCCAAGUCCGAUGCAGAGGACACGUACAGGCAGAGGUACUGGAUGUGUUCAAACUUUUAGUGUGAGCCUACACUUCGUCAGCGCCGCAUUAACAAGAUGGUGAGGAAUUUAUGUUCUAUAAUAAUUAUUUCGUGUCAUAUGACAUCUUGCAUGAUUUUUUUUUGUUUUGUAGCAAUUGCAUUUGUUGCAAACCCCUCCACCGCUCUGUGAUUUUGAGUAGUGGAUUGACACUGAGAUCAAGCCUGAAGACAAGGAGGAGAUGCAGUACAUGUUGCGGUGGGCGGCAGAGAACAAGGAGAGGAUGGAGAAGAGACUCAGAGAGGAGGCUGCAGAGAAGGAGCACAAGGAAGAGGAGGAAAGGAUGUGUGUUGCUGCGGAGAGGGAGGAGAGGGAGAGGAAGCUUGAGCGUGCACGCCGAGCGAAAGCAGCGAUCGAGGAGAAUCCCGAUGCCCUAAGGAAGGGAAAAUGGCCUUGUUGUACUAAGUAGUCUCUAUUAUUGGCUAGUUUCAUGGUUUAUUCAUGGAUAAUAUUGUGUACUGUUGGACUUUUCAUUGUGUUGUCCUUAGGUCCUAUACACCGUUAUUUGCCGCAUAUUUGUCCUUCCUUUUGAUUGAUUAGUUCAAUUAUGUAGUUUUAAUAAUUAUUUUGAAAUUGUUUAGACAUGUAUAGUGAACGCACGGAAUCAUUGAAAAGCAUUAAACAUCUGAUCUAGAUAGAGUAGUUCGCGAAUGAGCACACAUCGUGCGGUACACAAUCGUACACAUGAUAAAAGAUACAAGUCAUCCUAUGCACUAAAUGCGUCCUCGCUUGAAACGAGACUCACCGGCACCACGACCACGUCUCGCUGCCCGCUGCGCUGCUCUAGUCUGCUGCUGGUCAUACAUGAAUAGCUCCGGCAGGCCAACGUCGCGGGUCGGACAUCGUCCCAAUGGCGCCGCUAGUGGUGUCGCCGCAGGUGGUGUCGCGAGGUACUGGGUUGCGCCCGGUGGAGGACCCUGCGAGGCGUCAGGCAACUGGGAGGGACCGAUCAUGUCUGGCUCGGCUCCGAAAAGAUCGUCGAUCCAAGCGUGGGUGCUGGACCUCUGUCCCUCAUCGAUGGAGUCCUCCGAAACUCAUCCGCGGUCUGCGAACCCUUUUAUGCAACAAAGGAAAUGGUUUUGUUACCUCCGUUGCGUAAUUAAAAAGGAAUAGAAAAAAUGUAUUCAGCGUUGGUUGUAUCUCUGUGCCUGGUGCAGUUGAAGAGGGCCACGAGGAGUACGCUCCAGUAUAACCGGCAUGCAUCUGCAUGGCUGUUGGCAAGACGUUCUGCGGAACGGUGGACGGACCGGGUGUGGCAUACCAAGAUGGUGGUGGUGUUGGUGUGGCGUAGGAGGUCCUGGCCGAUGGCGGAUAAACAGAUGGUUGAGAGGACGUACCAUCCUGUUGAGUAGGAGCUGGAGAGGACGAACGAGGGUAGGCAGCCCAUGGUGGAAGUACGACAUCCCCGUGACCGCCACGGUAGCUGACGGCCCUCAUAAACCUACUGCAGGCGUCCCGGGCCCUCCUGUACAGCGUCCGGUGCUGAUGAGUAGUCAUGUCGUCGUAGUGGUCGAUGCCGUACGUUAGCUCUGUGGCUAUCUCAGCAAUAACAUUGUACUUUUGGGGAGAGAAAAUGGUUCAAGUUAGUCCCACCAAAUGAUGCAAGUUGAGUAACAAAAAUAAUACAGUAGCUUACCGCGUAGUCCAAGUUGACAUCUCUCGAGCGCGGGUACGUCUACGUGACUGGCGCGAUCUCCGUCAGUGGUUGCCUCGGAACAUACGUGCCCCGCGUCCUGGUUUUCGGUAAGAACCACCAAGGGUACACUGCAAAAGCGUCGUCGUCGUGUGGAUGGGCCUCCUGCACCACCUCGUCUAGUACGGUUGUCCACAUGUCGACCCACUGACCCAUCCUUGGAGCCCAUUGGACUCCAGACCCACCACCACCACCACUCUGAUGGCUAGCCCUAAUGGAACCAUCGUUGCACAAGUUACAUAAACGAAAAAUUCAUAUUGCAAGGUGAAUCAAAAGGCUAGGGGUGUACCCGUGAACGGUGGUCGGGACAGCAGACGUAACCGGAAGUGGGGAGUGCUAGUACAAGCCGAACUACCUCAUCACACGGUGAACCGCGUAGUCCUCCAUGUGGAUGUCAUAGACUAGUGGCCUCGUCAUCCUCUAGUACUCCAUGUCCCGAUAGCACAGCGAAGAGAGGCCAUGCGGGGCACGAGCCGCACCUCCUCCAAGGUGUAGGGUCUCCACCUCAUGUCGGUGUCGACAAGAGCGUCGAACAGACCGAUGAAGUCUGGGUACUACUUCAUCUGCACCCCCACCCAUAUUCCCUGCAACAAAUAAAAUCACAAUUUGGGGAAGAUUUCGAAUAAUUGUAAUACAAAUCGAAUAAUGGUAGUUGAAGAAACAUACCUUCCUCGGGCACCACAACGACCCCAUCGUGGGCCUGUCGACGUCGUUGUUAUUGAAACCCUCGAGGUAGGGGGACAUGUCAAUACGGGGUCAUCCUAUCGGAACCGCUCGUAUGACGACAGCUGAAGAAGCAACGGGCAGCUAAGGAAGAUUGGCUCCGCCAAAAUUACCUUGCAGCAACCCGUGCAAAGGCCCCUAUAGGUGGCCGCCAAUACAGCUGAACCCCAGCUGUACUGUGGAACCUCAUUGAGCGUCUCCACAAUGGCCCUCGCGUAAGGAAGAAGGUGCUUAGGCACCGAGUUCCCCUGCGAUGUGCAGAACAAGAUCCAGUUGAAGAGCCACAAUAGGUACGCCUCCAAGUGUCGCGCUACUAUGGCGUCAUCGGCGUUGGCUCUCAAGUACUCGGCCUGCAAAAAAAUUCCAAACUUGGGUCAAAAUUAUGAACAAGUUACAAAAAAAAUUAAUUGGACAUGCAGGUAAUUAAAUACUCACACUAAACUGCUGCAGCCAUGCCUUCGUGGGCCCGUGUGUGGAGCUAAAAGUGCGGUACGACGAGGCACCAUCUACGCGGUGAACUUCCGCAAACCGACCCAGCAGCUCAUCACGCCAGGUAGGCGGGACGUCCAUCGCGGCUAUGGCGGACCCUGCACAGGGAAGACCAAGUAGCAUGGAGAUGUCCUCCAGUAUGAGGGUCAUCUCACCAACCGGGAGGUGGAAGGUGUGCGUCUCCAGUUGCCACCGGUCCAGCAGAGCUGCUAGCAGUGACAUGUCGAAGUGGAACCAUGUGGACCUCUCACCGCGUCGCGCAGCACUAUCGACCAUGUCACCCUCCACUAACCUAGCUACAGGGAAAAGACCCGCUGCACGUAACCUAUAUCAUGCAAAAAAAAUAAUUAGUUUAAACAAAUUAAUCGUUGAACUUAACACACAAGUUCUACUAAGUACGAUAUACCUGGGGAUCCAACGUGCGUCGUCGAUUGGCAUGGUCGAGAGCUGGUUACGUGCCCGAAACGUGCCGAGAGUCGAACCUCGUACAACUGACAUGUACGACCUGUGCUGGCCAUCCAAGGCAGGGUCAAGCAACUCAGGGGUCUGGUACCCCUGCGGAACUGGGUGUGCCAUACGUGUAACACAAGUAAAGCAUAUGAGUUAUUACAAAUAAAAGCAUCCAUGAUAAAUAUUACAUUACAUUACGUUUCGACCACAACAACAAAUAAACAUUACAUUACAUUACACUAGGACCACAACUUAAGAUAAACAUUACAUUACAUUACAAGUUAUUAGAUGCAGCUUGGGUGCUCACACUUCCAUACGUUGUUGCCGUGCAGUUCUUGUAGGUGUGACCGGCUUCGUGGCACUUGGAGCAGAGUCGAACAUCAGGACCUGCUUCAGAUUGAUCCAUGUCGUUACGGAUACGCCUGUUCAGAUUGAUCACCUCCUACUUCUUCUUCAAUAUGACUCCUAGAUCCACCCUUCAUGAACAGUUGAACAUACCAUAUGAUUGGUAAACCUUUUCCCGUGCAACCAUUUAUAUAAGUCUGGUAGCUCGGAGUUCCUUCAAGCGGAAGCAACUCCCAAAAAUUUAUGUUGGGCCGUCUUUUGACUACAACCCUCACAGACACAUCCACUUGAGCUCUAUCAACACCAAAAUCCCUACAAAGCCACCUGCAAAUGCUCCCCCAAGUUCUCUCUCUUGCUCUUGGAACACACUUGGUGAAACAGGUAAAUCCACUCAAAUAUACCCCUUCUGGACCAUAUCAAACCUCCCCCGGCCCAUAGAACACUUGAAAAUUUAAACUAUCCGACAUGCCUGCUAACAUACAUGAAACAGACAGUCCAAAUUAAUCUCAGCAAUAUAUAUUAGUUAACUACAAUGACGACUUCAAUUCAAUAAACAAACAACUAUGUAACACUAAACCAAAUUUACUAACUAAAUUUAUCAUAGGCAUGUGCCGGAACUAAUAUACACGACAAAUAAAUCUCAGAUCCACUAGAUAUUUCUAAAUCUCAGAUCCACUAAGAUUUCUUAAAUUUACUGUGAUCUAAAAUAAAGCUAUUGUACUACCUAAGCUAAAUCUACUAUACCACCUAAGCUAAAUCUACUAUACCACCGAAGCUAAAUCUAUUUUACUAUCUAAGCUAAAUCUAUUGUACUAACUAAGCUACAUUUUGCUAUAUCUAAAUUCAUCUAAAUGUUUCUAAGUCUCAGAUUCACUGGCUAUUUCUAAAUCUCAGAUCCACUAAUAUUUCUAAAUCUAGAUCUAAUCACUACACUAUACUAUCUAAACUACGAGAUUAAAAAGAUUUACAUGGGAACGACGGAAGAAUUUCCUUCCCCCUUCUUCCCUCCUCCUCCUCCUCCUUUCUUCCCUCCUCCUCAUCUCCUCUCCUUCUUUUUUUUCUUCCCUUCUUUCCUUUCCUCUCUUUCUCUGGCGCGGUCUGGUGCGAGGGGAGGGGGAGGGCACAGCUUGUUUUAUAGUGGGCGAGCCCCGCCGUUUGAAUCGGCAAUAAGGGCCUUACCGCUGUUUCAACUGGCGGUAAGCCUUACCGCUAGUUCAAACAGUGGAGCUUCCUCGGGUGAUGCGCGGGGUUAAUCCAGUGGGUGACCCAGGAGCGGAAUCACCUUACCAGCCCCUUCCACCAGUUCAACGGCGGUAAGGCCCAUACCGCCAUUUCAGCUGGCGGUAUAAGCCCAUUUUUGCAAAUUUUUUAUUCGACUAUAUAUUUCUGAAAAUCGAAAAAAAUAUAAAAAUAUAAAAAUUCAAAAAUUAUACCAUGUAAAUGGAUUGAAGCCCAACUCCAACACAUCCUUUACAGCCCGAGAACGAAGGAAGAAUGGCAGCACAACCAGGAUCAUCCCUCUACCAAACCCCCGAUCAACGCGAUCCCCAACCAAUCCCCCAGCGAGCGGCGGGGCCACACCUCCGUCUGCUUGCUCCUCUUCAUGACGCAAGAGCCAACGUCACUCCUUGCGGUCUGGGCACGGGCGGACCUAGUGGGCUGUCCGGGUAUGGUACGGCAUACCCUAAGCAGUCCAGCCCAACAAAGCUACCCCUCUGUAAAAAAAAAGAGUGCACGCCGCAUCCCAUCGUGAGGACGCGAGGCACCGCGCAGCGGCGUAGGCGACACAGACCGCCGACCGAGCGGCGAGUGCACGUCCCGCAGGGCGUAGGUGCCGCCCCCGCCGUCGCCGGCCAGCCUCCCCAGCUGCCAGGGCGCCGGCCACCCGCACCCUCCGCCCGCUGGUAGCUACCGCAGCCCCACCACGCCCCGCGCUGGUGCUCUAUCCUUCUCCGGCUGUCCCCUCCAGCCCUCCCUUAGUCCCUCUCCGUCGUUGCAUCGCCCAGCGACCAACGUCCCCUCCAUCUCCCUACUGAAGCAAAGGUACUGCCACUAAAGAAAUUUCCCCCCAAAUCUUUAACCCUAAUUGUUUGUUGUUGUUCAAUUUAUCCUCAAAUUAGUUCAAUUGAUGUUGUUGUAAGCUAUGUAGGUGUACUUUUGUAGGCAGUGAGAACUGAGAAUUAGGAAAUUAGGAUGAAUUAGUUGAUUAUACUUAUACAGUAUGUCCUUUGUGCUUUGUAGGAUUUGUGAAUUAUGAAGAGAGAUGGAGACAUUGCUUCUAUGUUUCAGAAACAAGCUGCAAAGAAACGUGCUUGUUCAGCUCCUGUUGUGGAAGAGCAAAAUCAAGUGGAAGAGGAGGAUACAAUCAUUGAAGAAAUUGUUGAUCCUUCUAUAACAGAAGCAACUGAAGAUGUGACUGCUGCUGCUGUAGAACCAAAUCCUUCAAUUUACGAUGUUGAUCGCCUUCCACAUGAUCCAUUUGAAAGGUUGCCCAUUUCAAAUUAUCAUGCUAAUGAUCAAGAUGCAGUCCAGAGACCAUACAUUCUUAGAGGGAAAAUUAGAGAUAGAGAUUGUAAUUUCACAUGUAUAUGGUUUGCCAAAUAUGAUUGGGUUGAAUAUAGCAUCAAGAAGGAUUAUGUGUUUUACUUUGUGUGCUACUUGUUCAAAAACAAAAAAUACAAGGGCAAAGGGACGGAUGCAUUUAUCGUAGAUGGAUGGAGAAAUUAGAAUGUCGGAGAUACUUCACUUUUGAAGCAUCAUAACUCUAAGGCACACAAGGAAGCUCAAGAGAAGUACAUUGGCUAUAUGAAUCCUAAUGCAGCAAUUGAUAAUAAAAUUGAGAAGUGGAGUGAUGAAGAAAUAAAGCAUUACAAGAUCAGAUUGACUUAUUCGCUAAAAUUUAUCAAGUUUCUUUUGCAUCAAGGGCUGGCUUUCCGUGGACAUGAUGAAAGUGAAGAGUCUAGCAACAAAGGCAACUUUAUAGAAUUGUUGGAAUUUCUUGUAGCAAAUAGUGAAGAAGUGAACAAGUUUGUGCUGAACAAUGCUCCAUGUAAUUGCUCAUUAACUAGCCCAAUGAUCCAGAAACAAAUUAUUUCAUGUUUCGCCAUAGAGACUAGAAAGAAAAUAAUUGAAGAGAUUGGUGAAGAUCUCUUUGCUAUCUUAGCUGAUGAAUCUAGUGAUGUAUCACAUAAAGAACAACUAGCCAUUUGCUUACGUUUUGUUAAUAAAUUGGGAAGACCAUGUGAGCACUUUAUUGGAAUAGUUCAUGUAGAUGAUACUACGUCUUUAUCACUUAAGGAAGCAACUGAAGUUGUACUUGUUAGUCAUGGUUUGACUGUAACUAGCAUCUGUGGUCAAGGCUAUGAUGGGGCUAGCAAUACGAAAGGAGAUAUUAAAGGGCUAAACCCAUAGAUCAUGCAAGAGCCACCUUCUGCUUAUUAUGUUCAUUAUUUUGCACAUCAACUCCAACUAGUUCUUGCUGCCGUUGCUAAGGACAAUAUUGAUUGUGUAUGGUUCUUGGACCAAGUGUCCCUCUUGCUAAAUAUUGUUGGAGUUUCAUGUAAGCGUCAUGGGAUGCUUCGAAACGCUAGACUUGAGAGUAUCACGAAAACACUUGAAUGUGGGGAACUCAAAACUGGGACAGAAUUGAAUCAAGAGAUGGAGUUGGCUAGACCUGGUGAGACUCGGUGGGACUCUCAUUACAAAACUAUAUGCAAUAUCAUUGCUAUGUAUCCCAUAAUCCGUGAUGAACUCAUCACUCUUGGACAGGAUACAACACAUAAGAGUGAUUGGACAAAAAUUCAUUUUAUGGUUGGAGCAUUUGAGUCGUUUGAUUUUGUGUUCAGUGCACACUUACUGUUUGUUAUUCUUGGAUAUACAAAUGAAUUAUCUGAGUGUUUGCAAAGGAGGGAGCAAGAUAUUAUUCAUGCAAUCUAACUUAUUAAUAAGGCAAAAAACAAAAUGCAACACUUGAGGUCUGAUGGAUGGGAUCAAUUCCUUCAAAAAGUCACUUUGUUUUGCAACAAACAUGGUGUCGAAGUUCCUGAUGUGGAGGCUAAUUAUGUGCCUUAUGGAAGAUCAAGAAGGUUUGUCCAAGAUCAAAUAAAUGAUGAUCACUUCAGAAGAGAGGUAUACAUCGGGUUAUUGAUAAAAUCACUCAAGAGCUUGAUAAUCGGUUUGAUGAGGUUAAUAUGGAGUUACUUUCUUGUAUGUCUGCCCUCAACACAUCCAAUUCAUUUGCAUCAUUUGAUGCACAGAAGGUAUGCGGACUUGUUGAAUUCUAUCCUAAGGACAUAUUUGGCUCCGAAUUGCUAAAGCUUGAAUUGCAACUUGAUACCUAUAUUGAUGUCAUGAGACAAGAUGAUAGAUUCAAGAUUCAGUGGUCUAGAAAAUCUUGUUGACCUCUCAGUUCUCAGUUAAGCUAGUGGAAACAAAUAGGCACAAAGUUUAUGAUUUGGUUUAUUUGCUUAUCCAAUUGGUAUUGAUUCUACCGGUGGUGACGGAAAGUGUUGAGAGGGUAUUUUCUGGAAUGUAUUUUGUCAAAAUCAAGCGGAGAAACAAAAUGACUGAUAAUCUCUUAGAUGAUUGCCUUGUCACGUUCAUUGAGAAAGAUAUUUUGGAUGAAGUAGAUGAAAACAACGUAAUUAAGACUUCCAUAUCUAUUAGAAAGCGUAGGUCAAAAAGUAGUGCUGUAAUCUUAUUUGGUCAAAUUUCUAUCAUACAUAUUUUGAACUAUUAGUGUGCUAUUUGAACUAUUUCUAUCUUCAUUUAAGAUUUAUUAUGCUAUGUAGUAGUUGUGUACUGAACUGUGAGACCAAUUUUUAUAAUACUGCACCGAAUUAAAAAAUAGAUUUUACAUAUAUAAAUUUUCGUUCCGCGUAUCCUUUGCAAAAAUCCUAGCUCCGCCACUGGUUCUGGGCGCUGAUGCCAACGACGCGAAGGCCCAAGUCGCGACGCCACCAGCUCCCCAUCUCCUCAGGCGCCAUGGAGGAAGCCGACGACCACAGGCCCUCCUCCUCGAGCGGCCGCCCCUUCCUCUCCGGCCUCUGCUCCGCGGCGCUCCGCCGCAAGCCCCUCGGCGCCCACGCGUCCGCCGAGGCCUCCAGAGAGGACCUCAAGCGGCAGCUCGGCGUCCUCGAUCUCGUGCUGCUCGGUAUCGGCGCGUCCAUCGGGGCUGGCAUCUUCGUCGUCACCGGCACCGUCGCCCGCGACACCGGCCCAGGUCAACACAACUUGCUCCUCUUCCCACUUAGAAUCGAAAUUGGACAGUUCUACUGUUACUCCGUCCUCGGAUACAUUUUUUUACUAGAGUUUGGAGUGGAUCAACAACUUGUUGGUCUCAGCGCGUAGUAGAAUUUGCAAUGACAUGAAAAAAAAUUGGUGGAAUCACUCAUGCGAUUAAUAAAUCAUCCGAGAAUUGCAUGACCGUUUAGCUCCUUUAAAUGCUUGGAUUGAAAUAGUUUAUUUAUAGAUUGAAUUGAACUGAUACUUUACUUGCUUGCAUGGCGAUCUCCCUUCGUUUAGUUUCUGCUGAAAAUAACACAAGCAUUUCAAAUUGAAACAGGUGUUACGAUCAGUUUUGUUCUCGCUGGAGCUGCGUGUGUGCUCAAUGCCUUGUGCUAUGCUGAACUCGCAUCUCGAUUCCCUGCUGUGGUUGGGGGAGCAUACCUCUACUCGUAUACAGCGAUCAAUGAGAUCACUGCCUUCUUGGUUUUCACUCAGUUGAUGGUGGAUUACCAUAUUGGUGCGGCAAGCAUUGCUCGUAGCUUAGCGAGUUACUUGAUCCAAUUCUUGGAGCUGCUCCCAUUCCUGAAGGGCCAUAUUCCAAGCUGGAUAGGACAUGGAGAGGAGUUUUUCGGUGGUAUCGUAUCGAUUAAUAUAUUGGCCCCAAUUCUUCUCAUCCUAUUAACUGCAAUUCUCUGCUAUGGUGUGAAGGAAUCAUCAGCUGUGAACACUUUUAUGACUACACUGAAGGUAAGACUGCUUGCGUGCUAAAGUUGUUUUUUUUCUUCACUACAUGUAGCUUACACAUUGUGAAUGUGGGUAAGUGAACAGGUUGAAGUGGCUUUUUCAUGUAACAUCAGUGUUAAGUUUCUAAGUGAGACAUUUUGUACAACGUUAGGUUUUAGUAUUUUUCUCAUGAUAUCACAUUCAUGUUUGGGAGGUUUUAUUCAGUGUUUUGGACUGAUGCAACGAUGCGCCUGUUUCGGUCAUGCAGAUAGUCAUCGUUAUAGUCGUUGUAUUUGCUGGUGUGUUCGAGGUGGAUGUAACAAAUUGGUCACCAUUUAUGCCAAAUGGUUUCAAAUCUGUUGUGACUGGAGCAACAGUAGUCUUUUUUGCAUAUGUUGGAUUUGAUGCAGUUGCUAAUUCUGCUGAGGAAGCCAAAACUCCACAGGUAAUGAGUAGCCUCACUUAUUUAUUACCUAAUCUCUUUAUGGCCAUAUUCUGUUUAGUGUGAAGUGCAUUUUAACUUUCUUUUCUGCUAUGCAAACAAACUUUUUCAGAGCGAUUUGCCCAUUGGUAUCUUAGGAAGCCUUCUAGCAUGUGUUCUAUUAUAUGUUGCUGUAUGCUUGGUCAUUACUGGAAUGGUGCCACAUACAUUACUUGGUGAAGAUGCUCCUUUGGCUGAGGCUUUUUCUGCUAAGGGGCUGAAAUUUGUUACUGUAUUGAUCAGCAUUGGUGCUGUUGCUGGACUUACUACAACACUUCUAGUUGGAUUGUAUGUUCAGGUAUACGGUAUACCUCCUAGCUUCUUAGGUAUCAGUAUCGGAUUCGUAAUUAUUCUUCAAUCAAAUUGAUCAACUUGAUGAGCAUCACCUCCUUAAUUUUAAACAGUCACGUUUGUAUUUUGGGAUUGGAAGGGAUAGGCUGCUACCUUCAAUAUUUGCUAAAGUACACCCAGAAAGGUGUACUCCUCUGCACUCUCAGAUCUGGGUUGGCUGUGUUGCAGCAGUCAUGGCAGGUCUCUUUAAUGUGCACAUGCUCUCUCAUAUUCUUUCUGUUGGGACCCUGGUACAAAACUUCAGUAAAUAUUUCAACUUGAAUAUCUCAUUCCAGUCGUAUUAACUGUUAGAUUUUUAACCCUUCUAUCUUUCUGGGAGCAGACCAGUUAUUCAGUUGUAUCAGCUUGUGCGAUCACAUUAAGAUGGAAUGACAAAGCAACUAGUCGUCGCUCCCUUGGAAUUAUGUCAAUCUGGCAAGAGGGUGUUCUAUGUCUUGUCAUAGUUGCUCUUUGUGGUUUUAUAGUGGGACUUUGCUAUCGAUACAACUAUGCUAUUGCCUUUAUGGUAGUAGCGUUCCUGAUAGCUAUUGCUGCCAGUUUCGCUCUCCAGUUUCGUCAGGUAAAUCCCAUGUAUACCUGUCUGUCCUAUAAUUAUCAGGUUUCGCAAAUCCAUGUAAUCCCAUAUGCAUGUAAUGAUCCAUUGUUUCAUGCUGGAUAAAUCACACUAUUAGUUUUGCUGUUCGAAACCAUGGAUAGAGCUGCCAUGUGCUAAGAUUUAGACGCUGAUGUAAAAUGUUCAGUCUCAACUCUCAAUUUGCUGAUAUAUUGUUUUCUGCAAAACCUGACCUGCCAUGUAUUCCCAGGUCUAUGUUGAUCCGCCUGGCUUUUCUUGUCCUGGGGUACCGCUGGUUCCAGUUAUCUCUGUUUUCUUCAACAUGGUCCUGUUUGCUCAGGUUUGCACUGCUCUACAUGUUCGCUUUGUUUUGGUUUCAGUCACAGAUUUCAAUACUAAAUAAAUACAUCCCUUUCUGGUGUUGCCUUGAUGACCAUUAUUUACUACCAAAUUCUCAUGACUGAUGGCAUUGACAUUUUGUCGCGCAGCUACAUGAAGAAGCGUGGUAUAGAUUUGUCAUCCUGAGUCUGAUCGCCGUGGGCAUUUACGCUGGCUAUGGUCAGUACAAUGCUGCCCCUUGCAGCUCGGACCCCUCAUCUAUUGGUUACCACGAAGUUCCUUCUGAAGCUUCAAUAGAAAUGGCAACCCUCUAAAUUCUUUGAAAAUACUGUACCAUAAGAUGGGACCUAACUGCGUUUCUCCUGAAAUAUUGCACAGUGCAUACUCUAUAGUUAUGUAUGUAGACAGUGAGUUUCUUAGACUGUAAAAUGAUAUGUUGUAGUGUCCGUUCCUUAAGGAAUGCCAAGUGCAUAGAGUUUUGCCCAAUAAUAAAAA